rnacentral:lncRNA from 1 species
UGAUCUACUCGACGUCACGGACGUCGACAUAUUUUUAAAAUAAUUUUAUUUUUAUUUUUUAUUUUUUACUGUAGCACCUUCUUCUUCCUUGGGUCGCCGGACUGGUUUUUCCGGCGGCCGUUUUCUGGGCAGUUUUUCAAAUUGCCAUAACUUUGUCAUUUCUCAACGAAAUCAAGUGAUUCAAAAACGAAAGUUGUAGCCCUUGAAGAGACAAAGAGAAUGGUACCUUGCACAACACCUAGUUAGCCGUUGUUUGGCCGGAAACUGCCUCGAAAGCCUCGGAGGUCGCCGGAAACUGGGUAUUUUUCAAAUGAGUAUAACUUCUUCAAUACUCAACGAAAUUGAGUGAAACAAAAAUGAAAGUUGUAGUACUUGACGAGACGAAGAGAUUGAUACCUACCUCGACUCCUAACUCGCCGGGGAUUCGCCGGAAAAACGCCUCGAAAGCUCCGGCCAAACUUUGAACUUGUCGAUCUCCGUGUUCUUACGUCCAAAAACUUCCAACGAAGCACUCCGAGCUUCCUUGGGACAUCCUAAAGCUCACUAUGAGCUUGGUUUGGCCUAAAACACAACCAAUUCAAAGCUCAUGAACAGUACAACAUUCACGGCAACUUUAGAAACUAGGGUUUUCGAAGUGAAACUUACUUGAAAUGGGUAUCAUCGUGAUCGUAUGGUCUUCAGGAGUACGAUGGCACUCUUAAAUCCGUCGUUGGUGGAAGUUUAGGGUGUUUUUGUGGUGGUCUUGGUGGUUGCCGUGUGUUCGAGAGGGUGAGAGAGAGAGAUCUGAAAUGGAAGAAGAAGAGAGAAAAGGAAAGGUUACGGAAAAUGGGGAGGAAAUUAGGGUAUAGGACCCUACCUAAAGUCCAACACAACAAUAGCUUAGAAAUUUUAGGUAAAACAAACACCAAAAUUACGCACCUUAAUCCCGUUUAAGGGCGUUUUUGUAAUUUCACGUCCUCGGAAUUAAAAAUUCCGGGACGGGCUGUGACAAUCUCCCCUCCUUAUAGAAUUUCGUCCCCGAAAUUCCAGCCACCAACCAAACUCUCAAUACUAAAAAAAUAGCCUCGGAUACAUAUCUCUCAUCCGUUCUUUUGUCUCCCAAGUAGCUUCUUCUGCUGAAUGGUUCAUCCACAAUACUUUUACCAAGCUCACGAUCUUAUUCCUCAGAGUCUUAUCUUUCCAAUCCAGUAUAGUCACUGGUUCCUCAUCAAGUCGAAUCCGGAUUAAUCUCCAAAGGUUGAACCAGAAUCUUAUGCGACAAAUCUGCCACCUAGUGACAACGCAUCGAACACAAAAUACAUUAUGUGCCUUAGCCAAUUCUGAAGGCAUCACAAACUUGUAUGCAACUUCAUCGAUUCCUUUAGUGAUCAAAAACGAUCUGAUGUGUCUAAGACUUAUCUUGUCUUCCUUUCCAAAUCUUGCUAUUUCUUUUCAUGGUGAAAUUUCCAAAAAUAUCAAACCAUUUACCUUACACACUCGAUUAGUGGCAUAUCCAUCUGUUGAUCUCUUUUGCCAUUCAUGGUUACUUCAGGUUAACUUAAUCACCUUAAUACUUUGAGGAGACUCAUCCAUAGUCUCAGGGUCUACUAAAACUCUUUCUUGAUCGAAUCUUUCUCUACCCAGAAACGUUCCAUUCACAAGUCAUCAAAAACCGACUCACAUGACACAUUUCAUGGUCCUUAUGGCGUUACUUCGGAAACUGCACAACCAACAUACUUAAGAAACUUAGCAGUUCCGUAAUCUAAUUCUCUUUUCCAUAAAACAAAUAAGUAGUGUUGCACUGUCUGGGAAAGGUUGUUACUCAACACUGGAGUAAAUGUACUAACUUGUUACUUAACAAGUAUAACUUCUUCUCGAUCUUCCAUUCUUAAUUUUUCUUCCGUUGGUUUUCAAUCCACAAGAUGAUACUCUUGGCAACGUGCCAGAUAUUAAUCUUACUGUAGUCUUCUCACCAAGUGCUUCAACUAGAACAAACUUUACGAUCACCCUGAUCGUACAAUCAUGUUCAUUAAGCAAUACAAUUCACUUUCGCUGCCUCAUAUCAAAAUCCUUCCAAGUAAUGGAUAUUGAAGACUUUUUGGAUUCGUAAAAAAAAUCUUGCAUUCCUACUAAAAUAUAAUGUCUCCAUAACUUCACAGCAAGAAUGGUAAUCGUGACUUCCAAAUCACCAGUAGGGUAAUUCAUCUUAUGAGAUUCCAUUCAUCGUGGAACGUAUGCAAUCACCCUAACAUUUGCAUCAACAUGCCUCCAAUACCAUUCAAGAAACAUCACUAAAAAUUUAUGAUUACCACUAUUCUCUGGGAAUACCAAAAAUACGUGCAUGAGUGAGGAAAAUACUUCAGUUGUUUGAAUCCUUUGCUCACAAUUUCCUUCCCACUCAUACAUGACCUCUUUUCUCAACAGUCUCGGUCAAUGACAAAGCAAUGACUGAAAAAUCUUUCACAACCAUCCAAGAUAGCCUGGUAAGCUAAGAAAUUCCAAAUCUCAAUUACGACUCGUGGUUGUUCCAAAUUCUCAAUUUCUGCUAUCUUUUAAGGAUUCACUUGAAUACCUUAAGAAUAUAUAACAAAUCUCAGAAUGCCACCUGAUUCAUCUAACUUUAGCAUUUGCUACUUAGCAUACAACCGACAUUCUUCCAAUCUUUGUUCCACCGACUUAAUACGUUUACAUGCUCUGCUCUGGCUCAGAAUAUGCCAGAAUAUCUUCAAUGAAAAUGAUAUCUAUUUAUCAAGGCAUUAUUGGAAUACUUCAUCCAAUAACUCAUAAAAUAGCAUGAGUAUCCAUAUAGCAUCACCAAACUUCAUAAAGACUAUAACGAGUCCAGAAAACCAUCUUAUGAUCAACGUCACUUAUAAUAUUCAAUUGGUAGUAACCAGAUCUCAAUUCAAUCUUUGAAUCUUCGCAAUUACUUCUGAGCUGGUUAAAUAAACAUCAGUACAUUACCAUGGAUAACGGUUCUUAAUCGUUACCCCGACUCCAUUGUCUAUAAUCAAUGAACAAUCUCUAAGUCCAUUUUCUUUCUCACCAACAAACUGGUGCUCCUCAAAAGUGUUGUACUAGGUUGAAUGAAACUUUUAUCAACCAAUUCUUUCAACUGAAUUUCCAAUUCCCUUAACUCAUCCUGAACCAAUCUUUAACAUAGAUUUAUACCUGGCAACAAUUCAAUAGUGAACCUCAUAUCUCUGCCCGAAGGCAAUCCAGGUAUACUUUCAGGGAAGACAUCAAGAAAGUCUAACCCCUUUUGACAUUAUUCACACUACUCCAAACAACAUCAUUUAGCACCACAUGAGCUAAUAUUUUUGACAGCCUUUCAAAAACAAUCUCUUUGCUCUCACAGCGUAAAUAACGGCCUGACUCAAUCCACUUUGCAUACUUACAAAAGUAAUCUCUGGUCAUCCAGAUCGAUGGAAAGUGACUGGUUUCCCGUAACAAUCCAUUUAGUCACAAUUAUAACCAACCAAUCUAAUGGAAAUAAUUUAACCGACACAAUAUAUAUUCUAUUAUUAUUAAGCAUUCUAAAUAAGUACAAUACUAACAUAAAAUAAUCUACCAGGUUGCUUGCUUAACGAAUCCACGAAUGAGUUAUUAAUAUUACGGUCUGCAGCCCGCAAUACUGAUAAAUCAUCGUUGUCUCGAUAAGUAGGCAACCACUCUCAAAGAUAUAACAUUACUAUUUUGUUACUCAAUGCAAAAUACAUACACUCGUCUCAACUACAUUUAUUUACUACUUUCUAGGUAAUAACAUACAUAAUAAGAAAUAUAUCAGCCGAAGUCAACUAGAAUGACCAAUACGGUUGAUUCAACUCUUAUCUUAAUAAUACGUCGGCCGGAUCCACUUCGCGUGGUCGGUACGGCCGAGCCUAUAACUCACUAAUUUCUCAUGGUCUGUACAGCUGAACAUAUAACUCAUCAAAUCUCUCUGUACUCACGGUCAAUCCGACCAAACUACUAAGUCCAUAACUCUGCUGAAUCGACACUAUGAUAUCAUGGAAAAUUAUUGAGUACAACUGAUUCUAGGGACGAUUCACAAUUCUGUGUCCCCUCUGUUCACAUAAACACAUUCAUUAAUUUCACACUUCCCAAAGUGUUAAUUUUUGUACCUGCUGCACAAAGUACAUUUCCUUUACUCGAGACACCUUGUCUCAAAUAUCUGGGAUUACCAGUAUAUCCAUCACUUUUACUCUGACCAGCGACAUUAAAACCUCAACUGGAAAAAUUAACUCUAGCUUCACUUCUUUUGAAGCUCUGAGUCUUUCGAUAUUCUUGAUAUGACGAAUCAUUAACUUUAUCGUUCUUUCAUCUAAUUCCCAUUCUUUUCUUAUUCAUCUUUACUCUCGCUGAUCAUAUUCUCAGAGUCCUCAAGGCUCAACAACAUCUCAUAUACUCCUGGUAAGAAAUACCAUGGAUAGGGGUCACCCAAAAAUACCACUUCCUUUUGUCACCCAGCCUAAAACAACAUAACACCUCCACCAAAUUCACAACAAUAUCUGGAUGGAACGAGGCAAGUCUGAAAACUUUCUAUAAUAUCCCUCGAUCAUCACCUUCCUUGUCUCAUAUUUGUAAACUCUUGUUUACUACCAUCAAUAAAUGCCAGAGGGAUAAACUUUUCCUUAAACAAUUUUAAAUCGGUUGUUCCUCCGAUGACAACAAAUCAUACUCCUGUUUCCACCAGGAUACACAAAUUCAUACCCAAAACCAGGUAGUCGUCUCGACCCCCUGUCAGAAGGAAGAUUCCUUUGACUUGCAUAAUCUCUGAAACAUCUUUUCCAAAUGGUUAAAACCGUUACUUCGCUCCCUCAGGUUCAUCAUUUCAUAAGGUGAUUCAAAUUCGACUCAUAACCCGUCUUAAAAUGUCCCUUUUUAUAAUAGACUGAAUCACCAUAAUAAUAGUUUUCCCUAAACCACUAUAUUAGGGAGACUAAAUUCCUCUAACUAAGUGGCUUGCUACAAGACAGUGUAGUUCUGACAGAAUUCACUAGAACUUCUCAAAAUGUCCAAGAUUGCAACCAUGCUCUGAUACCAACUGACACACCCCGUCCCGAAGGAGGGCAUGCUGGCCGUCACGUGAGAGUGACGUAACCAUUUGCACAGUACGGAAGCUUUAAGAUACAAUUUAUAAGUUGAUACACCCGAAGGUGAGUCCUAAUUUUGUCCAAUCUGUCAGAACCCCGCUGUAUUCCUCGUAGUCACCACACCUUUGUGAUUCCUGAACCUGGAGGGGCGCAAAACCAAAAUUCAGUGGGUCAGUAAAACAAUUCUUUUCCAAAUCCAAACAUUUUUCAAAAACGUUGUAACCCCUCUCUCUGUAAAACCUGUAUAUUUUCCCAGAAAUGUAAAAUAUAAAUAUACAUAUAUAUUCUCAAUACUUUAAUUCAUUAACUCAACAUUUUUUUCUUUAUCAAUCAUGCCAUGCCAUGUCUAAUUCAAACAGUUAAGUAUGGAUGCAUCAACAAUAAUCAUAUCAGGUGCAAGAAAGUAAUCAACCGGAGGCCCUCUAAUAGCCCUGUACGGUUGAACCUAGAGCUCAAAAUCUAUCACUAUCACUCUACCGGAGUCACCUCUGUGACCCGUCCGGCCUUCUGCACACAAGUUACGCUCUAGUGCUUCUCAUAAAUCAUCUGUGCACAUAAUCUAAGGUCACCCACCAGUCGGAAUCUCACUAACACUCUCGCGACUGGCCUGUCGUACCCACUCCGCGUGGACUGUACGACUAGCAUCUACUUGGAUCCAAGGCGAGCGUGCGAUGCGGUGAAUACUAUAAGCACUAAACCAUGGUGCAGGAUUUGAGCUCAAUAUAUAUCAUCAUCAUCAUAACAGUAAUUAAAUACUCACCUGUGCGUCCACCGCACCAUUUCAUACAUAUGCAUCAUAAAUCAAUUCUUACCUGUGCGUCCACCGCACCAAUUCAUACAUAUGCAUCAUAAAUCAAUUCUUACAUGUGCGUCCACCGCACCAAUUCAUACAUAUGCAUCAUAUAUUAAUUCAUGCAUGGCAUUUCAACUCACAUUUCUAUAUACUUUUUCAUAUACUUUUAUGCAUUUUCAUUUAAAGCAUAAUUUCAUGCAUUUUCAAUUUCUGGGAAACGUCAAGUAUAUAUAUAUAUAUACGGAAAACAAAACUGCCCACUCACCUGGAGUUCGCCCUACAACUCCCUAGCACAAUACGCCAAGGCGUCAUGACGAUCGGCGCCUAAAACAAUAAUCAAUUCCAACCUCAGAAUUCAUAUCGAUAGAAUAUAUAACUUAUAUAAAAUACGUCACUACGUAGAUUGAUCCGGAAGAUCCACCCACUCAGAUUUUAAUCCAUAACUUCCAGAGGUCCACAUUAUACCUCUAGGACAACAUCCUAAAAUUUCAUUACCAUCCAACGGUCGGAUCUCCGUCAAUUUCCAAAACUAAGUGACGGUUAACAUUUUUUAUAUUAUGGACUUACAAUUCCAAUUCCGGAAGAUCCGUAACUCGGAUUCCCAAUCCGUAAGUUCCAAUAAUCCUCAAAUAUUACGUAUUACAACGUAUCAAAGUUUGGUGACGAUCCAACGGUCGGAUCGUCAAUUCACAUUUUCACCUAAAUGUGAAAAUUAUAAAACGUUAUUUGAACACCUAACCAACAAUCCUCAAUAACUUUCUCAUACGGUGUUCAAUUUAGGUAUAUGAAUAUACCAUAGUGAUCUACUCGACGUCACGGACGUCGACAUAUUUUUAAAAUAAUUUUAUUUUAUUUUUUUAUUUUUACUGUAGCACCUUCUUCUUCCUUGGGUCGCCGGACUGGUUUUUCCGGCGGCCGUUUUCUGGGCAGUUUUUUCAAAUUGCCAUUAACUUUGUCAUUUCUCAACGAAAUCAAGUGAUUCAAAAACGAAAGUUGUAGCCCUUGAAGAGACAAAGAGAAUGGUACCUUGCACAACACCUAUUUAGCCGUGGUUUGGCCGGAAACUGCCUCGAAAGCCUCGGAGGUCGCCGGAAACUGGGUAUUUUUCAAAUGAGUAUAAACUUCUUCAAUACUCAACGAAAUUGAGUGAAACAAAAAUGAAAGUUGUAGUACUUGACGAGACGAAGAGAUUGAUACCUACCUCGACUCCUAACUCGCCGGGGAUUCGCCGGAAAACGCCUCGAAAGCUCCGGCCAAACUUUGAACUUGUCGAUCUCCGUGUUCUUACGUCCAAAAACUUCCAACGAAGCACUCCGAGCUUCCUUGGGACAUCCUAAAGCUCACUAUGAGCUUGGUUUUGGCCUAAAACACAACCAAUUCAAAGCUCAUGAACAGUACACAUUCACGGCAACUUUAGAAACUAGGGUUUUCGAAGUGAAACUUACUUGAAAUGGGUAUCAUCGUGAUCGUAUGGUCUUCAGGAGUACGAUGACACUCUUAAAUCCGUCGUUGGUGGAAGUUUAGGGUGUUUUUGUGGUGGUCUUGGUGGUUGCCGUGUGUUCGAGAGGGUGAGAGAGAGAGAUCUGAAAUGGAAGAAGAAGAGAGAAAAGGAAAGGUUACGGAAAAUGGGGAGGAAAUUAGGGUAUAGGACCCUACCUAAAGUCCAACACAACAAUAGCUUAGAAAUUUUAGGUAAAACAAACACCAAAAUUACGCACCUUAAUCCCGUUUAAGGGCGUUUUUGUAAUUUCACGUCCUCGGAAUUAAAAAUUCCGGGACGGGCUGUGACAGGCACGAUAACAUUGGAUAAAAAUCUUAUCGAAAUCCAUCGCUAAAUAAUUGUUUUUUUUUAUAAAAUGACACGUGGCGCAACGAGAACGAUUUAAAAAAUUUUAUCCGAAAUUACAAAUAAUUUUAUUUUGUAUUAUUUAAACAAACAAAAAAAACUAAUAUUUUAUUGUCUAUUGCCAGGGGGGAGGGCUCCAAGGGUGGAGAUGCAAAUGGCAAUUACUGUUCAUUAAUGGCAGUUACUAUUCAUUAAAGGCAGUUACUGUUUAAAAAGGUGAAUUCAAUAGUGGAUUGCCAGGGGGAAAGACUCUAUGGGUGGAGUUGCUCUUACCUGUGUCUAUCUCCCUCCCCCACCUCCGGGUCCCAGUCUCUGGGUGUUCUUUUUGUCACUGUUCUCUCUCGUUCUCAUUUAUCACCAGCACUAUCAACCUUCUGUUCAUAUACACGGUUGCCAUCACGGUUCACGUGUCAUAUGUCAAGGGUGGUGCAUUUCCUCUCAAAAUAUAAAAAAAUUAAUUAAACUUAAAGUUUCAAACAAUACUGGCACUAUUUGGAAAUGGAGACCACUUCGGUAAAAUAUAUGGUUUCAAGAAAUGUUGACCACCAUUUCUAGAAAUAGAGACCAUUGAGCCAUUGUUGCUAGAAAUAAUAUCACUGUCUAUAAAUGGUAAUAGUAACCACUAUUUUCUAGAAAUAGUGAUACUGUUUCUAGAAGUAGUUUUGAGAAUGAAUUCCACAUUGAUGGGAGAAGGGACAUUGCAUGUGCUUAUAAAUAAUUGGACUACUUCUUAUAUUGCCAUUUAGUUUUAUAGUGGAACCCAACUUCUUCAUGUUAUUAGAGCAGGUUAUCAUCCCACAUGUGAAGCCCAAUGGGCAAAUGUGCUUCACGUCACCCGAGUUGUGUUGUUCACGUGUUACACUUGAAAAUUCGCCACACGUGAGAUGAGUGUUGAGAAUGAAUCCCGUAUUGAUGAGUGUUGUUCACGUGUUACACUUGAAAAUUCGCCACACGUGAGAUAAGUGUUGAGAAUGAAUCCCACAUCGAUGAAAAGAGGGACUGUGCAUGUGCUUAUAAGUAGUUGAACUACUCUCCAUAUUGCCAAUUGGUUUUAUGGUGGAAUCUCAACUUUUUUCAAAUAGUAUCUCUUGAUUUGUUCUAAAUGAGGCAUAGUUGUAUUAUUUAAAUCAGAUGAAUUAGGAUUUGGAAGGGUUUUAAAAGAUUUUUGUAAAUGAUAGAUUUGAUAGGAUUUGUUAAAUCUUCAGGAUUUUUAUAUGGAUUUUGGAAGAGUAGUGUGGACUUUAUCUAUAUAUUUUGAUGGAUUAUUAUUAUUAUUUUUUUAACAAAUGAUGUUAUCUACACUAAGAGGGAGGGGAUGGGUUUAGCCUUACAAUGAGCUAGCAAUAAUGUGGUUCAAACUUGCCUUUGGCGAGAAUCGAACCUAAAACUUUUCACUUACAAGUGAAGAGGAACAUCACUAAACCGUAGUAAUAAGUGAUUAUAUUUUGAUGAAUUUGGAUAGCCUUUCUUUUCAUUUAUAUAGGUAAUUUUUUUUAAUACAAAACAUAAAUGAAUUUUUUUUUCUCUUCCCCUUCCCCUUGGGGCCUUUGUACCCCAAAACAUGAUUCCACAGACUUCAAGAAAAAAUUUCAACCUACAAAAUGCUGUAGCAGAGAUUCGAUUUCCCAAUGAAAUAAAUUUUCAUUUUUGAUGAUUGAAUAAUAAAGUUUCAAUUUGCCAUCAACUAAUUAGGUUUUAGAAGAAAUUUGAAUUUGCUUAAUCAGUAAUAAAAACCAAAACAUGAGGGCGCGAGGCAAAGUCUCGAUUUGGAGACCAUAUCUACUGGAUGAAUUUCGUUUAUCAAGUUCUGCAGAAAGUUUUCAAAAAUUGAAGGCCAAAGUCUUCAAUUCAAUCAACACAAAUGUAUUCCCGCUUGUUGAGUUUCAAACCUCGCACGUACAAUUUAUCACUUUUAGUAUCGCAGAAGAUAAAAAAUACAAAGGGAAAAGAAAAAUAUUAACAAAAAAACAUUCCAAAACAGAAGAUUUCAGACAGUGUGAUGCCUAGUGGUGAUGAAGACGAACUGGAAGCCCUUUCUUCGGUGUUGGCAUCAAAGCAUUCACAAGUGAAACAUGCAAAGCCAUAAAACUGAAAGUAAUUGUUGGAUUUGAAAUCCUAGGGGGUAAGGUGCCAAUUUUUUCUUCUUGGUUAUAUAUACUUGUUGCUCCCGAAUUCAUUAAAAUCCUAGCAAAUCUUUAGAAUUUUCAUUACACCUAGACUUGUGUGAACUUUUUUAAAAUCAUAAUCGACUACCUCUUGAUUUGAAUGUAUUCUUUAAAGUUCUUUAAAAUCCUAAUUUGACUACACUAUGAUUUCAAAAUCUUUAUUUAAAAUCCUAAUUGACUACAACCGAAUUUUAAAUUAUAUUAAAAUCUUAUCAAUUCCUAGUUUGACUAAACCCCCACUGUUUUUAAAACUCAAAAAUAAAAGUUUUUCUUCAUUUUUUUAUUGUAAUAUUAUUACUUAGCUUGUCCUAAAGGAUGCAAGGUUGUAUUAUAACUCAGAUGACAGACAGAAACACAAAAAAAUUUGCCCAAACUAAACUGUUGUUUCCAAAUUAAAGUGAGCUCCGUUUAUAAAAUUACUGUUUUCAAAUUAAGGUUUGUUCUAAAUGAUGAAUAAUUGUAUUAUUUAAUUAUUAUUUUUUAAAUGUCUGUUGAUAACAACUUUGUUAUAUUUUAGUAUGUGAUUAAUAAAUCAUGUUAUUAUGUCGUGGAAAAAAUGUGAUAACACACCAAAUUAAAUACUACGUAGAAUAAAAAACUAAUAAUAAAAAGGUCAGUGGAAAUGGUAAGGUUUUUUUUUUUUUUUAAUACAUCGAUAUUUUUACAUUAAGAAGAGGGGAAAUUCGGCUAAGUUAUACAAUGAACAACCUAAUUUGGUAUCGAAUUCUCUAUCCACGAGAUUCGAACCUAACAUCUCUCACUUCCAAAUAAAAUUGAAUACCACCAGACCGUAGUAUUGAGUAACGAAAAUGGUAAGGUUUAGUUUUUGCUUUUUUCUUAUUUAAUCAUACUAUGGCCCUAUGAGAAUUUGUGCCUGGGAACAAAAUUACUUGUCAAGUGAAAAUGACGGUGUGGACAGGCGAGAGUGAGGAGAGGAAAGGACAAGGAACUUCCAGAUAUUUUUGUGGGGAUCUGAGGAUUAAUCAAUUGUGUUCAUUCAUUGUACAUCAUGCAAUCAGUUUUUGUUACAUAUUAAUUUAUAUUCAAAUUAAAAUUUAAAAUUUAAAAUAAUUUUUAACUGCACGAUAUAAGAUAAAUAGAGAUAAUUAAUUAAUCUUCUGGAUCCUCACAAAAAGGAUCCGGAGAGGAUCCUAUUCCAAGAGGAAAGAUACAAAAAAAAAAAAGAAAAAAAAAAGGGAAAUAAACAGGAAAGAGAGAAGAGGAAAUGACGCGUAUGAAUUAUUGUCCUGUGGGUUGUAAGACUUUAGCUUUAUUUGUGUAUAUUUGUAAUUUUAUUUAAAAUUUAAGUUUUUUUUUCAUUAAAAUUCAAGUGUUUUUUUAUUAAAUAAAGUUAUUAGUUGGUUUUUAGUUAAGAAAAAAUUUGGAGAAGCCUCCAUUUUUAUUUGAAGAGGAUUAGUAGGGGGUUAGACAUAAAAAGCCCAAUGAAACUACAACGACUCAUACGGUACAAGGACUAUUUGUGUUAUUUGGCCUAAAUUUUAUAUACAAACAAGUAAUCAAAUAAUAUUUAUUGUUCAAAUUUGAUGUCUGUAGCGUUACUAAAUAAGUGUAUCAAUUGUAAAUCAACAUAUUGAGCUCUAACCUUGCAAGAGGUGAUAUGUCAUUACUUGCAUUCUAUUCGAAUAGUGGAGAGAGAUCCAAACGUGUGCAUUUGAGCGCAAGCACGUAUGGGAAUUCCACACCAAACUCCUAUAUAAGCUUACCUUACGCACUCUUCUCAAGUGCAACUCAACUCAUCAACAUCCACUCCAACUCUUCCAAUUUCCAAAUGGGUAGCCUCAUUUCACAAGAAAACAAUUCUCCCAACGUACCCACAAACCCUCUAGAUCCUGAGGAGUUCAGGAGGCAAGGCCACUUGGUCAUAGACUUCAUUGCAGAUUAUUACAAAUCUAUAGAGAAACACCCAGUUCUAAGCCAAGUCCAACCAGGCUACCUCAAAAAACGCUUGCCGGAUACCGCCCCAUACAACCCUGAACCCCUUGAAACCAUCCUCCAAGAUGUUCAGGACCAUAUUGUCCCUGGCAUAACACAUUGGCAAAGCCCUAACUACUUUGCCUACUUCCCUUCCAGUGGUAGCGUCGCGGGGUUCCUUGGAGAAAUGCUUAGCUCGGGAUUCAAUGUUGUGGGGUUCAACUGGAUGUCGUCGCCAGCUGCAACUGAGCUUGAAAGCACAGUCAGGGAUUGGUUUGGAAAUAUGCUCAAACUUCCCAAGUCUUUCCUUUUCUCCGGCAAUGGUGGUGAUGUGAUACAAGGGACUACUUGUGAGGCCCUUGUUUGUGCAAUGGUAGCUGCCAGGGAUCAAAAGCUAAGCAAAUUUGGUAGACACAACAUUGGGAAGCUAGUUGUGUAUGGAUCCGAUCAAACACAUAGCGCACUUCAAAAAGCUUCCCAAAUUGUUGGAAUUCACCCCGAGAAUUUUCGUUCCAUAGAGACAACAAGAUCUACAUCAUUUGCACUUUCACCCGAGUCCCUAAAAGUGAUUAUAUAUUCAGACAUAGAAGCUGGUCUUGUCCCAUUAUUUCUAUGUGCCACAGUGGGAACAACCGCGAUUGCUACUGUUGAUCCAUUGGGGCCACUCUGCGGCGUAGCGGGAGAUUAUGGCAUGUGGGUUCAUGUGGACGCAGCAUAUGCUGGGAGUGCUUGCAUUUGUCCCGAGUUUCGACAUUUCUUUGAUGGCGUCGAGGGUGCAGAUUCAUUCAGUCUCAACGCGCACAAAUGGUUCUUCACCACUCUCGACUGUUGUUGCCUUUGGGUUAAGAAUCCCAACACGUUGGUAAGUUCACUCUCAACGUAUCCUGAGUAUUUAAGGAACAAGGCCACAGAAUUGAAACAGGUGGUGGACUACAAAGACUGGCAAAUAGCCUUGAGCCGGAGGUUUCGGUCCAUGAAGCUAUGGCUUGUGCUUAGAAGCUAUGGGGUGGCUAACCUUAGAAACUUUCUUAGAAGCCACGUAAAAAUGGCCAAGAUUUUUGAAGGGCUUGUGGCGAUGGACAAAAGGUUUGAGAUUGUGGCUCCUAGGAAUUUCUCUUUGGUCUGUUUUAGGGUUUCGCCAUCCUCGAUUAGCAACAAGGCUUCAAGUGAUCAGAAUGGCAAGACGGAUUAUUGCUGUGAUGCUAAUGGUGAUGAAAAUAGUGUAAUUAUCAACGAGGUGAAUCGCAAGUUGUUGGAGUCCAUCAAUGUGUCCGGUCAUGUGUACAUGACUCAUGGUGUGGUUGGAGGUUUGUACAUGUUACGUUUUGCAGUUGGUGCAACUUUGACUGAGGAACACCACAUUGCCUUGGCUUGGAAGGUGGUGCAAGAGCAUGCAGAUCAAAUCUUGACCAAGUAUUGAGUCGAUUGAUGGAAAUUAAUUAGAGAUAUCAUAUUUUUGUACUACUCUAGUAUAUCAUUUUAUGCGUAUAAACGUCGCAUCAAUUAAUAAUGUGGUAUGAAAAUAUGUUCAGUAUAUCCUAUAUUAAUAUAUUUGGCUUGGAAUGUGUAACAUGCGAGAACUGUGAUCAGUUCGAAUGGGUUGUUGUAACUUGUCUAUGUUUCAUUCUCCAUGCAUGUCUGGAAUUUUAGGGUUUUAUAUUAAUUAAUAAAAAUAAAAUUAUCCAAUUUAUGAGAAUUAAACAUUACUUGUCAAGACCAGUUGCAGUGACUACUAAAAAUGUUUGCCAAUUAGUAAUGGCUUGGGGUGACCAUUUCAACCAUUGCGCAUUUACUCGUUAGUUGGGAAGCCAAUGGAGGGAUUAAGAUCCUCUGUCGGUUGUUUUAUUGUGCAAAUUCACUUGAAAUUAAUUUGUUGAUUAUUGAAAUUAUUGUACUUAAUUGACAAUUCCUGUAAUUAUUUGUAAAAAUCAAUGAAAUACCAUUAUAUUAUUUCUUAUAAAAAAAAAAUUUCAUCACCAAAUCUUUUUAUCCGGAGUCUUGGAAUCCUAAAAUCAUAACCGUUUAAUCGAAUUGUGUGGCCAGGAAUGCGCAAUCUUUCCCUCUUCACUCCACCCCCUUUUUAAAUAAUAACACACCACCCAAAAAGGGAAGAAAAAGAAAAAGAACCCAUCCUUUUUCUUCUCACUUUCCCACUGAUUUCCAUGUUUAUUCCCUGCCUGCCUCCUGUUUUCAUCACAAAAAGGGAAGAAAAAGAACCCAUCCUUUUUUAUUCCACCUUUUAUUCACUGUUAUAUUUCUCACCGAUUCUGCUCUAAUUUCCCAGACAAAAAUGGGAUUUUUUUUGGAAAAUCUCAACCGAGGAAUCACAUAGACUUCGGUUCUGAGCUAAUGGAGUCUGAGAUCAAGUCUUUCAACAAAGAGAAAAAAAUGAGGCCUAAGGAAUUUUACCUUGAAAAUUGAAAGAUUGAGUCACGACCGUUGGAUCAUUAGUGAACGGUCAUAUCAAUUGAUUCCUAGGGUCCUCACAUCAAUUAUCAUUAUCUCAAAAAAAAAAAAAGGUAAAAUAGGAAAAAUAGGGAUAUAAUCGUCAUUUUGUCAAAAGGUACAAAAUUACUAUUUUGCCCUCCUUUUGUCAAUAGUAUGUAUCAAAAGUAAGGGCAAAAUAGGAAAUAAAAUUGACAAUGAGGGUUUUCUUAAUAAUAGUAUAGAUUUUGUAAGUACUGCAUAUAUACAUAUAUAUCACAUGUCUUUUAUUAAAUUUUGCAAGAUCUCGGGUUUCCUUGAUCAUGGACCUAAAAUAAACUCUUAUGAAAAAUGUACGAGACCUAAAAUAUGUAUUGCAUGAUACACAUUUUGUUUAUGUUGUAAUAUUAUUCUGUAUUUCAAGAUUGUCCCUGAAUCAAGUGUCAAUUUUUGAGUCAUGUGUUCCAUGACUUAAGUCACUGCAGCCAAGAGAAUCUGCAAAUCAUAUUCGACAAAGAUUACCUCGAACGAAAAAAAAAAGUCCAAUGCGGUUUCUUUUAUAGGAUACUUUUGCAAAAUCAUGUACCAACUCCCACUACGUGAAACUAAAAUGAAACGAAGAAUAGUACUGCAAGCAAAUGCAAUAAUGCAUGCAUUAUUGAAAGAGCGUACUAAAAUGGAACCAUCCUUUGUGUUUAUACCCAGUUUUCAUUGUUGUCGGACCAAUAUCUGGAAAGCUUUCCAUUCUGCUUUCUUAUCACUCAACCAAGCUUUCUUAUCACUCAACAUACAAUAACUCAGGUAAUAGUAUUACGUACAGUCAAUCACAUACGUGCAUGCAUGCAUGAAAGGAUUUAGCCGCUAAUGUAUUGAUGAGUUUGGUGGAUCUAACGAAUUAUUGAGCUACAAGUACAAUAAUACUGAACCAAACUGAAUUAUAUAAUGAAAAAAAAAAAAGGUUUUCAUUCCUAUUUUUCCUAUUACAUUGAUUAAAACCUUAUUCAUUUUUAAUUUUUUUUAUCAAGGUCCUUAGAUUUUAAUAAACGUAAUUAAUUAUUUCAAUAAUAUUUUUUUAUUUCUAAAUAUAUUCAUUUAGUGUUAGAAACAUUACAUUUGGUAUAUUUAUGUUUAUGGCUAAAUUUUUUAUCAUACAUUUUUAUUUUUGUUGUAGGCAUAAUUUACUGAACAAUUAUGGAGGGCAAUUGAGAGAGGAAGAGAGUGUGGCAAAAACCCAAGGUGGGAGAAAAACCCAUAGACUAAGGAGAAAAAUGAGAAGUUGCAUUAAGUCAAAACUAUACUUCUUUUGGAUGUAAGUAGAAGAGCUCACAAGGGUAUGAUCAGCCCAGGAUGGGUGUCUCGUUAAAACCUAGUUAGGUAGCGAAAACCCAGUAGGAAAAAAUGCUCCUAAUCCUAGGGAAAAAAAGUACAUUAAGAUAAAGUGAGUAUACUUCUGGAUACUCCCCUUGAGUUUGACAUAACUUCCAAAUGAGAACUACAAGCAUUGCAUAUGAAUAGUUAGGCAUACCAAUUCCUCGAACAAGCUUCUGCAAUGUUGACUUCGGCAGUGACCUCGUGUAGAGGUCGGCAAGGUUGUUUGGGAUUGGGUUGCAUGACUUUAAUCUCCUGAUGCUUUGUUGAUGUAGAUAUGGACGCAAUAUGUCUUGGCGUUGACUUCGUAGAUGUAUCAUGGCUUGGUCGGGUUAAUACAUGCGGCAUAAUCUUCAUGGAUCGUCGUCGGGACUCAACGAUGGAUGAAAACACAGCAAGUACUUCAAAAUAUGCUCAACAAGAACUUCUAACCAUGUCUCACUUGUGGCGUAGUGAAGUGAGGUGAGUCUUGGAACGAUUCGAAGGUUUCGCAACUAAGGUCAUAUUAUGGACCUCCAAGAUAUUAUGAUAUCCUUAAUGGUAAAGACAUAACCAUUUGGGGAUUUUGCCUUGUGCGGGUUUGAUAAGUAACUAGCGUCAGCAUAACAAACAAGGCAAGCAUCAUUUCAUGGAUCAGGGGGUUGGAUUCGCUCGAGAUGCAUCGGGAUUUGAUUUGCCUAAAUUCGUAGUACCUUUAGGGUACGUCUUUAAUACCAAUUCAGUGGUUGCGUGUAGGCGCGGUACUGCAUCUUUACCAAUAUAUCAACAAUGAAGGAGAUGUCCUGUCUAAAUACAAUGAGCUAAGUACAAUAAAGCGCAAAGUUAAACUUAGAUAUGGAAUUUCAGAUUCCAUAACCUCUUCAAAGGGUCUCAUUUGUAUAUAACCUAUGGACGAUCAAAGGUAUACUCAAAGGUGACACCUUCGGAGUGUAGUUCGACUGGUAGACCAAGGUACCGCCAAAACAACGCUUGAACUUCGGGUCAAGGCAUAAACGAGUUUUCCUAAGAUCAUUCAUCUCAAAUUCCAUCUUCAAGUGCGAGGCAGUUUUCUCAAGCUCUUCCGGAGUCUUAGUGAGAUGUAUGUCAACGACAUAAACUGUAACUCUAGCAAUUUGGAAUAAGACUUCAUAGUUUAACACGCAAUGACAUAAUUCAUAUCCCUGACUGAUUAAAUAAUCACUUAGACGGGUAUACCACAUUCGUCUGAUUGUAAGUGAACACCUCAAACAAGUUAAGAAUGUGUUCCAUGGUUUGGAACUAUUUGAACCAGUCCAUGUAAUUUUUCAGAAACUUACAUGUAAAUCUCCGUAUCAAUAUCCCUAUGGAGAAAACAUUAACCACAUUUCAUAAUACUGCUAUCAAUCACAAGACGUUUGAGAGAAACCUUGCGUUAUAAGGCGUGCAUCAUAUCGCACUAUUUCAUUCAUCUCAUAACGCUUCCUUUUUCACUUGUAACAUAACAAGGUUACCUUGGGCAGUGUAGGAACGACAGGUCCAAUACACACUUUGGUAAGGAAUUUGACUUGGAUUGUAACUUCAGUUGUCCAAUCAGUUAUACGUUAUCACUUAAUCAAUGGAACACGGUUCGAUAUCGUCACUUUUCAUUUAUGUUGGUAGCUACCAUAUAACUGAAAACAUCAUCGAUGGUAAUCUCAUUUCAAUUCCAUUUAGCUCACCCAAACUAGUAUAUUGAACCAAGAACUUCAUGUCUCGAGAGUAAUCCAGAUUAAUCACAUAAGAUGAAAAUGAUUUUAAACAACUAUCAAGUUUAGAUUCAUUGUUGUGUCGUGUCUUUCUCUUCUAGGGAAGUGAAUCUUACGAACUAAGUGAUCUGUCGUGCUCUAAGCCAAGACAGAUUGAUUGGUUAUCCACCGGUGUACUGGAUCGUCCAACAGGGACGUCCAAACCGUCCAAUAGGGAUGACACACCCUUCGAGGAUGUUGACUUGACGUCCGUUAAGUAUGUCUAUCCUUGCAUGCAUGUUUGCAGCUAGUAUAUGAUCUUGUCACUUUAGCUAGAUCAGAUGAAUGCAUAUGGAGCAACAUUCUGAAAGCUAGAAUUUCAUCGCACUUAUUUAUUAUACAUGUGCGGUACGGGAAUUAAGAUGAGACAUAGUGGGUAACGUCCACGCAAAUUCGUGCAGAUCUAUAGGAAAGUUGACAUUCUUAUCUCCCCCUAACAGCGAGAAGACUGUUUCAUUAAAGUGACAACUCGCAAAUAAACGGUAAAGAGAUCGCAUGCAAGGGUUCUAAGAUAGCUAAUGUGAAGGAGAAUCAUGAUCGAUAAAGAUUCACAUCCUUUUUUGAGGAUCCAUGUUGGUAUGUUGUGGCAAUGCGACUUAGCACAUGGAAUGCACACUCAAAUGGGUAAAUACGAAAAUCGUCAGGUUCAUACCCAGUAACCAACUGUAAUGUCAAGUAGGUUGGGUGGCAACAUAGUUUCGUACAAGAUUGCAUAGCCCUAGGCAAAAAUAAAAAACUUGGUACGUUCACCAAAAUCCGGGCGAUCAUUUAAAUUUGCGCUUUAUGAUCACUAGGCGAGGCUAUUUGAGGUGAACAUGAGAAUUCGAUGUUCAAUUAUAAACCCAAAAUACAUGCAAUACUUUAUCGAAAACUGUCGAUAUAAACUCUCUGGCAUUAUCCAGUCUCUCAGACCUUAAAGGAUAAGUAGGGUGGUGAGCCCUUAAUCGGCCAUGAAGUUUACCAGCAAUGUGUGUAGACAAACAUACGACCAGUUUAUCGAUUGAUCAACCAAAACCAUAAGUAUUUAUAUGGUCCGCAUUUUGAUUGGAUUAGUCCACAUAUAUUCCCUUGAAUCCACUAUGAAAAAAUGGUGAUUUCGUAUCUUUGCAAGAAAUGAUAUAAAAAUCAAUUUUCCUAAUGAUCAGGCUUGGCAAAGUGUGCUUGUAGGCACAAGAUCCUUAGUUCGGGUAAGAAGAUGCGUAGUAGCAUCAUUGUUUGAUCUAAGUGUCCCAAAAGGUCGUGCCAAAACAAGUAAACUGCUCAAUCACUAGGCUCUAGGUCAGCCACAUGUUGUGUGUUUCUAGUUGGGAGACAACCUACUAGCCCCAAUCAAAGUUUCAGGCUCAUUUUUGGAGGUGGUGCAAAGAUUUUUCACUCUAUUUUCUUCAAUGGUUUCAUUGAUGAUCAUUGUCAUCUCGAAUAUCCUUAAAAACUCAACGACGGGGAGAAUUUAAGGUCCCUUAAAUGGUAAUUUAGUACCAUUUAUACAACGAGGAGCGUGCCAAAUGCUCUUAAUCAGGUUGGAUGGACCUGAAGUCAUUGUUAGAGAUGUGAUUUAGGUGUAAAGUUAGUAAGCGUAGUACGCAUUCAUCCAGACAACUAACUUUUCCACAAUCCUACCUAAUCAUGUGUUUAAUUGAAUCGGUCACAUGUAUUAAGAAACAUGAUUCAAUUAACUCAUAUUCGAGGACAAUAUCAAUAAGAUUAUCCAUAACUAAAACAUAGGCCAAACUUGAAUCCAAGAACAUGGAAAAGUGUUCACAAAGUAAACCAAAGUUACUAGGGUGGAUUCGGCCAACAAGGUCAUUCAUGUCAAAAUUCUACUCUUCCAACGGUGUUCAAUAGAGCAAAAUUGAUCUCACAUAUUGACUAUGAGAAUGGUACUCCUCAACAACAUUGGUACAGGCACGAACAGGUGCAUAACCAAUGAUCUAUUCCAUCUAGACAGAAAUAGAUUCUGCAAGGUUAAGGUUUCAGAACAACAUCCCUUAUUCUUGAAGUUUUAGGUCUUAGGUGCCAAGAAUCACGCUUUGGGCAUGAUGCCACACCUUGGCAGGCCCUGAUUCUACCAUAUGUUUAUGGUAGUAAUUAGAUCCGAGAAUUUGGUAAACUUCCACUUUCUACACUUGUUGCUUCAGGAGCAAGUUAGAAGCAAGGACGAGAAAAUUAUUCUCUAGUAAAAAAUCGAUCGGAUUUAUAAACUUCAGAAUUGUACUCAUUCAUGGACGUAGUCAUGGUGUGCUUCGGGCAAUAUCUUUCAUGAUUAGACGGUCCAUGGGAGCAAGCCAAAGAGCUAUGGAAUCCUCGUUUAGGAUGUAUUUCCAUUUGUAAUACUUUGGGCAUAAGUCUUCGAAUGAAGAUUAUGACGGAGGCUUAUUCAGCUCUUAUAUGCCAUUAUUGGCUUCAAUGGUUUCUCAGCUUCUUGAUAGUCAAGUGGAGAUUCACGUCUUGUACCCACAUAUAUCUAACGACAUCAGGUGAGACGUUUUCGGAGGACGAGCGCAGCUAAACGAGACUUGGGGGUUACGACCCAACUAUGUACCUGUGAGUAACCUUUUGGUUUUAUAAAUAUACGUAUAUAUAUGUUCUACGUUUUCCAGAAACUAUUUAAAAUGGAAUUUCGUUAAAAUGCCAUGUCAUAUUUGCUUAUGUUUGUACCAUAUUUAAGGUCUCCGUAUUUAUACCUCGUAUAAAUACUUGGGGAAUUCAAAUGUAAUUAUGUAAUAAAUGAAGGGGCAAAUAUGUAAUAAGUGAGGAGCCCUUAUUCUAUAAAAUGACUCCUUACUCUCCUCAUUAGGGGAGGUCAAGGCUUAGGCCAUGAGAAGAGAGAAAAUAGGCUAGAGAGCACACUGCCUCUAGCUUUCUUGUAUAUUCAUCAUUCAGAGUGAAACAAUAUCAACAUCAAUGUGGACGUAGCCCAAACAUUGGGGUGAACCACGAUACAUCUUGUGUUCUUUACUUUCUUUCAGAUUCACGGUCGGGUUUACGUUAGUCUAAGACCCAUUCGGUUUUGUGCAUCAACAUUUGGCGCCGUCUGUGGGAAACGACACGAAAAGCUAUAUUGGUUCUCUUUCAUUUUUUUUACCUCCGUCGUGGAUCUGCAAAAUCCGCACAGAGACACAGACACAUAUAUCUCUCUAUCUGAAACUUCCAAUUUAUAGAGCUGUUUCAUCUUCCACUGUUUCCAUCUCCCAAAAUCUCUCUUCCAUCGACACACUUCGUCUAAAAAAUUCUCUCUCUUGCGUUACUAGUCAAAGCAAAACCCUAGUAAGCAUGGUCGGACCCUCGCCUGACCUCACCAAGGUCAUCAACAUCAAGUUACUCUGCAGCUAUUGCAGCAAAAUCCUCCCCUGUUACCCCGACAGCAAGCUCCGUUACCUCAACGGGGAAACCCGUGUCCUUGCCGUUCCCCGCUUUAUUUCCUUUUCUAAACUGUCUUCCAAGAUGACUGAGUUGUAUGGGCCAUCCAUAACGGCCUUCAGUCUGCACUGUCAAUUGCCCACCGAGGAUCUCGACGCCCUCGUAUCCAUCAAGUCCGAUGAGGAUCUCGUUAAUCUCAUUGAAGAAUACGACAGAGCAGCCUCUUCCUCUAAUCUGAAGAUCAGAGCCUUCCUCUUACUCAUCCCCAUUAGCAGGACACCUAAAAGCAUUUCAUCCCCUUCUUCCAUUUUGGCCUACAGAUGCCUCCACAACCAGCACUACUUUCGCAAGGUCUUCAAGGCCUGCAUGCGCCUGUGGAAGUACCAACAGGAGAACCGCUCUAAGCUCGUCGUUGCCGGCUUGAACCGUUGGGAAAUCGAUGAGAUCGCCAGCCGGAUCGGCCAGCUCUACUUCGGCUAGUUCAUGUGCACCAGCGAGGCCCGAUUCUUUCUCGAGGCCUACGUCUUUUACGAAGCCAUUUUCAGCCGCAGCUACUUCGACGGCUUCACCGGUUUCGAAGGUUUCAAGAAGAAGGAUAUCGGAGUCCGCUUCAAGGAGUUGAGAUUUUACUCCCGGUUUCUGCUAUUUUCCUCGAUUUUGAACCAGAUUGAGACGGUUCAUCUUCUUGCCGAGCUGUUCAAAUCGCUUGUUGAUGACUGCAAAGCCAAUUUUCAGGAAAUAUAGUGUUUUUGUGUUCUUGUGCAUACUCAGGCCCCAGACUCUCCUCGAACCAAAGCUCCACUCAAUUUCACCAUGUGAGGCAGGACAAGCAAUAAUUCAGAGAACUCAGUGACCCAUCCCCUACAUCUAGGGUGGUAACCAUGUAAAAUCAUUUUCUGAGAAAUCAAAAGUAGAAAGCAAAAGUAGAAAGCCAAUAAGCUGUAAAUGCAAGUGUGGGAGAUCAUUGCAAGCAUCCAAUGUAGUCUCCUCAAAUUCCUUGGGCAUCGACCACCAGUAAAGCCAAAGAAGAAAGCAAAAGUAGAAAGCAAAAGAAGAAAAAAAUAGAUCAGGAAAAAAAUAAGAAAGCCGAGAUAUGUUUUUCAAACAAAGAGUCAAGUUGGUAUACUUGAUGAUGGCUUUUGUCAACACAGAGAGACCAUACUUGCUGACCAAACCUGCUUCCCCGUGAAGUUUUCCUCCAACAGCUGGACCACUGAGGUUGAUGUGAAGGGAGAAAUCUCGCUGUUGCCAAGUCCCAGCAGUUUUUUUUUCUUCUUCUUUUGAAUGAUGUGAUUUACUUUUCUUAUCUUUUGGAGACAUCUGUAUAACCUCACAAGAGGGUAAUCAUAAAAAAAAUAAAUAAAUAAAAAGUCUGCAAGCCCAUAAUAGUGGGCUGGAAUGUAAUAGCGAAGGUCCAUAUGCCUAAAAGAACCAAGCCCUAUAGCUUCAAACUCCAACCUCCAUCCCUCACUUAAGGUUCACCAUCUAUUAUCACCAACUAGGUGAUCAAAAGUACGUCCAGUACUCCAAAAUUAUUCGGUAGCAUGCCGCUAUUAUCACCAACUAGGUGAUCAAAAAUACGUCCAGUUCUCCAAAAUUAUUCGGCAGUCCAAAAUUAUUCGGCAGCUUGCCGCUAUUAUCACCAACCAGGUGAUCAAAAGUACGUCCAGUACUCCAAAAUUAUUCGGCAGUCUGCCGCUAUUAUCACCAACUAGGUGAUCAAAAGUACGUCCAGUACUCUAAAAUUAUAUAUGAGCAUCACUCAUGUCAAUCAUACAUAAACAUUCAUAAGCAUCACUCAUGUCAAUCAACAUAAACAUUCAUGAGCAUCACUCAUGUCAAUCAUACAUAAACAUUCAUGAGCAUCACUCAUGUCAAUCAACAUAAACAUUCAUGAGCAUCACUCAUGUCAAUCAGCUUCGAAAGCUUCAUUUACAAGAGCUCCAGCUUUGAAAGCUUAAUUUACAAAGCUCCGACUUCAAAGCUUCAUUUACAAAAGCUCUAGCUUCAAAGCUUCACUUUCAAAGCCUCACCUAUAAAACUUCACUUUCAAAGCUUCACAUACAAAGCUUCAGUGCAUGGUAUACAAAGACCGUCUCCGAACAACUGCAACUUCGGCCCAUACAUGGAUUGAAUUUGAAGUCUCCAGCCAACAUACCCUAUUGACUGAAGACUUGAGGGACUACACUAUGUACAAUAUAUUGGGUUUCCGCAACUGGGCCUUAUGAAAAAUACUUGGGGGACUUAGCCCAUUAUUUAUGUACUGAGGAGCGAACCUUUAUUCUAUAAAAAUGACUCAUUCACUUUCAUUAGAGAGCACCCAUUAAUCAUAUAUUGAGGAGCAAACCCUUAUUUUAUAAAAUGAACUCAUUCUCAUUCACCUUCAUUAGAGAGAGACUUUUAGCCCAUCACUUAUGUAUUGAUGAGCGAACCCUUAUUCUAUAAAAGGGACUCCCUCAUCUUCAUUAGAGAGCAUUGCCGCCAGCUGAACAACCACCCCGUCGCGAGCAUCACUCCUAACCCAUCACUUAUGUAUUGAUGAGCGAUCCCUUAUUCUAUAAAAUGGACUCUUUCACCAUCAUUAGAGAGCAUCGCCGUCUGCUGAGCAACCGCCUCGCCGCGAACAUCAACUUUAGCCCAUCAUUUAUGUAUUAAGGAGUGAGCCAUUAUUCUAAAAGGGACCCCCUCACCUUCAACACCACAGGCUGAGCCAACCAAGGCAACAUAAGCCACAAGCCGAGCAGCCUCGCAACAUGUGCUACUUCUAGUUGAGCAUCAUUUCACAUUGAGCACCGCCUUAUAUUGAGUAUUCAAUUCUAGACGACAUCUAGUUACUUCGGCCCACACAUGAACUGAAUUUCAAGUCUCCAGCCAAAAGACUUUCUUGACUGAAGACUUGGGGGACUACUGUUUGUACCAUAUUUAGGGCCUCCAUAUUUAGACCUCGUAUAAAUACUCGGGGGACUCAAAUGUAAUUAUGUAAUAAAUGAAGGGGUAAAUAUGUAAUUAGUGAGGAGCCCUUAUUCUAUAAAAGGACUCCUCACUCUUCUCAUUAAGGGAUGUCAAGGCUUAGGUCAUGAGAAGAGAGAAAAUAGGCUAGAGAGCAUACUGCUUCUAGCCUUCUUGUAUAUUCACCAUUCAGAGUGAAACAAUAUCAACAUCAGUGUGAACGUAACCCAAAUAUUGGGGCGAACCACGAUACAUCUUGUGUUCUUUACUUUCUUUUAGAUUCACGGUCGGGUUUACGUUGGUCCAAGACCCUUCCAGUUUUGUGCAUCAACGGCUUACAUAUUAGCAUAUGCUUAAGUAUAGCUUUACAUAAUAUUGUAUGAUGUUGCAGAGGCCUAGGUAAGUUUAGGUGAGUACUUAUUGAUGGUAUGGUUGCAUAGUAGUUGGUUAUGAGUUGAUGCACUUAGAGAUUUAUGUCCUGCACCCUGGUGUUAGUGCUCCACUCGAGGCCUAGCCUUCACGUGAUCGUUCACCUCUCGCACCACAUGCUCACUUUAGAUCCAAUGCAUGUGCUAGCCCGUCAUACAUACCACAUUAGGUGAUUCCGACUCGUAGGUGACUUGCGAUAUUUCGCACAGCCUUCACAUGAUCGUAGCACUUUAACAUAUUUAUUUAUACCUAGACUGUCGUACAGACCACAUUAGGUAGUUCCGACUCGUGUGCAUGAUUCGAUUGUUGAGCUAUAGACUCAACCGUACAGGUCACGUUAGGUGACUACGGCUAUAAGGUCAUUUUAUAUUGAUUCAUUUUACCUGACUUACUUAUUUCAUUGCUAAGAUACUUGACAUGGCAUAUGCUUUGUUUUCACUACUCUUGAGUAGGAUUUCUAUAUGCAUACGUAUUAUUAUUUUCUAGGAAAAUUAUUUGGAUUUUACGGUGAGGGUUAUAUGUUUUGAAAGUGAAAUGGUUUUGAAAAGUUUUAUUUUUGCCUACUCACAUUUUCUGUUUUGUGCCCCUCUAGGUUCUAGUUAGAAGUUCAUGUUGGUGGCUCACAAGGACUAUACAGCGGUUCUGACAGAUAUCUAUCAAUGUAGGGUUUUCUUUCAUAUCCUGUACAAUUAGUAUUUAGCCCGUUGGAUUGCACUUUGGUACCUACGCUCUGAUUAUGUAUAUCUACACUCUAAUACUUCCACUCAUAUUUAUAUACUUACCUAGUGUAGAGUAGCUAGUUCGGUUUUUAUUUACCCACAUUAUCUUAUCACCUUUACUUCCGCACAACGCACAUGGCUACGACACCCUCACAUGACGUCCAUCAUGCCUUGAUUUAGGUCGGGGUGUGUCACAUAUCUAUUAGGAUUUACACAAUCACAUUCCUAAUCUAAUAGGACUGCAACACUCCCCAUUGAGUGUGUAAAUACUCAAGUAAAUGGCGCAUCAGGUCUUCAGUGAUGAAGUAAGUACAGUUGAUGAAGUUGUCGGCACAAUGAGUGAAUGCGAGUCUCAAAUCAAUGGAAGAAUGCAUAAAAAGUAAAACUCACAAAACUUCGCUAUGGUAAAACCCAAGGUGGGAGAAAAACUCAUAGACUAAAGAGAAAAGUGAGAAGUUGCAUUAAGUCAAAACUAUACAUCUUUUGGACGCAAGUAGAAUAGCUCACAAGGGUAUGAUCAGCCUAGGAUGGGUGUCUCAUUAAAACCUAGUUAGGUAGCAAAAACCUAUUGGGAAAAAUGCUUCUAAUCGUAAGGAAAAAGAGUUCAUUAAGAUCAAGUGAGUAUACUUCUGGAUACUCCUCUUGAGUUUGACAUAACUUCCAAAUGAGAACUACAAGCAUUGCAUAUGAAUAGUUAGGCAUACCAAUUCCUCGGACAAGCUUUUGGAAGGUUAACUUCGGCAGUGACAUCAUGUAGAGGUCGACAAGGUUGUCUGGGAUCGGUUUGCAUGACUUCAAUCUCCUGAUGCUUUGCUAAUGUAGAUGUGGAUGCAAUAUGUCUUGGUGUUGACUUCGUUGAUGUAUCAUGGCUUGGUCAAGUUGAUACAUGCGGCAUAAUCUUCAUGGAUUGUCAUUGGGACUCAACGAUGAAUGAAAACACAGCAAGUACUUCAAAUAUGCUCAACAAGAACUCAUAACCAUGUCUCACUUGUGGCGUAGUGAAGUAAGGUGAGUCUUGGAACAAUUCGAAGAUUUCGCAACUAAGGUCAUAUCAUGGACCUCCAAGAUAUUGCGAUAUCCCUAACGGUAAAGACAUAACCAUUUUGGGAUUUUACCUUGUGCGGGUUUGAUAAGUAACUUGCAUCAGCAUAACAAACAAGGCAAACAUCAUUUUGAGGAUUAGGGGGGUUGGAUCUGUUGAGAUGCAUUGGGAUUUGCCCUCGUAGUACCUUCAAGGUACGUCUUUAAUACCAAUUCAGUGGUUGCGUGUAGGCGCGAUGCUAUAUAUUUACCAAGAUCAACAGUGAAGAAGAUGUCUUGUCUAAAUACAAUGAGCUAAGUACAAUGGAGCCUGUUUGUACCAUAUUUAGGGCCUCCAUAUUUAGACCUCGUAUAAAUACUCGGGGGACUCAAAUGUAAUUAUGUAAUAAAUGAAGGGGCAAAUAUGUAAUAAGUGAGGAGCCCUUAUUCUAUAAAAUGAUUCCUCACUCUCCUCAUUAAGAGAGGUCAAGGUUUAGGCCAUGGGAAGAGAGAAAACAUCUUAGAGAGGGCAAACACAGAAAAUAAGCUAGAGAGCACAUUGCCUCUAGCCUUCUUGUAUAUUCACCAUUCAGAGUGAAACAAUAUCAACAUCAGUGUGGACGUAGCCCAAACAUUGGGGUGAACCAUGAUACAUCUUGUGUUCUUUACUUUCUUGCAGAUUCACGGUCGGAUUUAUGUUGUUCCAAGACCCCUCUGGUUUUGUUCAUUAACAAAUUCUGUUUUGGAAAAAAAAAAUUUGGUGAAUUUGUCUUACACCCAAAUUUGAAAAUGCUUCAUCGCACUAAGAUUUCUGCAUUCCCCAGCCCCACCUUGGAUCUGGAUCCGUCCACAACCGUACACCGCAAAAAAGAAAAGGCUGAUGUUGUAGGUUUGCACAGAAGGAAAAAAAGGAAGGAAGAAGGAAGGAAAAAAAGGGGGGGGAAGAAGAAAAAAAUGGUCGUUUUGGGGUUUUGGCCCACACGGGCAAAGGGAAAAAAAUGGUCAAGCUAGUUUUUGGAUCCACACAAGUUGUUAACCUGUUUGGAAUUGUUUGUGACUGUUACUCAAGUGCUUGGAUUUGUGAUCAUUAAAGUGAUAGUUGUUUUUUAAUUUUCGUCGUUUGUUGUUACAAUUGAGAUAUGGAAAUCUCGUCCGUUUAAUGACGGGUUUUCUCCAUACUCUCAACACUAGCCAGUUUGAACCAAAAUCAGUUUGCCAUCAAGAAUCAAGAAUCAGUUUGCCAAUUUGCAAUCAAGAAUCAAGUUAAGUCAAGUCAAGAAUCAAGUCAAGUCAAGUUUGCAUGUCUGCUAGUCCGCAUCAGCUUUUUUGCAAACCCAUGUCGUAUACCGUCAUGAGUUUGAUGGGGGGUAUUGGAAUAUAUUAGUAUUUUAGGUAUUAUAUUGUUUGGGUUUUCUUAUAAGUUUAGUUUGGGCCUAACCUGUUAGCAUUAGGGUUAGAGUUAGUUUAUUAUAAAUAGAGUGCUUUGUUAUCAUUAGAGAACAAGUUAUUCACAAUGUAGGGUUUUGUAGCCGUUCUGGUAUUCUUGUUUGUUUAAUAAUAUUCCUAUUAUUUUUGUUAGUCUUGUUCGUUACGCACUUUGAUAUUCAACUAUCUCUGUUGAGAGUUGUCCUCGUGUGAAGCCAAACGGUCACACGCGCUCAACGUCACCCUGUUGUGCUGUCCAUGUGUAUGCUUGAAAAUUGGCCACACGUGGGAGGGGGCGUGUUGAGAGUUGUCCCACAUCGGUGAAAGACAAAAUUUGCUAUGUGCUUAUAUGGUUUUAGACUACUUCCCAUAUUGCCAAUUGACUUUAUGAUGGAACCUCAAUUUCAUCAAAAUCCCUUUUUUCUGCUGGGUUCUUGCGAUGAGAGCAUAAACAAAAAUUCAGAGACCCAAAGAAGAUAUGAAGAUCCCAAGUCUCACCUUCGCCUUCCGCUACAAACGAAAUUUGGGAUAUGGGUUAUGUAACCCACUUUUGGAUUCAAAUAAAACGUUUCAGGAUUAGGAAGAAAACCCAUAUAGGAUUUCAAGACAACCCCAAGGCCACUCCAUCAAUUUGCCUUAAUAGGAAUUGGAAGGGGUUCAUACCGUACCGAACCAGGAUAGACGUAAAUACAUGCCUUUUAAUUGAUUUACCACAGCUGAACGAUGGGUAGUCACUUUUCAUGAAAAUGAAACCCUAAAAUUUGUUCUAAACUUUCAUAACAGCACUUUAGUUGAUGCUCCAUUAUAGCUUAUGUGUGAAAAUAUUGAAUUAAAUGAUGCUCAUUUAUAGGGUAAACGCAUCUAUAUAUGCAUCACAAGCCUUUAAAUUUAAAGACAAGGGUUCCUUUAACAAUAGAGUUGACGGUCUCAUCAUAAUCAAACUUAUGUUGUUGAUCAGUGGCGGAACCAGGAAUUUAAAACAUGGGGUAAAAAAAUAGCUUUAAAAAUUCCAUCAUACUUUCAUUUAUAAUUGUCCACGGUGUGUUCUCAUAUUUUAGAAACAUAGAAUCAGAACAUUUUUAUCAAUAGAACCAAAAACAUCUUUCUCAAUGUACACAACCAAACUAUCAUUCAACCCAUCUUAUUAAGAUGUGGAUUCUUCAUAAUUUUCAUCACCGAAAAAACUAUUUCAACUGAAGCAGUUGCAACAGUUAAAAUCAAUGUUAAUUUCACUAGCAAGUACACCAAGGGAUAUUGUCGGUCCCUCUUUGUCUCCGUCAACUUUUGUGCAAGGCUACUAAUCCCUUUCAACGCAGAAAACUCAUUAUGCAAACGACGUAGCUUUGUUAAAUUAGAAAGGUAUUAAUUUUUUUUUUAAGGGAUAAGUUUAGAAAAGGAUAAGUUUACAAGUAAAAGGUUAUUGGGAUAAGUUUACAAAGCAACGUGCUGCUGCAAAGCUGCUGUUGCAGGCUACUAUACGGGUUCAUAAAAUUUUCAAAGGGAUAACUUGACAAGGUUAUUGGGGUCAAAGGAUGCCAAUGCCCCCGCGUUGGCUCCGCUAGUGUUGUUGAUGACAACUUUUGGCAACAAGGCAAACUUCAUAGCAUUUAUUGGUGCCAAUGCCAUUUUAAUUGCGCUUGAUACGGAAUAGAGACUUGAAAACUCUCAUCACGUCCCUAAUCAAAUUUCGUGAACAGAAAGAGGAAUAUGGAAUGUCUUGUUAAGUUUAUUAUAAUCAAGUUUCAUAUGGUUAAUAUGGUACGUACUAUAUAUAUGUAUAUACCUUAUACAUUAUUUUGCCUAAGUAUUUUCUAUAUUAACAUGUGAACUCCCCAUAAGAAAUUUUUGGAAUGCUACUAACAACACCCAUUAACAAACAUAUAUAACAUAUAUAUAUAUAUACACACACACACACACACCAUAUAUAAAGAUUCUGCCAGUUAUAUUUCUUAUCAGUAGCAGAGGCCCCGGAGGAGAAAAAAUAACUAGUCUCUCGCCUCCCCUCUUCACUCUCUUAAACACUUCCCUCUUACUAAUUCAUCUCACUUCUUCUCAUCGAAAGACAGAAAGACGAGGAGGCAACAAAGGGAAUUCGAAAUUGUGGAGAUAUCGCUUCGCCUAUCUAUAUAAAAAAUUCUUCCUCGCUGCUUUCUUGAUUGUCUAGCUAGGGUUAGGGCUUUCUUUUUCUUUUCUUUUUUUUUUUUUUGUCAAAGGUUAGGGUUUUCUUUUUCCAAUAGACUCAAAAUUUAGCUAUAGAACUCUAAAAUUAUUCUCAUCGUGGGUUAAAGAAUAAGGAUCAUAAAUAAAUGUAUUAAAUUUAGGGUUGAUUAAUUAUGAACGAAUUAUUUUCCUUUUCUUAAUCCCAAAGGGUGUAUUCAAUUAGGAUUUUAAGGAUUUUAAUUCUUUUUAUGAAUAUUUAUCGUUCUCUGACCAUUAAUUUAUGCAAAUGAAAUGAUCACUGAUUCUUGUUCUUGUUAAUUCCUCUUUGCAGUUUGUUGUGAUAAAUCAAGUAAAACCUAAAAAAAAUGUCGUCAAACACUCAUUCACCGUGCGCUGCGUGCAAGUUUCAACGGCGAAAAUGCACGCAAGAAUGCGUGUUCGCCCCCUAUUUCCCACCAGACCAACCUCAAAAAUUCGCAAACGUUCACACGGUUUACGGUGCGAGCAACGUCGGCAAGAUCCUGAACGAACUCAAUGUUGCAUACCGUGAAGAUGCGGUGACGUCAUUGGCCUAUGAGGCAGAGGCUCGUCUUCGGGACCCGGUGUAUGGUUGUGUUGGUUUCAUCUCAUUUCUCCAGAACAGGCUUAAGCAAGUCCAGACUGAUCUCUACAAUGCCAAGAAAGAUCUGUAUGCCUAUGUUGGCCCUCAGGCAUUGAUGAUCCCUCUGUUGGGGGCUACCACUGGCCCUCCGCCCCAGCAGGGCUGCAGGGGAGGCCAGCUUUUGAUUCGCGACCAACAUCAGCAGCAAUUGUUCGAGGCUCAUCAGCAAGAGCUUGUCAGGUUCAAUAUCAAUGGGAUGGACGCCGCAGCGAGUUUGGUUAAUGGAAAUGGGUUUAGUCAGAUUCCCGCAGCUGCUGCUAGUACCGGUGUGGUGUCUGGUUCAUUGGGUUUGGGUGGAGCUUUUGAUAAUAACCAUUAUAACCAGAUCCAACAAGAAGCAGCUGCACAUCACCAGAAUUCCCUAGACCAUCAGCUUCAGGCUCGGCUGAUGCUCCAACCACACCCGGCCCAGGAAUCACAGCAGAAAUCAGAAGGCGAGGAGAGUUGAGAUUCUCCAUUGCAUGCCUGCCUUCUUCAAUAAACAAUUGCCCAUCCUUGGUAUGUACUAUGUACGUAGUACACUUUAUUAAUUCAUCCAUUGAUCGAUAGAGUAAAAUUGUACUAUAAAUUAUAAGAAAGUUGUUAUUAGCUCUCCAAAAUGAUUAUCCUGCACUUCAAUUUAUAAACAUACGAAUAAAAUUUGUAUAGAAAGAAGUGUGUGAUUCUUUUUGAAGUGUCAAUAACAGCUCCAACACCAAAAUAAAAAAAUUAAAAUUCUGGUUAUUUUUCCUGUUUGGUAGUUUUCUACUGUUUAUAUUUGCAUUAAGUGAUUGUGGUCUUAGGUUUAAGUUUGUGCCCAUGAAAGUGCUUCAGAAUUAGACGUAUGCUUUUCUUAAACGGGCAAAUGUUAUAUAAUGCUUUGACGUGCAAUUCGAAUUAAUGUUCCACGACUAAACUUGUAGCCAUAUCACCUUCUCAAUUCUGUAAGAUUUUUUUUGACGAUAAUUGGCAUUAUAUAUGGAUUCUUACUGGCAAAAUAUAUAAUCGGUGCCCUAUUAUAUGAUACAUAUUCUUCCGUCAGUAACACAUCAUUUGCAUGCCAAAGUGUGUGUGGGAACAAAACUGAUUAGAAAUAUGGACUUCUUACUUUAUUUUUCUAACAAAGGGUAGUUGAAGUACCAAUUGUUUGGUAUUUAAUUUGAAACCAAUUUAUAGUUUUAGAAAUGAUGAAUGAAAAUAUUGAAGCUAAUACUCCUUGAUUUCAAAAACAAAAAAAUAUAACCAAAAGGAUACGAAACAUGACCUAAACUUCGAUCGUAGAGGGCUUCUUAGGAUUCAUAAACAAUAUUUGAUCACCAGUGUACUCUUAGUAAGUUUGUUGCCCUUUAUCAUUUCUUCAAGGUCUACGUGUUUACGUAUUUGCUGUGCAAAAUCAGUUCUUUAAAUUUCUUUUCGAUUUCCCUUUUUGGAGAGAAGAGUGUCUUUCUUUGCUCAUUGUGGUGAGAAAGUUUGUUUCUGUGCUUUGAAUUUGUCCUGAAUUUUAAUAGAAGUUUGAAUUUGCCUUAGUCACUUGAGUUGCAAGCUCUUAGCCCAGUUUUGUGCAUGCUUUGUAUUUGUAAUUUAUCCUUUUUAUAUUGGAAAGGCUCACACAUAAACCACUCACAACCUAGAGCUCCAACUACACCAUUGUACUCUAUCAAAUUUCUCACACGUUCAUGAUGAGUAACAAUCUUUGGCUCUCAAGUUUCUCCUACAUUCAUUAAUUUGGUGUUUUCUUAAACCUUUGCACCCUUUUGUGUUGGGUUCUCCUGGCACAAUCACUUUCUCUUGACAGCAGCCGCCCCUUGACAGAGACACUCUCUCUUGCCCUUGAUACGGGACCUUCUUGUGUGCUCUGGAGUACUCGGUACUACCAGUGUUUUAACCGUUAGAUGUACUCAUGUACUUCUGUGCUUUAUCUUUUGUAUAUUGUAGUUUUCCUUCGGGUUUUAUCUUAUAUAAUUUUGUUGAUGAAUGCAAGACAUCAUGACAAAAACAUAGAAGGAUGCUAUAUGUAUCGAAGGAAAAUUUUGAAUUUGCUACAACAUAGAGGUUUAGAACUGUGGAAUGUCUUUCAGUACAUUGUAUAACUACUCCCGUGAUUUGUUAAUUAAAUGAUUAUUUCUUUACUUAUUUCCUCUAUUCCCCUCCAUUCUUUGCAGUUUAAUUUGUAAGUCCAGCACAGAGGUGAAGAUACAUACUGAAAGAUAACUCCAUUUAUGAGACUCCACUAAGAUGUGCAAGUGUAGCCAGACACUAUAAGUUGGUGAGGGAUUGGUUUCGAGCUUAAAGAAAAACUCUGAUUGGUGAUGUGAUUGAAUUGUAAAAUUAUGUUCUUGAGCAAAGACUUUCUUCCGAUGUGCAUUCUCCAUUGGUUUUCUAGUUAUUACUUAUGUUGUAGCAGUGGUUGGCUGGUUGGUUUUGACAUUUUGCAACGACAAUUGUUGUUAUUGGUAAUAAGCAGUAGUUAAUCGUUGUAGUAGUUCUUAGAUCCCACUUAAUGUGACAGUCGUACUAUGUGUUCUGGAGGUCCUAUAUAUGUUUUUAACAAAUAAGAGACUUUCAUCAUGUAUUAAGAUGAGUUGGGAACCACAAUUUGAAAAAAUUGUUACUGCAUACCUUUACAUUCAUUGUGAUUCUCGUUUAGUUAUGUAUGGAGUAUCUAAACAUCUUUUUAUUUCUUGUAUGCCAAUUUUACAUGUAUUAAUCAACUUUUUCAGAAACAUUUAAAGCUCUGGACCCUAAACCACUACUAGAAAUCUUGGCAUAGGGCACCUUUUUUGAAGUGUGGAUAUGGCAUGUUAGACAUCUGUUAAAGGUGCCCACUGAGCAUUAGGCACCAAGUGCGCACCGUACCAUCAAGAGUUCCCUAUAACAUAGUUUCUAAAGAUCAUUAGGCAACAAAACCAUCUUUGCGUAAGAAAGCCUUGCCCUAUGCCAACAUUUCUUGUAGUGAACCCUUAGCAAAUAAACUUUCAUGAUAACAAGAUUGGAAACUUUUCGGUUGGCACUUGUGAUAACACCUAUCAUGUUACAUUCCACUCAGCAAUAAAAUUUUCGAUUGUCACUUUAAAAAAAUUAUUGUGCAUCCCACUUUAUUUAUUUGUAUAAGAAAAAGUACAACUCAUCCCUGAUAUAAAGGGUUUAGUCGCUGUUGAAUUUCUACUAAUACAAAACACCCCUAGACAUAUCUAGCAAUACAUGCUGAGGAUGGCAUCUGCAUGCUCUUGCACCACCUUCCAAGCUAUGACUACGUGUUUUUCCUCCGUGAGAGUUGCACCAAUUGCACAACGUAACACAUACAUACCUCCCACCACAGCUGAGUCAUGUACACACGACCUGACCCAUUGAUGGCCUUCAGUAACCUGCAAUUUACCUCGUUAAUUACACCGUUUUCAUCACUUGGAAUUGGAGUAUUGUUGCUAAUUGCCGACGGUGAAACCCUGAAACAAACCAAAGAGAAAUUCCUCGGGACAACAACUUCAAACCUUUUUUCCAUCCCCACAAGCCCUUCAAAACGCUUGGCCAUUUUUACAUCACUUCUAAAUUCUAAUAAAGUUUCUAAGGUUUUCCACUCCAUAGUUUCUAAGCACAAGCCAUAGCUUCGUGGCCGGAAACCCUCGGGUUAAGGCUAUCUGCCAGUCUUUGUUGUCCACCAUUUGCUUUGAAUCUGUGGCCUUGUUCCUCAACCCCUCAAGAUUCACAGACAUUGAGUUUGUCAAUGCACUUGGAUUCUUAACCCAAAGGCAGCAACAAUUGAGAGUAGUGAAGAACCAUUUAUGCGCACUGAGACUGAACGAAUUUGCACACUCAAUUCCAUCAAUAAAAUGACGAAACUCAGGGCAAAUGCAAGCAUUCCCGGCAUAUGCAGCGUCCACAUGAACCCACAUGCCAUAAUCUUUUGCAACAUUGCAUAGUGGCCCCAAUGGAUCAACGGCAGCGGUUGCGGUUGUUCCUACUGUGGCACAUAAAUAAAAUGGAACCAACCCAGAUUUCACGUCUGAACAAAUCACCAAUUGUAGCAAUUCGGGUGAGAGUGCAAAUGAUGAUGAUCUUGUAGUCUCAAUGGCCCAAAAAAUUUUCGAGUGGAUUCCAACAAUUUGAGAAACUUUUUGGAGUGCACUAUGUGUUUGAUCUGAUCCAUACACCAAAUUUCCUAUAUUCUCUUUACCGAUUUGACUUAAGAUUUGAUCUCUUGCAGCUACCAUGGUGCAAACUACGGACUCAUGCGUACUCCCAUGUAACACACUGUUGUGCCUUGGUCCGUUCAUCAGUGCGGAAACGAGAUUCAGAUUACAACCUCACCAAAAUCACACUCAGUUGAACAGAAUAAAAUACAAGAAAUAAAGACACCGAGAAAUUUACGAGGUUCGGCAAAAAUCCUGCCUACGUCCCCGGAGAGAUAUUGCUCUUCACUAUGAGAAUAACAGUACAAGUACACAUGAGUUAAAUCAACAUAACCCAAUCCCAAAUCCCUUGCACACCCACUCAUAGAAUUUUCCCAAGAGCCUCACUCUAUCCCAAGAGUUCUUUCACUAGAAUACUUUUCACUCUAGCUCUCUUGAUUUUUCUCUCACCCAUGCCCAUGCUUUCCCAUGGGAGAGCCGAAUGCUCUCCCCCUUUAGAUGCUCUCUGAUGCCUUCUCAGGAGAGAGCCGAAUGCUCUCUCUCUCCUUUCUCCACUUCGGCUCCUUGCAAUUAAAUGGACAGAAAAGUGAGUCAACUUCUCCUUUUUUUCAUAGACACAAUGAUGAUCCAUCAUGCUCCCUUUUCUCAAAACCCAAAACCACUUUCGGCAUGCAAAUGGGAAAUGAAUAAAAAAUGCCAAAACAAAGGAAUCCCAUGAAACAUCAUCAUUGUCUUCCACUAUUAGCCAAAAUGAGAUAUGGACAUAUUUGGCCACUAUUCUGAAAGCAUAACACACAAAGUCACUUAAUUGUUAACAGCUCAAAAUAUGAGCCAAUCACAACAAUCUCCACCUUGGCGAAUAUACUGUGCAAAAAAUCCUUGCACCCAGCAUACACACACUAAAUAAACCUCGUUGGUCCUGUUCCGAUUCAGUCACUGCCAAUGCAUGUGCAGCUGCUGCAAGCUAAAAAUCACAAUUUAGCUUCAGACAGGAUCUCGACACAUCCUCGUCUCCUCCAAUAGGUUUUCCUCCUCUUCAUUGUCUGCAACCUGGAAACUCGUCAGCGCGCCCGUUUCCAGCAACAACCCAUCGAGCCAGACAAAAUUCCCACACUUCCUCCUACCUCAGGACCAUCUGAUCACCUGUGAAUCCUAUAGCUCCACCUGCUGCAAAACCCCUGCAACACUUGAGACUAAACAUCACCAGGAGAAGUGUUGCUUUUGAGUACCUAGAGGACAUACUCGAAGUCUUCCACCACAAACUUGCUACAACUCGGUCUAGCACCUGUAGCACUGUGGACCCUUGCCUCCGGAACCGGAUCUGAACCUGCUGUCUCUCUCAGAUCCUCUUUCCAAUUUUCUUCCACGAUUCCAACCUUUAAUAACUUAAGCAGUCUUGUGCCCACCAUUAUCCAUGGUCUCCUUUGUGUAUCAUUCCACACCAAAGAAGCUUGCACCUGCUCCAAACUUACUGUAACUUUCCAUGCAGUAAAGUUUCACAAGGUUCUAAGACAAAUCUGAAAGUGAGGUAAGAAGAAAGAGGCCUUUGUCUUCUUCCUCAACAUCAACUUUCGUAGUUGAUCUAAGCAUCCCUGAACACGGCUUCCAUUUCUUCAGGCUUCCAUUACUCUCCAUUACCAAGAGUAAAAUCGCCUCUCCCUUUAAACUGCUCAACUGAAAAUUCCAUGGUGAACAACAAAUCUGGACCUCCAACGAACCAAGCUUCCAACGAUGCUCUGAUACCAAUUGUUGUGCCUUGGUCCGUUCAUCAGUGCGGAAACGAGAUUCAGAUUACAACCUCACCAAAAUCACACUCAGUUGAACAGAAUAAAAUACAAGAAAUAAAGACACCGAGAAAUUUACGAGGUUCGGCAAAAAUCCUGCCUACGUCCCCGGAGAGAUAUUGCUCUUCACUAUGAGAAUAACAGUACAAGUACACAUGAGUUAAAUCAACAUAACCCAAUCCCAAAUCCCUUGCACACCCACUCAUAGAAUUUUCCCAAGAGCCUCACUCUACCCCAAGAGUUCUUUCACUAGAAUACUUUUCACUCUAGCUCUCUUGAUUUUUCUCUCACCCAUGCCCAUGCUUUCACAUGGGAGAGCCGAAUGCUCUCCCCCUUUAGAUGCUCUCUGAUGCCUUCUCAGGAGAGAGCCGAAUGCUCUCUCUCUCCUUUCUCCACUUCGGCUCCUUGCAAUUAAAUGGACAGAAAAGUGAGUCAACUUCUCCUUUUUUUCAUAGACACAAUGAUGAUCCAUCAUGCUCCCUUUUCUCAAAACCCAAAACCACUUUCGGCAUGCAAAUGGGAAAUGAAUAAAAAUUGCCAAAACAAAGGAAUCCCAUGAAACAUCAUAUUGUCUUCCACUAUUAGCCAAAAUGAGAUAUGGACAUAUUUGGCCACUAUUCCGAAAGCAUAACACACAAAGUCACUUAAUUGUUAACAGCUCAAAAUAUGAGCCAAUCACAACACACACCACCACCAUUGUCAGAAAAAAGAAAAGACUUGGGAAGUUUGAGCAUGUCUCCAGGCCAAUCCAUGACUACGGUUUCAAGCUCAGUUGCAGCUGGUGAUGCCAUCCAGUUGAACCCCACGACAUUGAAUCCCGUGGUGAGCAUUUCGCCGAGGAAUCCUGCCGUGCUGAUAGUUGCAGGAAAGUAGGCAAAGUGGUUAGGGUUUUGCCAAUGUGUUAUGCCAGGAACAAUAUGGUCCUGAACAUCUUGGAGGAUGGCUUCUAUGGGUUCAGGGUGAUAUGGGGCAGAUUCUGGCAAACGUUUUCGAAGAUAGCCCGGUUGGACUUGGCUUAGAAUCGGGUGUUUUUCUAUGUUUUGGUAAUAAUCUGCAAUGAAGUCUAUCAUCAUGUGUCCUUGUCUCCUGAACGCCACAAGGUCCAGAGGGUCUUUAGUCAUGUGGUGGACAGAGUUGUUUUCAGGUGGAUUGUCAAUAUUUAAGCUACCCAUUUGGAUAUUGAGGACGUACUAAAACUUAAUUACGAAAACACUACGUAGAAGACGAAAUCAAAAUGGCUUUUGAGUAGUACUUGAGUUCCAAGGUACGAGGAUAUAUGUAUUGGUUUGUUUAUAUAGAUGUAUUUUAGAAUAAAAUCCAAUCACACAAAUAAUUUGGCGACAUGUGCUCCACAUCACUCAAUAUAAUUAUGUGUUCGCCUUAUUUUGGCCUCACACGUGAGUAAAAUCUUCAAGGACUUUCUGUUUUUAUUUUUUGGAAGCAGGGAUUCAUUACCCAGGCAAAGAUGCCAGAAAUACAGAGAAAGCCCACAACAAGGCAAGCAAACAGGAAAGAAACAGAAACAGCGGACAGAAGAGGGAGUUACAAGGAAGACAUAAUAGCCAAGCUAGCAUGUCGCCCCCUCCACUGCACCCAAAAAAACCUUACGGAGGACAGGGUAAUCCAUCACUAUGGAGCACAAAAACCAGAGAAGAUGGGGGUCUAUUGACCCAUGAAACAUCGCACAUCUCCACACACCGAUGCGACGCCAGAGAGUCCGCCGUCAUAUUGGCUGAUCUUGGAAUCCAAGACCAGCGACAGUCCUGGAAAGACUCUCCUAACCUUUUAGCUUUCACUAAUGAAGGAAAGGCUUCCCAUCUGCCCAUCCCAAGGACUUUCUUUUGUAAUACUAAGACUUGCAUGCAUUGCAAGGCUUGAAUGCUCUAACAUUAACAAGGAAAUAAAAAUCUGGCCAAACUCAGGUACUUUGCCUAUAGUAGAAUUAAUCAAAAUUCAUAUCUUAGUACGUUGUUGUGUAGUACAAUUCUCUCAAGGGCCAAAUCAAGGCACAUAUAGUAGGUGGGCAAUUGCUUCUGCCGAGAGUUUUGGACGUUUUGUUAAUUUGUUUGGCUGGAGAAUAAUGAUAUGUCUUGUCCAACAAAUAGUUUUAGGCUAAAAGACUGUUUAUUACCUUCAUGUUUUGUGGUUUUCAACAUUUAAUACAUCAAGUUUUUUUCGUCUCAGAUUCAUACCUAAAGUGUAAAUUUUGGGACAGUCUCAUACAUCCGUUAGUCAAACUAUUAAAUCUGACGUUAAUUGUGACGUGGUGCCAUGUCAUCCACGUUUUUUUUUUCUUUUCUUCUUUCUUCUUCUUCCUUCUUCUGCAACUUUUUUUUUUCUUCCUCCUUCUCCUUCUUCCUUCCUCCUUCCUUCCCCUUCUUCUCCUUCUUCCUUCUUCUUCCUUCUUCUUCAUUCUCCUUCUCCUUCUUCUUCUUCUUCCUCCGAAUGUAGGGAAAAAUUUUUUUUCAUUUUUUUUCAUUUUUUUCAUUUUUUUCAUUUUUUCUUUCUUCUUCUUCUUCUUCCUCCGACUACAACAUUUUUUUUUUCUUUUCCUCCUUCUCCUUCUUCCUUCCUCCUUCUUCCUUCCCCUUCUUCUCCUUCUUCAUUCUUCUUCUUCUUCUUCUUCUUCCUCCGAAUCUGGGGAAGAUGAAGGUUUUUUUAUUUUUUUUAUUUAUUUUUUUCUUCCUCCUUCUUCUCCUUCUUCUCACUCUUCCUUCCUCCUUCUUCUCCUUCUUCUCACUCUUCCUUCCUCCUUCUUCCUUCCCCUUCUUCUUCUUCCUCCGAAUUUCUUACUCCGAAUCUGGGGAAGAUGAAGGUUUUUUUUCGUUUUUUUUUUCUUCUUUCUUCUUUCUUCUUCUUCCUCCUCCUUCCUCCAGCUGCAACUUUUUUUUUCUUCCUUCUUCUUCCUCCUUCCCCUUCUUCUUCUUCCUCCGAAUUUCUUACUCCGAAUCUGGGGAAGAUGAAGGUUUUUUUUCGUUUUUUUUUUUUCUUCUUUCUUCUUUCUUCUUCUUCCUCCUCCUUCCUCCAGCUGCAACUUUUUUUUUCUUCCUUCUUCUUCCUCCUUCUUCUCCCUCUUCCUUCCUCUUCUUCUCCUUCUUCCUUCUUCCUUCUUCCUUCUUCUUCAUCUUCCCCAGAUUCAAGGAAGAAGAAGGAAGAAGGAAAAGGAGGAAGAAAAAAAAAAAAAAGAAGUUGCAGUCAGUGGAAGAAGAAGAAGAAGAAGAAAGAAGAAGGAGGAGGAAAAAGGAGGAAGAAGAAGAAAGAAGAAGAAAAAAAAUAAGAACAAAACAAAACUUCCCCAGAUUCGGAGGAAGAAGGAGAAGGAGAAGGAGAAGGAGAAGGAAGAAGAAGGAAGAAGGAAGAAGGAAGAAGGAGAAGAAGGGGACAGAAGAAGGAGGAAGGAAGAAGGAGGAGGAAGAAAAAAAAGUUGCAGAAGAAGGAAGAAGAAGAAAGAAGAAAAGAAAAAAAACGUGGAUGACACGUGGCACCCAGUCAUGGCGCCACAUCACAAUUAACGGCAGAUUUAACAGUUUGACUAACGGAUGUAGGAGACUGUCCCAAAAUUUCCACUUUAGGUAUGAAUCUGAGACGAAAAAAACUUGAUGUACUAAAUGUUGAAAACCACAAAACAUGAGGGUAGUAAACAGUCUUUUACGCAUAGUUUUAUUCCACUUAUUUUUCAAAUGUUAAGAUAAUUUUGUGAACCAUUCACUUUUUAUAUGCUUAACAAUAUGGGUUUGUACCUAAUUAGUAGGGCAAUAAAAUAAGGGUUGUGCUAUACACACAAUUAUCUUUACUUCUCACACACCCUCUCAAUUUUCGGCCCUCAAAUAGAAUGAAUUGAAGAAGAUUAAUCACAAAAAACUAACAAAUAUGUAUGAGAGAAAAAAAAAAGGUGUGGAACAGCAUUAUCCUAAAGUAGUUGAUUAUACGAGAAAAUCGAGUCUAGCUCUAGGCCAACAGGACACUCUACCCGCCACGGGAAGGUAGCAAACACCAAAUGAUUUGAAAUAUGAUAACUGGGUGGGCGAUUGCUUCUGCCGGGAGUUUUGGACGUUUUGUUAAUUUGUUCGGCUAGAGAAUAAUGAUAUGCCUUGUCCAAUAUGGUGUGCAAAAUUCUCAUCCAUUAAUCGGAGUGGUCUCGCAAUAAAAUCCCACACCGAACAAGAGUUUACAGUCGCCCUCGACUCUUGUAUGGCAGCUUUGGUUGUUAUUCUCCAGUUAUUUUCGUCAUGGUUAUCAUUAUAAAUGACUUUGGAUUCCAAAUUUCUACGUUCAUAGUCGCGAAACUAGAAAUUUAACCUCAUGGGAUCAUGAUAAUAGAGAAGUUAAAUACGUAUCAUAAGAUAAAUUUUGAAGGUUUAGAGACUCUGCAUUUACAAAGUCUAAGACUGACUAAUAAAAAAUUAUUAUCCAAGACUAUUCCCAUUAGUUGAUCCAUAAUUAUGAUUCUAAUUGUACGUCACUUAGUACUACGGUCUGGUGAUAUUCGUUUUCACUUGUAAUUGAAAGGUUUUAGGUUGGUAUUCGUCUUCACUUGUAAUUGAGAGGUCUUAGGAUCGAUUAUUAUUUCACCCGACACCACCAACUGAUAAGUGAGAUUCUUUUUAAUUCUAUAGUUUGAUUCUUUAAGCAUUUCUUAUGUAAGUAAAAGCCAAACAAGCAAAACAAGAAAGCAAGAAGUCAUUCCAUUUUGUCAACUUUUUAUUUGCUCGGAUCAUCAUCCCAGCAAAGCAUGGCCAGAAAUACUCAAAUCAUGUGGUUGACAUGUUCGAAAUAGUUUAAGGCAUUACCAGUUUGAUCCAGGCUUAAUCCUACUAGCAGAGUAUAAUAAGCAAUAAGAACAAAGUAAACGAGGGAAACAUUUUUUGAGAAUAAAAAAAACGAGGGAAAUAAUUUAACCACCACGGGAUGUUUUAGUAGUUGGAGAGAAUCUGAGUGAGUAUUUCAUACAGCUGGUCCUAGGUUCGAUAGGCAAUAAUACAAAGUAAACCGGAAAUUUUUUUUAUUUCGGUAUACUAGUUGAUGCAAGUGCUUCCUAUCAACCAUACAACUCAAUUUAUAAGAUCCAAAUUUGAUAUUGCUUUGUACUAAAUCCGAUGUUAUCUCCUUCAGCUCAUCCCAUCCACCAAUCAUGUUUGGGGUUAAGAAACAAAACCAGCUCUUCGUAUGCGUCCGCAAGUAAGUCCAAUGAUUAAAGGAAGAGGCUUGAAUCCCAGCAAAUUAAUAAGCAAUUAGCUAGCUCUAAAGUCGAGGAAUUGAAGCAGUUUCUGCACGAGAAGUUCGCGUGGUCCGAAAGGAGGCUUGCCCCUAACGAUCCAAUCCUUCUCAAGAAUGCCCUUUUUAGCACUGCUUGCUGCCAUCUGAUCAUGGAAAGCAGACACAAUUUGGUAGAUUGAGUUCCUCAGUACAUCAGCAACAGCAUAUGCUUUUGAAUGAAGCGGGCUGGCUCUCUUUUUACUCAUGCUAGUAUUGGCCAUGCUUGAGUUUCUCAAUUUAAAACCGGUUAACCCCAUGAACUGAUUAGCAGACAGCAAAGUGGUCUUCUUCCCCAUGUAUGUUUCAACAGCAAGAAGGCAAGAAAUCAGCGUUGACAUCACAGCAGCGUUACUACCAGUGAUCUGGGCAACCCCGUAUCUGUCCUCUUUGUGUGAGCAUGCAGUUAGCGAGGCAGCUGUCCAUGCACACCAUGCAUACAACUGCAUUAAAAGAGUAUAUAUUAGGUUUUUUAGUUGAUGAGAAAAACAAUUGAAGUUAUUCCAAAUAUUCAAUAACAUUCUCUUCACAUGCAUAACUGCAAGUUGCCGCCAAUUAGCAUACCGACUAUCAUUUGUGACGUACUGGCUCCUAUAGAUAACAAACUGUACCAAUCUAAGAACAAUUGCCCCUGGUCCAAACCCGUAGAACAAUACUAAGAUGCAUUGUUAGAAUUUCAGGUGGAGAAAAUGGCAUAUUAAUGUUAUUCAAUCCUCCAAAAUUCAGCCCUUCAUCCAUCAUAUCAACAAGUAGUUCGUGAAGCUCAGCAUUUACUCAUGUAAUGUUUUGCCACAAAACAUGAGUAAGUUAUUAUUUAUUACUCUCCAUAGAUGAUGCUAGUUCACAGUUUGACUAAACGGAGUAGGAAGACAUACACACGUGUAGGUUAUAUCCACAAGUAGAAUCAAGAACCGAUAUGUUUACCUGGAAGUUAUCCAAAGGCUCAGAGUAUUUUGAGUCUAGUCGCUGGUCGGUUGGGGGCAGUAACUGACUGGAUAUUCGGGAGCCGUUUUCAACGGAACUUUCCAAGACUUCACCCAUCUUGGAUGCAAGCUGCUCCAGAGGCCGCAAGCAUACAGAUAUAACUCUUCUGUAAGUUUCACCAGUUUCCUCAAAAAAUGCAGCUCUUCUCCAAGCAUCCACAUUAUUCUCGCAAACCAUACAGAGAUCAAGAUAGGCAAGAUACUGAAGAAGAGAACUAGGACUGCUCUCCUCCAGAGCUGCAAGGAGAAUCUCACUUGGAUUUGUUUCUGCUGCCGCUGAUCCUUUAGGUGGUGCAAAUACGAAUCUCUUUGUAUGAAGCACCUGCAUUACAACACAAUUUCAAACACAUAUAGAUUCAAAUCAGAAGACAGCCAUGGUUAACUAUAAAAGGAAAGGGGCAAACAAAUAGCACCAAGUAUUCAGAUUCUUUAACAAGAGAUCAAGCUGUGUGAUUUAUAAAGAGUAUGCCAUAUAGCAUGGUAUAUGACCAAGACGUAGGUUUUCUAGUGUCAUUAAGUAGUAAAGUUCACAUCCGAAAAAAGAGAAGUUAUCUAAUUCGUAUUAAAAUCCCAUCAAAAGCUACUAAGAAGAAACACUGAUAUGCAUGUCCAUGGAGUGAUGUCUGAAUGUUCAAUACUAACACCAGACCCACAAGGUUCCUAAUGCAAUCAUAUAAGAUGGGCCAAAUUAAAGUAGCACAAAAUUGCAAGAAAUAUUCUUCAUCAAUUGAACAGGUCAAUGCUGCAUGAAGCUCUAUAUUCCAGUCACGACUUCUGUUACUUUUAAGUUAUAUUCAUUCUUAUAACUGUAGGGGGAGAGGAUCCAAUGAAGAGCAAGCAUUUGAAGGGGUUAAUAAAACAAGCAAGAAUGUUCCACAAACUUCUAUAUUCAAAUAAUCAUAAACACAAGUCAUAAAAACAAUAGCUAAUUCAAUGCUGCUUUCAAGUACCUGCAGUAGUAUUAAUGAAAAUUAACAAACAUGUUGAUAUGUUUGAAGAACCAACCCGAUGUAAAUGGUGACUUAGUUCCCAGCAUAGUAACACUAAGAAACUCCCAGUGUAGAGUCUGAUCUGCUCAGCAAUAAACUUUCCAGUUGUAGCCUGGUUCUGAUUGUGGUGUGGCAGAAACACCAGCAGAGCAGCUGAAAAAAGGUACGCCACAAAGGAAAGCUUCAAGGAUCGUGUGAUAGCCGAAGGAGCCCCAUUUUGAAGCUGAAAAAAGGAGGACGCUGUUGACAUAAACAAGUAGUGUAAGAGUCAUGACUUGUGUGAGUAGAAAGCAAAACACAACAUGAGAAAAUCAAAGCAAGGCUAAGAAUUUCUUAUGACAGAAAACUUAGUAAAUGAGUGCAAACAGCAAUCUCAAAUCUCAACCAGUAAAUUAAACAUGCUUCCACACGCAAUGUAUUGCAAGCCAGCAAAAAAGAAGUAGAGAGAAUUGGGCCAGGACUUGGUGAUCUGAUCUCCAAGACUGAAAAAUCAUAUCACAUAAACUGCAUAUUUUUGUCAUAUUUUUGUACUCAGCUAUACAUUUCUCUUAACACACCUCAUGUAACAUCACAUUACACAGAGAAAGAUUCAAACUUUGUAUAAAAGUAGCCAAAAACUGACCUGAAUAAUGGGAAACUCCAAGACCCACCUGCGAUUAUACACAUAAUACAGCCCAUAAAGCAACCCCAUCACUAAACCCCUAAACCCCACUCUCCCAAUCGCCGAAAGCCCAUCGCCAAACCCCCCACACACCGAAGCCACCGCAACAAAACCUGACACCGCCGCGGCGCCCAAAAACAUCAGCAAACCCACCGAAAGCUUAGCCCGGGCCCGGGAAUCCGGGGUCUCUGACGAAUCAGGGACGCCCGGAAUGGAAAGGAAUCGAACGAGCCCAAGAACGAGCUGGAGAAGAGAAGCAGGGCGGUGGGGGUGGGGCGAGGAGACGAGGGAGAGCGAGAACGAGAAGAGGACCUGGGAAAGGUGGAAGGUCAAAAACGUAAAAAGGGCGAAUAUCGAUGGGGCGAACGGGAAUGUGAGUGGGGGUUUGGUGGCCGAGGGAGAAGCGGAGGGGACGGCUGAUGAGAGGGUUUUGAACAGGAAGAAGAUGACGAUGGAGGGGAUGGACUGCCAUACGAGGAACCCUAAGAAGCUGUUGUGGACCACCAUCUCCGGCGGCAUAGACGGUGAAGCUGGAGGCGGCAUUGAUUUGUUGGCUGAGGGUUUUAGGUGGGUUUUUGGAGGUUCAGACAAAGGGAGUCGAUUUGAAAUCUUUCAUAGGAGGGACUUGUGGUGGCAUUUUGAGGUUUUUGGUCCUAAGGCCAUCUCCAACCGAUGGCUGGUCAGAAGGCUCGUUUUAGCCCUCUGGCCCUCCAAGAUUCUCCAAGAUAUUAAUAUUUUAAUGAACAGUACAGGGCCAUAUUUGCCUCCGUCUCCAACCGAGGGCCAGAGGGCCAGAUGGCUCGUUUUAGCCCUGUAAAAAAAAACCGUCUCCAACCGAGGGCCAUAGGGCCAAACAUAAUUUAUUAUUUAAAAACUACACUUAAUUUUAUUUAAAAAUCAUGUUGGUUAGUGUUGUAUAAUUUUUAUGUCGGUUAAUGUUAUUUAAUGUUGUUUCAUAUUGUUUAAUGUUGUUUCAUGUUACUUAAUUUAAUUUAACGUUGUAUAAUGGCUUAGGAAGUUAUAGGAAAAAAAUAGAAUUUAAAAAAAAUAUGAAACAAAUUUUGUGAAAUAGAAGUUAUAGGAAAAAAUGGAAUUUAAAAAAAAAAUAUGAAACAAAUUUUGUAAAAUAGAAGUUAUAUGAAAAAAAUAUGAACCAAAUUUUGUAAAAUAUAAGUUAUAGGAAAAAAAUAGAAUUAAAAAAAAUUGAAACAAAUUUUGUAAAAUAGAAGUUAUAGGAAGUUAUAGAAAAAAAAAGAAAAAAAAAGGUUUAAAUUCAUAAAAAAAAAAAAGGAUUUACAACGGCUAGUGGCGCUAGCCGUUGGAAGUUUGAAUUCAAAAUGUUAUUUCUGUCGGUUGUAACCGACAGAAAUAAGAAACAUUAAAAAAAAAAAAUAGCCAGCCCGGGGCUGGCUGGCUGGCCGAAAGCAGCCAGCCCUCCAGCCCUCUCCGAUCCCGUGGGGCCCUCCCAGAUUCUCGAGCCCUCUGGCCUAGCCCUCAGUUGGAGACGGUUUUAGGGCUAUUUUCGGCCCUCUGGCCCUCUGGACCCUUCGGUUGGAGAUGGCCUAAGACCACCUCCUCUAAAGAUGUGAAAAAUAGCAUAUAGGCUUAUAAUGGUAACAAAUAACAUCCUAUUUACUCCGUUAAAUAUUACAUGAAAAAGAAGGAUGUCAAAAAUCCCAAAUAAACUUAUAACGAUAACAAAUGACGAAUCACUUACUCUAAAAAAAAUGACAUAGAAAAGAAACCUAAGCUUACAUUGAUAAAGAGAUGUCAAUAGCAUUUCAUAGCCUUACCUUAUAUGCUAGCCUUCAAAUUUAAUUUUUGUUAUUUCCAUAGCAUUUCAUUUGCCUUACCUUAUAUGCUAACAUAUUUAAGCAUUAUUUUAUUAUUUUUAAACCAACAACAACCCAAUUCUAUUAUUUUUGUUUUAAAAAAAACAUAAAUGAAGCAAUAAAUUUUGACAUAGCGGGUAAAAGGAACAUAUUGACAAUAUGUUAAAUUGUCAAAUCAGCCAUCAAACUUAAAUUUGAUGUUUUGAAUUUAACGUCUCCUUUGGAGAUGUUCUAAGGCUCUAACUGAAAACUAUAAACUGAGAAAGUACACGAAUUUUGUGAGUCUUUCUUGUUUUUACUUUUAUUUUGAAAUUAUAUUUUUUUCCUUGGGUUUAUUUAUUUUUUAGGGUUUUGCCAACUGAGUUUAUAUUUGAUUUACUGACAGAAAUAAAUUUUGUCUAUACGUCCUGGUGCAGUUCCGAUUUCUACCAAUUUUUCUUCCUUCUAACAACUAACUUUAACUGUCACAGCCCGUCCCGGAAUUUUAAUUCCGAGGACAUAAAAAGACGAAAAUGCCCUUAAACGGGACUAAGGGGCGAAAAUUUAACAAUUUGGAUUGAGUUGGACACGUGAGAUCCCCACACCCCUCAAUCCUCUCCCUAUUUUCUGCAUACUGUCUCUCUCUCUCCUCCCUCACGAAUCUCUCUCUCUCUGUCACUCUUCUUCUCCGUUCGAACAAACCAACCACAAAACAACCUUAAACUUCCACCAACGACGGAGUUAAGACCACCAUCGAACUCCUGGAGACUCCACGAUCACGUAGACACCAAUUUCAGGUAAGUUUUACUUCGGAAAACCUAGAUUCUAAACUCCCGUGAAAGUGCACUGUUCAUGAUCUUCGAAUUGACUUUGUUUUAGGACAAUCCAAGCUCAUAGUGAGCUUUAGGAUGUCCCAAGGAAGCUCGGAGUGCUUCGUUGGAAGUUUUUGGACGUAAGAACACGGAGAUCGACAAGUUCAAAGUUUGGCCGGAGCUUUCGAGGCGUUUUCCGGCGAAUCCCCGGCGAGUUAGGAGUCGAGGUAGGUAUCAAUCUCUUCGUCUCGUCAAGUACUAUAACUUUCAUUUUUGUUUCACUCAAUUUCGUUGAGUAUUGAAGAAGUUAUACUCAUUUGAAAAAUACCCAGUUUCCGGCGACCUCCGAGGCUUUCGAGGCAGUUUCCGGCCAAACCACGGCUAACUAGGUGUUGUGCAAGGUACCAUUCUCUUUGUCUCUUCAAGGGCUACAACUUUCGUUUUUGAAUCACUUGAUUUCGUUGAGAAAUGACAAAGUUAUGGCAAUUUGAAAAACUGCUCAGAAAACGGCCGCCGGAAAAACCAGUCCGGCGACCCAAGGAAGAAGAAGGUGCUACAGUAAAAAUAAAAAAUAAAAAUAAAAUUAUUUUAAAAAUAUGUCGACGUCCGUGACGUCGAGUAGAUCACUGUGGUAUAUUCAUAUACCUAAAUUGAACACCGUAUGAGAAAGUUAUUGAAGAUUGUUGGUUAGGUGUUCAAAUAACGUUUUAUAGUUUUCACAUUUAGGUGAAAAUGUGAAUUGAUGAUCCGACCGUUGGAUCGUCACCAAACUUUGAUACGUUGUAAUACGUAAUAUUUGAGGAUUAUUGGAACUUACGGAUUGGGAAUCCGAAUUACGGAUCUUCCGGAAUUGGAAUUGUAAGUCCAUAAUAUAAAAUGUUAACCGUCACUUAGUUUUGGAAAUUGACGGAGAUCCGACCGUUGGAUGGUAAUGAAAUUUUAGGAUGUUGUCCUAGAGGUAUAAUGUGGACCUCUGGAAGUUAUGGAUUAAAAUCUGAGUGGUGGAUCUUCCGGAUCAAUCUACGUAGUGACGUAUUUUAUAUAAGUUAUAUAUUCUAUCGAUAUGAAUUCUGAGGUUGGAAUUGAUUAUUGUUUUAGGCGCCGAUCGUCAUGACGCCUUGGCGUAUUGUGCUAGGGAGUUGUAGGGCGAACUCCAGGUGAGUGGGCAGUUUUGUUUUCCGUAUAUAUAUAUAUAUACUUGACGUUUCCCAGAAAUUGAAAAUGCAUGAAAUUAUGCUUUAAAUGAAAAUGCAUAGAAUUGAUAUGAAAAGUAUAUAGAAAUGUGAGUUGAAAUGCCAUGCAUGAAUUAAUAUAUGAUGCAUAUGUAUGAAUUGGUGCGGUGGACGCACAGGUAAGAAUUGAUUUAUGAUGCAUAUGUAUGAAAUGGUGCGGUGGACGCACAGGUGAGUAUUUAAUUACUGUUAUGAUGAUGAUGAUAUAUAUUGAGCUCAAAUCCUGCACCAUGGUUUAGUGCUUAUAGUAUUCACCGCAUCGCACGCUCGCCUUGGAUCCAAGUAGAUGCUAGUCGUACAGUCCACGCGGAGUGGGUACGACAGACCAGUCGCGAGAGUGUUAGUGAGAUUCCGACUGGUGGGUGACCUUAGAUUAUGUGCACAGAUGAUUUAUGAGAAGCACUAGAGCGUAACUUGUGUGCAGAAGGCCGGACGGGUCACAGAGGUGACUCCGGUAGAGUGAUAAUGAUAGAUUUUGAGCUCUAGGUUCAACCGUACAGGGCUAUUAGAGGGCCUCCGGUUGAUUACUUUCUUGCACCUGAUAUGAUUAUUGUUGAUGCAUCCAUACUUAACUGUUGAAUUAGACAUGGCAUGGCAUGAUUGAUAAAGAAAAAAUGUUGAGUUAAUGAAUUAAAGUAUUGAGAAUAUAUAUGUAUAUUUAUAUUUUACAUUUCUGGGAAAAUAUACAGGUUUUACAGAGAGGGGUUACAACGUUUUGAAAAAUGUUUGGAUUUGGAAAAGAAUUGUUUUACUGACCCACUCAAUUUUGGUUUUGCGCCCCUCCAGGUUCAGGAAUCACAAAGGUGUGGUGACUACGAGGAAUACAGCGGGGUUCUGACAGAUUGGACAAAAUUAGGACUCACCUUCGGGUGUAUCAACUUAUAAAUUGUAUCUUAAAGCUUCCGUACUGUGCAAAUGGUUACGUCACUCUCACGUGACGGCCAGCAUGCCCUCCUUCGGGACGGGGUGUGUCAGUUGGUAUCAGAGCAUGGUUGCAAUCUUGGACAUUUUGAGAAGUUCUAGUGAAUUCUGUCAGAACUACACCGCCUCGUAGCAAGCCACUUAGUUAGAGGAAUUUAGUCUCCCUAAUAUAACGGUUUAGGGGAAACUAUUAUUAUGGUGAUUCAGUCUAUUAUAAAAAGGGACAUUUUAAGAUGGGUUAUGAGUUGAAUUUGAAUCACUUAAGAGAAAUGAUGAACCUGAGGGAGCGAAGUAACGGUUUAACCAUUUGGAAAAGAUGUUUCGGAUUAUGCAAGUCAAAGGAAUCUUCCUUCUGACAGGGGGUCGAGACGACUACCUGGUUUUGGGUAUGAAUUUGUAUCCUGGUGGAAACAGGAGUAUGAUUUGUUGUCAUCGGAGGAACAACCGAUUUAAAAUUGUUUAAGGAAAAGUUUAUCCCUCUGGCAUUUAUUGAUGGUAGUAAACAAGAGUUUACAAAUAUGAGACAAGGAAGGUGAUGAUCGAGGGAUAUUAUAGAAAGUUUUCAGACUUGCCUCGUUCCAUCCAGAUAUUGUUGUGAAUUUGGUGGAGGUGUUAUGUUGUUUUAGGCUGGGUGACAAAAGGAAGUGGUAUUUUUGGGUGACCCCUAUCCAUGGUAUUUCUUACCAGGAGUAUAUGAGAUGUUGUUGAGCCUUGAAGACUCUGAGAAUAUGAUCAGCGAGAGUAAAGAUGAAUAAGAAAAGAAUGGGAAUUAGAUGAAAGAACGAUAAAGUUAAUGAUUCGUCAUAUCAAGAAUAUCGAAAGACUCAGAGCUUCAAAAGAAGUGAAGCUAGAGUUAAUUUUUCCAGUUGAGGUUUUAAUGUCGCUGGUCAGAGUAAAAGUGAUGGAUAUACUGGUAAUCCCAGAUAUUUGAGACAAGGUGUCUCGAGUAAAGGAAAUGUACUUUGUGCAGCAGGUACAAAAAUUAACACUUUGGGAAGUGUGAAAUUAAUGAAUGUGUUUAUGUGAACAGAGGGGACACAGAAUUGUGAAUCGUCCCUAUAAUCAGUUGUACUCAAUAAUUUUCCAUGAUAUCAUAGUGUCGAUUCAGCAGAGUUAUGGAUUUAGUAGUUUGGUCGGAUUGACCGUGAGUACAGAGAGAUUUGAUGAGUUAUAUGUUCAGCCGUACAGACCAUAAGAAGUGGAUUCGAUUGACACAUGAGAAAUUAGUGAGUUAUAGGCUCGGCCGUACCGACCACGCGAAGUGGAUCCGGCCGACGUAUUAUUAAGAUAAGAGUUGAAUCAACCGUAUUGGUCAUUCUAGUUGACUUCGGCUGAUAUAUUUCUUAUUAUGUAUGUUAUUACCUAGAGAGUAGUAAAUAAAUGUAGUUGAGACGAGUGUAUGUAUUGCAUUGAGUAACAAAAUAGUAAUGUUAUAUCUUUGAGAGUGGUUGCCUACUUAUCGAGACAACGAUGAUUUAUCAGUAUUGCGGGCUGCAGACCGUAAUAUUAAUAACUCAUUCGUGGAUUCGUUAAGCAAGCAAACCGGUAGAUUAUUUUAUGUUAGUAUUGUACUUAUUUAGAAUGCUUAAUAAUAAUAGAAUAUAUAUUGUGUCGGUUAAAUUAUUUCCAUUAGAUUGGUUGGUUAUAAUUGUGACAAGACGGAAUGUUAAGGGAAACCAGUACUUUCCAUCGAUCUGGAUGACCAGAGAUUACUUUUGUAAGUAUGCAAAGUGGAUUGAGUCAGGCCGUUAUUUAUGCUGUGAGAGCAAAGAGAUUGUUUUCGAAAGGCUGUCAAAAAUAUUAGCUCGUGUGGUGCUAAAUGAUGUUGUUUGGAGUAGUGUGAAUAAUGUCAAAAAGGGGUUAGACUUUUCUUGAUGUCUUCCCUGAAAGUAUACCUGGAUUGCCUUCAGGCAGAGAUAUGAGGUUCACUAUUGAUUUGUUGCCAGGUAUAAAUCUAUGUUAAAGAUUGGUUCAGGAUGAGUUAAGGGAAUUGGAAAUUCAGUUGAAAGAAUUGGUUGAUAAAAGUUUCAUUCAACCUAGUACAACAUUUUUGAGGAGCCCCAGUUUGUUGGUGAGGAAGAAAAUGGACUUAGAGAUUGUUCAUUGAUUAUAGACAAUGGAGUCGGGUAACGAUUAAGAACCGUUAUCCAUGGUAAUGUACUGAUGUUUAUUUAACCAGCUCAGAAGUAAUUGCGAAGAUUCAAAGAUUGAAUUGAGAUCUGGUUACUACCAAUUGAAUAUUAUAAGUGACGUUGAUCAUAAGAUGGUUUUCUGGACUCGUUAUAGUCUUUAUGAAGUUUGGUGAUGCUAUAUGGAUACUCAUGCUGUUUUAUGAGUUAUUGGAUGAAGUAUUCCAAUAAUGCCUUGAUAAAUAGAUAUCAUUUUCAUUGAAGAUAUUCUGGCAUAUUCUGAGCCAGAGCAGAGCAUGUAAACGUAUUAAGUCGGUGGAACAAAGAUUGGAAAGAAUGUCGGUUGUAUGCUAAGUAGCAAAUGCUAAAGUUAGAUGAAUCAGGUGGCAUUCUGAGAUUUGUUAUAUAUUCUUAAGGUAUUCAAGUGAAUCCUUAAAAGAUAGCAGAAAUUGAGAAUUUGGAACAACCACGAGUCGUAAUUGAGAUUUGGAAUUUCUUAGCUUACCAGGCUAUCUUGGAUGGUUGUGAAAGAUUUUUCAGUCAUUGCUUUGUCAUUGACGAGACUGUUGAGAAAAGAGGUCAUGUAUGAGUGGGAAGGAAAUUGUGAGCAAAGGAUUCAACAACUGAAGUAUUUUCCUCACUCAUGCACGUAUUUUGGUAUUCCCAGAGAAUAGUGGUAAUCAUAUAAAUUUUUAGUGAUGUUUCUUGAAUGGUAUUGGAUGCAUGUUGAUGCAAAAUGUUAGGGUGAUUGCAUACGUUUCACGAUAAAUGGAAUCUCAUAAGAUGAAUUACCCUACGGGUGACUUAGAAAUCAUGAUUACCAUUCUUGCUGUGAAGUUAUGAAGGGCAUUAUAUUUGGUAAGAAUGCAAGAUUUUUACGAAUCCAAAAAGUCUUUCAAUAUCCAUUACUUGGAAGGAUUUUGAUAUGAGGCAGCGAAAGUGAAUUGUAUUGCUUAAUGAAUAAUGAUUGUACGAUCAGGGUGAUCGUAAAGUUUGUUCUAAACUGAAGCACUUGGUGAGAAAUACUACAGUAAGAUUAAUGUCUGGCACGUUUUGCCAAGAGUAUCAUCUUGUGGAUUGAAAACCAACGGAAGAAAAAUUAAGAAUGGAAGAUCGAGAAGAAGUUAUACUUGUUAAAUUUCAAGUUAGGCCUGUUUGGUAAGGUCGUACUUGAAACUUAAAUGCUUGACGAAGAAAUUUAAGAAUUAACCAAGGUAGAGAAAGAAGGUAAGUUAAAUCCUAAGUUAAUCGGACUUAAGUGAUUAUCGAAAAGUUGGUGAAGUUGCUUACAAGCUUGUGAUGCCCUCAGAAUUGGUUAAGGUGCAAAACAUAUUUUAUGAUUCGAUGCGUUGUCACUAGGUGGCAGAUUCGUCACAUGAGAUUCUGGUGUAACUAUUGAGAAUUAAAUUGGAUUCGACUUGAUAAGGAAUCAAGGACGACUUUGGAUUGGAAAAAGAAGGUCCUGAGAAUUAAGACAGAGUAAGUAGUAAAAGCUUUGUGAAGGAAAUCAUUCAGUAGAAAAGUAUGUGGGAGAAAGAGAAUCGGAUGAGAAAGAUUUACCCGAAGCUAUUGUUGGAGUAUGGUUGAUUUAGUUGGUUGCUGGAAUUUCGGGGACGAAAUUCUAUAAGGAGGGAAGAUUGUCACAGCCCGUCCCGGAAUUUUAAUUCCGAGGACAUAAAAAGACGAAAAUGCCCUUAAACGGGACUAAGGGGCGAAAAUUUAACAAUUUGGAUUGAGUUGGACACGUGAGAUCCCCACACCCCUCAAUCCUCUCCCUAUUUUCUGCAUACUGUCUCUCUCUCUCCUCCCUCACGAAUCUCUCUCUCUCUCUGUCACUCUUCUUCUCCGUUCGAACAAACCAACCACAAAACAACCUUAAACUUCCACCAACGACGGAGUUAAGACCACCAUCGAACUCCUGGAGACUCCACGAUCACGUAGACACCAAUUUCAGGUAAGUUUUACUUCGGAAAACCUAGAUUCUAAACUCCCCGUGAAAGUGCACUGUUCAUGAUCUUCGAAUUGACUUUGUUUUAGGACAAUCCAAGCUCAUAGUGAGCUUUAGGAUGUCCCAAGGAAGCUCGGAGUGCUUCGUUGGAAGUUUUUGGACGUAAGAACACGGAGAUCGACAAGUUCAAAGUUUGGCCGGAGCUUUCGAGGCGUUUUCCGGCGAAUCCCCGGCGAGUUAGGAGUCGAGGUAGGUAUCAAUCUCUUCGUCUCGUCAAGUACUAUAACUUUCAUUUUUGUUUCACUCAAUUUCGUUGAGUAUUGAAGAAGUUAUACUCAUUUGAAAAAUACCCAGUUUCCGGCGACCUCCGAGGCUUUCGAGGCAGUUUCCGGCCAAACCACGGCUAACUAGGUGUUGUGCAAGGUACCAUUCUCUUUGUCUCUUCAAGGGCUACAACUUUCGUUUUUGAAUCACUUGAUUUCGUUGAGAAAUGACAAAGUUAUGGCAAUUUGAAAAAACUGCUCAGAAAACGGCCGCCGGAAAAACCAGUCCGGCGACCCAAGGAAGAAGAAGGUGCUACAGUAAAAAAAAAAUAAAAAUAAAAUUAUUUUAAAAAUAUGUCGACGUCCGUGACGUCGAGUAGAUCACUGUGGUAUAUUCAUAUACCUAAAUUGAACACCGUAUGAGAAAGUUAUUGAAGAUUGUUGGUUAGGUGUUCAAAUAACGUUUUAUAGUUUUCACAUUUAGGUGAAAAUGUGAAUUGAUGAUCCGACCGUUGGAUCGUCACCAAACUUUGAUACGUUGUAAUACGUAAUAUUUUGAGGAUUAUUGGAACUUACGGAUUGGGAAUCCGAAUUACGGAUCUUCCGGAAUUGGAAUUGUAAGUCCAUAAUAUAAAAUGUUAACCGUCACUUAGUUUUGGAAAUUGACGGAGAUCCGACCGUUGGAUGGUAAUGAAAUUUUAGGAUGUUGUCCUAGAGGUAUAAUGUGGACCUCUGGAAGUUAUGGAUUAAAAUCUGAGUGGUGGAUCUUCCGGAUCAAUCUACGUAGUGACGUAUUUUAUAUAAGUUAUAUAUUCUAUCGAUAUGAAUUCUGAGGUUGGAAUUGAUUAUUGUUUUAGGCGCCGAUCGUCAUGACGCCUUGGCGUAUUGUGCUAGGGAGUUGUAGGGCGAACUCCAGGUGAGUGGGCAGUUUUGUUUUCCGUAUAUAUAUAUAUAUACUUGACGUUUCCCAGAAAUUGAAAAUGCAUGAAAUUAUGCUUUAAAUGAAAAUGCAUAGAAUUGAUAUGAAAAGUAUAUAGAAAUGUGAGUUGAAAUGCCAUGCAUGAAUUAAUAUAUGAUGCAUAUGUAUGAAUUGGUGCGGUGGACGCACAGGUAAGAAUUGAUUUAUGAUGCAUAUGUAUGAAAUGGUGCGGUGGACGCACAGGUGAGUAUUUAAUUACUGUUAUGAUGAUGAUUGAUAUAUAUUGAGCUCAAAAUCCUGCACCAUGGUUUAGUGCUUAUAGUAUUCACCGCAUCGCACGCUCGCCUUGGAUCCAAGUAGAUGCUAGUCGUACAGUCCACGCGGAGUGGGUACGACAGACCAGUCGCGAGAGUGUUAGUGAGAUUCCGACUGGUGGGGUGACCUUAGAUUAUGUGCACAGAUGAUUUAUGAGAAGCACUAGAGCGUAACUUGUGUGCAGAAGGCCGGACGGGUCACAGAGGUGACUCCGGUAGAGUGAUAAUGAUAGAUUUUGAGCUCUAGGUUCAACCGUACAGGGCUAUUAGAGGGCCUCCGGUUGAUUACUUUCUUGCACCUGAUAUGAUUAUUGUUGAUGCAUCCAUACUUAACUGUUGAAUUAGACAUGGCAUGGCAUGAUUGAUAAAGAAAAAAUGUUGAGUUAAUGAAUUAAAGUAUUGAGAAUAUAUAUGUAUAUUUAUAUUUUACAUUUCUGGGAAAAUAUACAGGUUUUACAGAGAGGGGUUACAACGUUUUGAAAAAUGUUUGGAUUUGGAAAAGAAUUGUUUUACUGACCCACUCAAUUUUGGUUUUGCGCCCCUCCAGGUUCAGGAAUCACAAAGGUGUGGUGACUACGAGGAAUACAGCGGGGUUCUGACAGAUUGGACAAAAUUAGGACUCACCUUCGGGUGUAUCAACUUAUAAAUUGUAUCUUAAAGCUUCCGUACUGUGCAAAUGGUUACGUCACUCUCACGUGACGGCCAGCAUGCCCUCCUUCGGGACGGGGUGUGUCAUUAACUCAGUAAUGAUAUCGUUUUACUAAAAAAACAAGCUAACUGAUAAAAUAUGGAAUUGUUUUACAAUAUCCCUUCAAACGAAGCCACAGUCAAAAGAAUUAAGGUUUUAUAUCAAAACAACCCCCAUGGGGUUGGUAUGGUAAAAACCAAGCACAAAGAAUUGGGCUGAUUUGAUAUUGUUGUAAUGUGAGAAUAAGCAGCUGUGAAAUAAAGCAGCAGAGUGUUUGGUAAACUUUUUUGUAAAAGUUUUUUUGAAUAAAAAAGAAGUAUUAUAGUAUUUGAUAAACUUUUAUGUAAAACAAAUGUGAAAAAAAAAAACUGGUUUUUCAAAGCUGGGUUUUGCAGCUUUGUGUUUUUUGCUUUUUUUCACCUAAAACUGUGAAAAAAAAGCUGAAGCUGAAUGUUUACCAAACAUAAAAAAAAGCUUUUGAUAGCCACUUUUUUCAAAAUCACCUCUGUAUCAAAAACCAGGGAGGCUCUGUAAAGUUGCUCCAUGUUAGGAAUCUCCUUGAGUUCGUCGGCAGCAACUUCAAGCGCAGUGUGUUGGAAAAAAUGGUAGAAUUUCUCGCUGCAGAUGAAACUAAAAAGCAAUUACACGAUAGAAAGUGGAAGUAAGAAUGGUGCAUAGUAGAAUUUCUUCACCCCAAAUAAACCAAACAUGGUAACUUGGUACAGUAUCAGAGAUGCAAUGAGUCCAACUUGGAUGUGCGGCCACAUCCUUCCAUAGCUUUCGUACGAUGGAAUGUAAACUUUUGAGUGCCUGCUCGAUGAAACAACAAAAGCUUUAGUUUUCGAAAGCAUAUGCUUGCUUAGGAAAAAAGUAGGCUAAGUUGUAUAUCCCUUCGGUAGAGUUUUUUGACUAAAAACUUGCAAGGUCGGAAAAAGCUGAGGAUACCUGAUUUCGAAGGACAAGCCAUCCAAGGCCAAAGUAAAGCACACCAAAUGGAAGAAUCAGCGGAGCAAUAACAGAGUAGCAGAGGACAAUUGUAAUCAUGAGCAUAUCACCGGGUACUCUGGUCCCAUAUCCAAGACCACGAGGAAGCCAAGCUGCUUUCACCUCAUCUUCGGACUUACAGAAAUACUUCCACUUCGUAUGGAAAAUUAUCAGAGGAACUAGUCGGGACAGUUCAAGAUCAUAUCCAACGAAAAACAUGUCAUCAACGCAAUUGCGAAAACCAGUUCACUGCAAUAAAAGCAGAAGUGAUAUGAUUAUACAAGAAUCGAAGUCAAUUUGCUUUAUAAAAAGAAAAUAAUAAUAAAUAAUAAAUAAAUAUGAAACAUGAUUAGCAGGUUGUGUGCCCUUUUGAUUGGAUGGUACUUUGGUUUUUGAGGGACAAGGAAUUGGAGUGUUUUGGUUGAAGGACAAAAGUAGAAAUAUUAAAGGGAGUUUUAACGAAAAGCUCACGGUACUGUUCUCUUUAACGAAAAACCACAUUUUUAUACUAAAAAGUCAAACCUGGUACUAUUCACUUUACCUUUUAUUUUGUCCUUAUCAUUAAAAUUCAAAGUUUUCAAGUCAUUUUCAUUAGUUUUCCUAAUAUUAAAAGCUUCAUGUGUAAAACGUUCUCGUGUCGUUGAUAAUGUUUAUAUGACAUAAUUUGCUGACUGCAAUGACAUCGACACAUAUUAACUUAAAGGGGUGUGAUAUUCACACAUCCUAUUUUACUUCUCACACACAUUUUUAAUUUUCGACUGUCGGAUCGGAUGAAUUGAAGAAGAUCAACAGACAUAAAUUAUCAAGAGAUGUGUGAGAAGUAAAAUGAGGUGUGUUGUAGCAUCCCACAUCGCCCAGGGGAGUGAUCCUUAAAUGUAUAUUCUCAUCCCUACCUAGCACGAGGCAUUUUGGGAGCUCACUGGCUUCGGAUUCCAUCGGAACUCCGAAGUUAAGCGAGUAGUGCACGAGAGCACUCCCAUGAUGGGUGACUCACUGGGAAGUUCUCGCAUGAGAUUGGGAAACUCUGUAUUUCCAAAGAUGGAAAUGUUGCUUGCAGGAAAUUUUUUUUUUUUCUUUUUUGAACAAAUGCUUGGAGGAAAUAUAAAUGUGGUAAAAAUGAGUAAUCUGCAAACGUGUGACUGCAGCUUGUGAGUAAUGUGAUCCCUUUAAAUAGAAAGAAAAAAAAAAUGUUAUAGUUAUGUAUUGAUAUGGAUGUUUUGUAAAGUAUAAAUCGUCCAUUGAAGGAAGCAAACAAGCAAGACUUGGCGGUUUUAAAAUUGUAUAAAAUAAAUCGAUUGAAAAAGGUUAUGCCCCAAUCGGCUUUUGUGACGGGGAGAUAAAUUCAGGAUAACAUAUUAGUGGUGCAUGAGAUAUUACAUUCUCUCAAGCAACAGAGUAAUAGUGAGGAGUCUUUCAUGGUGAUGAAAUUUGGAUAUGGCUAAGGCGUAUGGCCGGGUUGAAUGGCCAUUUCUCUUUGCCAUGAUGCAAACAUUGGGGCUUUCUGAGUUUUUGUGUCGAAGAAUUGAAGAAUGUAUAUCUAUGGUGUUUUAUAGUAUUUUGAUUAAUGGGUCGUCCACAGGAUUCAUACAACCACAAUGGGGAUUGUGGCAAGGGGAUCCUAUGUCCCCGGCUUUGUUGCGACGAAGAGAUGAGAUGGGUGGUCUCCACGGCAUUAGGGUGUCUAAGGGAGGGUUGCCUAUUUCACAUUUGUUUUCUGCCGAGGAUGCAGUUAUAUUUUGUAAAACUUCGGAAGGUGAAGCGUUGGAGGGAGGUUAUGAAUGUGUUACAAAUUUAUGUGGACGGUUCUGGGCAAGUUAUAAACAGGGAGAAGAGUUCGUUUUUUUUUCGGUGCUCAUUGUGCGAAGAAAAGAAGGAAAAAGACUGUGGGGUGUACAAAUAUCAGGGGAAGGGAUGACUUUGGGAAGUACCUAGGGUUAUCUGCGAACUUUGGUCAUUCCAAAACUGCGGUAUUCAAGGAAGUGAGAGAGGUGCUAAACGGUCGGAUUAAUGGAUGGGCCGAACAAUACCUUCUUUGGCGGGGAAAGAGAUUUUAAUCAAGGCGGUUGCUAUGGCCUUGCCAAACUAUGCGAUGUCUUAUUUUAAACUACCGGUCAAAUUGUGUAAAGAUAUGGAGAGGCUGAUUGCAAAUUACUGGUGGCGUGGAAACAAACGGACUAAGGGCAUGCAUUGGAUUUCUUGGGGUAAUGAUGAACCCCACCUCAUUGCUGGCUCGUGUUCUCAAGGAAAAAUACUACCCGGAUAGACCAUUUAUGGAGGCAAAACAAGGGAGGCGAUCUUCGUGGGGUUGGAAAGGUACACUUCAGGGACGUCAUAUUUUGGAGCGGGGGCUAAGAUGGAGGGUUGGAGAUGGGCAGAGUAUCAGGAUUGUACAUGAUCCUUGGAUUACGUUCCGUAUACGGUCUAGGCAUGCGGAGAUGCCGGUGAUGGUAGGGGAGUUAAUUGAGCAUUCUACGGGAUCGUGGAAAAAGGAGUUGGUACUCAACUAUUUUGAAGAGGAGGAAGCAAAACUUAUACUGGGGUUGCCAAUUAGUUUCGAUGGUUGUCAUGAUAGACUAAUUUGGCAUUAUUUUAGGAAUAGAGAGUACACGGUCAGAAGUGGCCCUGGAAUGGCUAUGGAUCUUCAAGCGAAUGGGGAAUUGGGUAGGAAGGGUAUGGGAAUGUUUGGCAAGAUGUAUGGAGGCUAAGAGUACCAAAUAAACUGAAGUUUUUUCUAUAGAGGUGUUGCAACAAUACUUUGGCGAUGCGAAGGAAUCUAGCCCGAAUGAGGAUGUGAGUGGAGACGACAUGCGUUUUGUGUUUAUGUAUGUUCAGCGGAGUGGCAACCUCGAUACCCAUGCAGUGGCUUCCUAUGCUACCUCACGUGGUGGUUCGUUCCUGUGGAAUGCUUAUGGUCCUGAAUUUCAUUUUAAUAUUAUUGCAGAAGACCCAUGUAUGAUAUUACUAUAUACUAAAAUCUAGUUUUAAAAAAAUUAAAAAAAAUAAAAAAAAUAAAAAAUAAUAAUAAAAUAACUCUUUCACCAAUAGUGAUUUGACUGUUUUGCCCCUGUCUCACUGUUUCUUUUCUUUUUUAUUUUUCAAUAUGUACAAUAAAAUGACUAAAAUGCCCUUUAGUCAUCUGCUUCUUUCCGUUCCCUUCGCUUUUCCUUUCUUUCUUUCUCCUUUCUUUUUAUCCCGACUCUCUCUCCUCGCAACUCACUCCGGUUUGUCCGACUAAUUUUCUUCGAAUCUGGGCACAGCGUGGCUCGGAUCACCCCUAAAUGAUUUCUAUUGAACUCAGGUGAAUCGUAGAACAAUUGCAUGUCAAUUUUCAUUUGGGUUUUAUUGCUUUCACCCCUUCUUAUUUAGUCAUUUGGAGGGUUUUGUAUGUUUCUUGGGUGUUAAUUAUAUUGGUUUUAUUGAUUUUUUUUUUUGUAUGAAUUUUGUUUGAUAGGAGGCCGGUUCAGUGUGUAAAAGAUUGUAUUGGUCCUCUGUAUUUGAGGGAAUAUUGUCAUAUAAUCACUAUAAUUUUUGCAUGGGUUCAAGUUAAUUACUUCGAGGGUGAACUAAUGUGUCAUAUAUGUUUCAAAGAUAUGAAAUAGAUGUAGGAUUCAUAAAGGUAAUUAAGGUAAUAUUUCUGCAAGAUUGAGCAAAAGAGAGGAUCAAUUGAAAGAUGCACAACCAUGAAGCUAAACAUUAUGGUAAAUAUCUGGAUAUGAAUACUGCUUCCAAUCCCCGUAGAGAGGCCGGGAAGAAUUGAUUGAGAAUAACAAGACGAUUGACCCAUUUUUUUCAUCUUAAAUAAAAACAUCAUGCCCUAAACGCGAAGGUGAGUAAUAAGCAACCGAAAAGAAGAAAAAAAUAAGAAAACCGAAAAGAAUGCUUUUCAAAGUGUAUUGAUUAUCAGUGGUCACGUAAAUUCCAGUAUCCCCUUUUCUUUCACAAUCUAAAAUGGAAACAGAGGAUUUGCUAGUUCAUUGUGACGCUUAGCUCACUCCCCCACUUCCUUAGUAUAGAUAAUAUCGUUUGUUUAAGAAAAAGAAAAAAUUGGAAACAGAUGAUUUAUAGAGAUUGCUCACACCCCCAAAAGACUGUGAUACUAAAAUUAAUUUAAAGUUGCAUUCAACUAAUUGAAACAUUAUACAAUACUAAAUGGCUUAUUAUAUUAGCAUCCCACAAAUUGUUGAAUAAACCUCACAUACUUAAUACCCUCACAUUUGCUUUUUCAAUGAAAAAUUAACUUAAUACAUCCCACAUACUUCCUUAUAAUACUCUCACAUUCUCAAUAUACACCUUACAUUUUCUACAUGCACCCCAUAUUUUCUAUACAUCCCACAUUUCUCAAAUCUUAUAAAGCUUUUAAUUUGGACAAAAAAUGUCGACUGGAAUUUUGACAAAAGAUGCCGCUUUAAAGCAUAUGUGGGUUGUUUUCAAUUCCACCAUUAAAACUCAUGUUGUCUGUUUUUAAUAUUUUGUGGUAAUUUUAAGUGUUUAAUUCUUCAUAUAAUCCAUGUGAUCCCUAAAAGAUGAAUACGAACAUAGAAGCUUGAACAACGCAGCAAAAGCAAGAUUAAAUAAUUAUUGAUGUCAUCAAAAUCACUCAAACAAUAAAAAAAUAUGAAGUCUUACUUCAUAUGAAGCUUCCGAAACAUCAAUUUCGUGUUUCAUUCGUCAAAAAUAAUUUUUCUCAAUCAACAUGUUUGUAGUUUCAUUGGUUAAGGUUUUGUUCAACAAUAAAGGGUCAGAGAUAUUUUGAUAGUUGAAGAAGAUAAAUAAUACGUUAAAAGUGAUUUGGGAUGUAUUUAGAUUUUAUUUUUAUUUUUAUAAACCUAAUAAGGUCAAAAUUGUCAUUGCAUAGUAGGAUAAAUAAAUUAUUUAAUAUUAAAUUUCAAUGUAGAUUGCAUUCAACAUUUUGGGGGAUGCUAGUAUAAAAAGCCUACUAAAGUUCACAUAGUAAUUGCAAUACAUUUUAAAAGUCAUUAAGAUUAUGGAAACGUAAUUGCUGGAGUUGUUAAGAAAUUUGUAUAGCUUGGGCGGGCUCUCUCGUUGGAUUGCCCAUCAACCGCACUUUCCUCCUCCUUAGACCUGUCAUCCAACUUAUAUAGGUUGUGCAACGUAUGUCAUUUUUAAUACUAUUUUUCUUUUAUGUAUCAUCUGAUAUGAUUAGAGACGUUAGUCGGAAGUGCAAUUUGAAACAUUUCAGUGCCAGAUAUGUUCAUCCUGUAAGGCUAUAUAUGCUUUAAAACAUAGGAAAACUAAUGAAAAUGGCUUGAAAACUUUGAGUUUUAAUGAUAAGGACAAAAUAAAGGGUAAAGUGAAUAGUACCAGGAUUGACUUUUUAGUGUAAAAAUGUGGUUUUUCGUUAAAGUGAACAGUACCGGAUGCUUUUCGUUAAAGUUCUCUCAUCAUCAUUUCUAUUAUAAAGGCAAAUAUGUUUAACAAUCAAGGGUGUUUCGUAAGUCUUUGUUUGGUAACUGAGAAAAUGUGAUCCCAUCUUUUAGUUUCUUUUUUCUUUCUGUUUUUGUGAUUUUGAGAAUUUUGUGGGAUUUUGAGAAUUGCACUGAUUAAAUCCAAUUUAAUUUUCUAAGUUAAUAAAAAGAAUUAUACCAAUUACCCAAAUACUCAGUAAUUUGGUUUCAAAACUAAACAAUCUAUUUGUGUGUGACGCUCUUUUUUCCUAGUUCGGGUUGAAAUCCCGGGCAUGUUUUUAUCGAAACCCUUGUAUACAUACUCUCUCCUAUUUGUAUUUGUACUUAUUCUCUUCCAAUAAAUGAAUAUCGUUACUCUUUUCAAAAAAAAAAUAAUAUUAAAUAAAAACUAAACUAAACAAAUUGUUUAGCAUGUGUAAUUUAUUGCAGGCUCCGUGAUCUUAAACAACUUGGUGAGUUCAACUUACAAAUGAAUUAGCAAUAACAAAUGUUAAGACUUACAAAUAUCUAGGAUAUUAAAUUUCAAGAUAUUGAUUGAUAUGCUGACAUAACCUAAUAAUCUCUUUCCCCAACUUCUUGAAAGUGAGUUACCAAUUUCAUUUUGUUUGUGAUUGUUACUGUGUGUAUAAAUACAUGUAUUAAAUUUGGUAUUUUGGGUUGAAGAGAGGAGAAGAGGGAAGAAAGAGAGAAGGAGGAUAAUUUUAGAAAUUGAAGGUAGAGAGUAACACUAGGUAGACAAAAAUAUAUUUGUGCUUUCACAAUUAACCGCUUAAUAACAUAACAUUUUAUAGAUGGUAUUUGUUAAUACGUUUCGAAAGAACGGUGUUUUUUUAAUUUUCACCAUUUUCAGUAAAAUUGUUGGUAUUUAGCGAAAAGUAAAAUAUAGGUAGUUGAUAUUCACUCACAUUUGUCAUUACUAUUUUGUGCAAGGAAUAGCAUAUCCAAGAUGCUACAACAACCAUAAAAAAAAUAAAAAUCACCACACAAACAUUGCAAGGAAUAAUAUAUCCAAGAUGCUACAACCAACCAACUCAAUCAAGCUUGUGCUUCCUAAUCACAUGUUAUAUAAACAAAUGACACUCCAAAUCCAAACGAAAUCACUUCUAACUAUAAAGCACUAUCAUACAUUAGGCCAACGAUGCUGCUGUCCUCGAAACGUUGGAUUGAGCGUCUUCGAAUUGAUCAUGGUUUAGCUUCUCGGAGCUCAGGCUCGGUGGGAUGAAAGCUCUGUAAACUUGCUCCAUGUUAGGAAUCUCCUUGAGUUCGUGUGCGGCAACUUCAAGCGCAGUGUGUUGGAAAAAAUGGUAGAAUUUUUUGCUGCAGAUGAAGAUAUAAAGCAAGGACAAGAUAGGAAGUGGAAGUAAGAAUGGUGCAUAGACGAAUUUCUUCACCCCAAAAUAACCAAACAUGGUAACUUGGUACAGUAUCAGAGAUGCAAUGAGUCGAACUUGGAUGUGCGGCCACAUCCUGCCAUAGCUUUCAUACGAUGGAACGUAAACUUUGAGUGCCUGCUCGAUGAAACAACAAAAGCUUUAGUUUUCGAUAGCAUAUGCUUGCUUAGGAAACAAGUAGGCUAAGUUGUAUAUCAUUUCAGUAGAGUUUUUCGACUAAAGACUUGCAAGCUUGAAAAAGGCUGAGGAUACCUGAUUUCGAAGGACAAGCCAUCCAAGGCCGAAGUAAAGCACACCAAAUGGAAGAAUCAGCGGAGCAAUAACAGAGUAGCAGAGGACAAUUGUAAUGAUGAGCAUAUCACCAGGUACUCUAGUCCCAUAUCCAAGAUCACUAGGAAACCAAGCUGCCUUCACCUCAGCUUCGGUCUUACAGACAUACUUCCUCUUUAUAUGGAAAAUGAUCAGAGGAACUAGUCGGAACAGUUCAAGACCAUAUCCAACGAAAAACCUGUCAUCAAAGCAACAGUAAAAACCAGUUUACUAAUAAAGGAGUAAUUUAGAUAGUGUGGACAAAUAGUAAAGUAUUUUGCAAUCUUGUUUCGGUUACUGAUAUGGAAAAUAAGAGCUAGAAGACAUAAACUGUUACUUACUUCAGGGCCACAAAGGUGAGGAAGUAAGUUGCAUUGGCAGGGAGGCUGGUUGCAAGUAAGUCAACAAUAGAGUUAGGAUCCUUCUCGAUAGUCUUGAAUGUACUGAAUAAGGUUCCACCUACGGUAACUCCAAUAAAAACAUUGAAGACAGUGAAGUAGAAGUAUUUCCCGGAAGAAGCCCUUACUGCAUGGCUCAGGGAAGGGAUUCCCUCAGUCUUAGACAAAAACAGAAGGAACUUUGGCAAGAAAGCUAGAAAGAGUAUGAGUGCAAUUUGAGGUAGAUAAGCCUCUAGCACUGUCCUAAUCGCCUUUUGCUUCAAAAUUGGCUUUAGAAACGGAAGAAGUUUCUUCAGAUUCUCCAGAGUUGUGAAUGCAGAGAUAGCGGCAAUGGGAACCAUAAAAAACAAAACGGUCAGAGCCACAAUGAUAUACACAACAUAUUGCCGCACCUGUCUCUGAAAAAACUUGAUUUUGAGAUUACGCCAAAGUAGUUGACGAGGUUCAGGAGCCUCUGUGACUAUCCACGUGUCAACAAGUUGGGCAUGUAGAGUCUGAGCUGCAGCAGCUGCAGUCACCCUACUGGUGAAAAAAACUAGAGCGGCAUUUUGCUGCUUCUCUCUGAGAGUGGCUUUCUGUUCAGCCUCCAGUUUUGGGGUUAAUUCAUUAAUCUUCUUAGUGUAGUAAUCAAUACUGUCUACUUUUGCCCCACAAAGACCAAGGAACCCGGUUUUGUUAGUGGGUCUUGUUCCUUCUGAUUUGCCAGUGUCCUUCGAUAUUGCAUAAACUGCUUCAGCGCGCGCAAGCUUCUUCUUAUACCCUUCUAACUCUUUCCAAAUUUUGUUCACCUAUAAGAAUAGCGUUAAUAUGAAUGGAAGAGAAAUACUACUCAAAUGAGGAACACACCAUCAAACAGUCGUUUUACCUAAGCGAUGUUCCGAGAUAUAUAUGACAGUUAACAAAGGCGCAAAAUGAGGAGAAAAGGGGGAAAAACAAGCAUACCUCUUUGUUGUCUGUGACAACCAAUGAUCUGUAAAAUGUAUCAGGGUAGAUGGUCUUAAAAUAAGAAUCGACCUGUUCCUUUCUAAUUUGACCUUCGGGGACGUCAGGUAUGUCUCUGACAAGAAUGGCAAAUUGUUCUGGCUUCGCUUGAGGAGACAUUAGAGCACUGGCUCUCAGGUUGGAGGCAUGUUUAUAUGCCUUCCACAGCAAGACGUAUGUGACAAAAGAAACCCAGUAGACACCAACUAGAAAUGCCCACAACCUAGGACUCUUCUCCUGCACAUACAGAAAGACAUAUGAAAAUACAAUCAGCAUUCAGAAUACAAUUCAAUUGAGAGAAUUAUACCAAAAACCACAGCUGCAAUAAAUCAAAGGGAAAAGAAAAAAAGACCAAGACAUUUCAUGAAAAUGUUUUGUAGCUUACCUUGAGAUGUCCCAUGGAUAAGUGGUCAAGGUCACUAAAAGUGCCAUUGCUUACGCUUGCGUCGGCUAACUUAUGCGCUUCUUCGGUGGCAGCAACUGACAGAAGAAUUGGUAGCAGAACAAUGCUAGAUAAAACCAAUAUACCCAACACUGCCACAUCAAAUAGGAAAGUUAGAACCUUGAGAUUUCUGGCUUUAUAAAUUAGGCCAACCAUUGCAUACUGUUAUUCCAAAACAUGGAAGCAAUAUAAUCGCAGGAAGUAAAGACAAAAACAAGUACAUUAAAACUCAAGAAAUUCAGUAUGUAUUAUGUAACCAAGGUUUCAAAUUCUUCCAGACAGAUUGAAACUGUUAGUAAUUGGUCAAAAUUGUUAUACAACUUACUACUUCAGUCAUAACUACGCUAGUAUGAUAUCGAAAAUCAUCAGCGAAGUAGAAGAUUAUCAAUUCCAAAGCAACAUCUUUCUUGUAAAACAACUGUGGUCAGGUGCCAAUGACAUAAAUUCCCUUCAUUUUACACAAAUCCAUAGUUUUUAGAGUAUAAGCAAAACUGGUACACACUCUUCCGUAAUACAAAUAUUGUCGAAACGUUGAAACCAUUCUAAGAGUUCCAGAUUUCACUUCUCAAAGCCAGAAAUAAAUUAACUUUACCAAUUUCAUCAAACAAACUUCAUCUAUCCAAAUUUACAGCAGUAAAAAAGUUAGAAAUCUGAGAGAAAACUUCUAAAUUAGUCCAUCCAACAAAAACAACCACAAAGCAGCAACAAUUUCAAACUUUUGAGCAAACGGAACAGAACCCAGAAACAGUAUCAUGGUAAAAGCAAAGGAGACAAAGUAAAUUCGAAAACUGUCAAACGGUUAAAAUGGCAGAGAGACAAACAAACCAGUGCUCAUGAACACAAAGUACACAGCAGUGUCGACCCCUGACACGGAAAUAAUUUCCUGCUCAGUGGAAUACAGAGCCUCUUUGAUCCAAGCAAACGGGUUCCGGGUCAUGGACCCGCCCUCCCAUGGAUCCAACCCUCUCAAGAUCCGAUUCGGAUAGUAAACCACAGUGUUCCCAGGCUUUCUCGAAAGCCAUGUGAACAAAAACAUCAGAACCACAAAUAUGAGGAAGGAAGUCCCUAAGGACGUCAAGAACGAACUGAGAUCCAUCUGGGGUUUUCUCUAAAUUGCCAAAGAUUCAAGCUUUUUCUCUCUCUAAGCAGUUUGGAGUGAAAGUUCUAGUGAGAGAGAACAUGCACAGAAGCAAUAGAAAAUCAGAUAGGAAUGGAAAUAAAACGAGAGAAAAUGGAGGGUUAGAGAGAGAGAGACACGUUAGAGGACAUUAAAUUAGAGGAAGGGAAAAGUAACCGUUGGAGGAGGGGGUGGAGGUGGAGGAGGAGGAGGGAGAGAAUUAAAGGAAGGUUGAUAGCUUUUGGAGGUUGUGAAGUUAAAGUCCACGAAAGGCAAUGCAAAUGCCAAAACCUAAAUCAAUGACAAGAAAUGAAAAUAUCUUAAAGCAUAAUUGGCAAGUUGUGGGGCCCUUUUGAUUAGUUGGUACUUUCUAUUUUGAAAAUAUUUUUGCUAGAAAUGGUUAUGAUAACUACUAAUCUAUUUAUUACUAUAAGAUAAGUUUAAAUUUCGAGAUAUAUUUAAUAAAUAAACAUAAAUAUCAAAAUUUAAAUUUAUCUAAUUAUUGUAAAUGAAAUAAUAAAUAUUAUUAUCACUUGAAAGUGAUGAGAAAAGUGCACCUCCUUUAUUUUUUAGGGACAAGGAAUUGAAGUGUUUUAGUUGAAAUGACAAAAGUACGAAUAGAAUGCAUCACAAUCACUCUAUAAAAUUCCAUUAAAUUGGUGUGGCUCCAUCUGAGCCUUAAAAUAUAUUAAAAACUUUAUGUGUGAAGCGGUUCACGUACCAUUAAUUUGUUGAUUGCAAUGAUAUCGACACAUAUUAAUUUAAAUAAUGAAAGGUCGGUAUCAUAUGGACAAUCACAAACUACAUUGUACAUGUUUUUAAUUAUGUGGAGUAAUUACUUUUUAUUAUGAGAGAUUGGGAGACUCUGUAUUUCCAAAGAUGAAAAUGUUGCUUGCAGGAAACAUUAAGGUGGUAAAAACGGGUAAUCUGCAAACGUGUGACGGUGCCUUUAAAUAGAAGAAAGAAAAAAAAAAGAUAGUUACAAUUAUGUAUUGAUAUUGACAUUUUGUAUAGAGCUUUUCGUUUGAAUGUCAUACAUUUAUUAGAAAAUUCAUCAAUUUGAUCGUUAAACUACUGACGUGGCAAGCGUAAGGCCACUCUCUUGUCCACAUGAAUUGAGAAAUUAAUUAUAAGAUGAGGUAUAAGAUAAUUUUUUUCAUUAUGCUAUACACAUAAGCAUAUUAGAAUUUUGGUUUGCAGAGGUAUUUCACAUGCAUUGUAAAUCACAAAUUAACACAUACGUAAAAAAUAAAAUAUUAUUUACACUAAAGAGUAAGCGUAUGAACUCAACUUCACAAUGAUUUAGGUAUAAAAAAAAAAUAGUUCAAAUUUAUCUAUAGCGAGAAUUGAACCUAAAACCCUUCACUUUCAAAUGAAGAGGAAUUUAAGACAUUUAAGAUUCCACCGUAAACUAAUUGGUAAUAUAGAAAGUAACUCAAUUACUUAUGAGCAUAUGUAAUGUUCCUUAUAUCUCCAGUGUGAGAUUCAUACUCUCAACAAGAAUACCACUUGACCAUAAUGCGUAUACUUACGCGACUUACAUUGUAAAAGUAAUGAGCUAAGUAUUUUCCUUAUCAUUUUAAACUUUAGGUGUAAGAUCCCACAUUGUCCAGGGAUGAGGAUCUUGUAAGCCUUAUAUGUAUAUUCUUAUCUCUACCUAGCACGAGGCCUUUUGGGAGCUCACUAGCUUCGGGUUCCAUUAGAACUCCAAAGUUAAGCGAGUUCACGCGAGAGCAAUCCCAUGAUGGGUGACCCAUUAGGUAGUUCUCGUGUGCCCAUGGGUGAGGAUCUUGUAAGCCUUAUAUGUAUAUUCUCAUCUCUACCUAGCACAAGAUCUUUUGAGAGCUCACUAGCUUCAAGUUCCAUCGAAACUCCGAAGUUAAGCGAGUUCGCGCGAGAGCAAUCCUAGGAUGGGUGACCCAUUGGGAAGUUCUUGUGUGAGUUUCCAGAAACAAAACCGUGAGGGCAUGGUCGGGGCCCAAAACGGACAAUAUAGUGCUACAAUGGAAUCGGACCCGGAAUAUGGUGGGGGCUUGAACUGGGAUGUGACAUUAGGGCCUUUCAUUAUCUUUAUAAAAAAAUUGUGGAAAGACAUUUGGGUUGAGAUUUUAACUAAAUUACUGAAUAAAUAAUCAUAAUUAGAUAUAAAAUUCAUCGGCUAUAAGAGUCGAAAUCAUUUACGUCGGCUAUAAGAGUCGAAAUCAUUUACAAAAGAAGAAUAAUAUGCGGGUAAUGCAGUGGAAAUGGCUGGCCUUUCAAUGUGACUUUUCAUGUUAAAUAUUAAAGAUAGUGUUUGGUGAGUGAGGUCGGCCAAGUGCUUUUUCGACUUAAAAAACAAUCUUUUGUGAUUCUGUUUCUUUUUGUAUGUGGGUGGAUUCUUUUCUCUUGUUUUAUCAUCUCUUCUCUUAUACUCUUUUGUUGUUUUUUUUUCUGUAUAAACAAUUCAAAGUAAGAUAUUAACUUGUUUUAAUCGUAAAGCUUAAAUAGAAAGAGAGAUUAGAAUGGAAGAAAAUUCUACUGCUCUGUAUUGGCAUCUAACAAUUAUAUUUGUGAGAUGUUUUAAUCAAAGUUAAACCCAUAAUUGGUAUUUGAAGUCUUUCGUAUUAAGGAAAACAUGUACCCUUUCCACCACUAACACCCAUUUCUGCGAUUGCAUUAUGUCAAAUAGCCCUUGGACAUGUGUCUUUUGGGUUUAUUUUAAUCAUAUAGGUUUUGGGAUUAAAUUGUGUCAAAUAGCUCUUUUUUUUUCUUAAAUAUACUAACUUGGUAUUAGUAACUAAAGAAAAUAACCGUGUGAGAAGAGGAGGAAUGCAAGAAAAAGUAUAGAAUUUUUAGGGUCCCAUUGAAAAAUAAGGAGGGGAAAUUGCAGGAGGUUUCAAAAUGCUUCAAAUUGUAUGAGGUUUCAAAUUUUGGAAACAGCUUAUGCAACACAAGAAAUGACAACGACUAUCAAAUUCUUAAACCCUUAAAUUCUAAAAUUCAACCGCAAUUCGGAAACCAUAUUUCAAUCUCAAAAUCCCCAAGUCGAAAACCAUAAUUCCAAUUCAAAAUCACCGAAGUUCAGUUGAGUUUCUUUUCACCUCUCGCUCUUGUAAUGGAGCUACGCAUUUGGUGACAACUCACAUCACGCGUGUGGGGGAUGUCAUAGGUGGGAUUGUUUUGAACCGAAGUGGUUGUUUAAUACUCUGGCACAUGAUGUAAACAUUUCAAUUCGUAACUAAUAAUAUUAUACUCUUUGAAAAAAAAAUCCCUCAUUCUUUUCAAAAUUUCUAAUUUCAUGUAUGUAUAUUUUUUAGGGAGUUUUAACAAAACACUACCGAUUCACUUUUAACGAAAAGCCACAUUUUUACCUUUAACCGUUACUAUUUACUAUACCUUUAAAAUGGGUUUUUUAUUAAAAUGAAAAUUUUUAUAGACUUUUUGUUAAUUUUUCUUAUUUUUUAUUAUAUUCAGUUCGGUUCGAUAUUACCAAACUUACGUCGGUGAUCCUAAUUUCAAUACCGAUGUUUCAAGAGUGUUUAAUUUCAGUUACCAAAUGAUUCGAUAAUAUCGGUUCCAUUUCUUUUUUUUUUUAAGUUGGAUUUCGAUAUGACUCGGUCGGGUUCCUUUUUUCGUUUUUUUUUUUCGACCCUACUUUGGAGUGUCCACAAGAUAAUAUCGGCGCGGUUUGGUUUUUUCUUUUUUUAUGUCGGGUUUCGAUAUGAUUCGGUCGGGUUCAUGUUUUUCAGCCCUACUUUGGAGUGUCCACAAAAUGGCCCUUACCUCUAUUUUGAAACGGUAAAUAUAUGAGAUUCAAGAUCUUCUUUUCCAAUAAUUUAAUCUAUAUUUUUUUGACAAUAAAACAAUAAUAAUAAUAAUUUAAAUAUUUUUAUUUUGUCAAUUUGUCCAGGUCUUGCAGAUAUCGAAAGCUGCUGUUCAAAUUUUAGGCCUCUAAAAUAUAUUAGUGCUUAAUACGGGAAAAACUUUUUCGAUGAGUGGAUUAUAAAUGUUUUAUGAGUUCUAAUUAUUAGCUAUUAUUCAUUAUGGAUAGAUAUAAAUGUGUAAAAGAAGACAGCAUAUUGAUAAAAGAUUUUUCAAAAUUAAAAGAGCGAUUGAAUUGAAAAAAUAAGGGAUUUGUAAGUUAAAAAAUUUAGAUUCUCGUUAAAUGUAAACUAAACUUUUUUUUUUCUUAAUUUAAUGUUGAUAAUAUCGCCCUUUAGAAAAGAAAAAAAAAAAGUUAGGUUGCGAAAGUUGGCAUUUGACGAAAGUUACGGCUUUAAAUUAGGUAUUAGUUGGAACUUGGGUACCAUGCCACCUCAACGUCAGUAUUCACCCUCAAAUGCAAACCAGCAGUUGUCUUAAAUGCCAGCCAACACGUGUCAACACAAGUACUCUGCCGACAAACAGUGUACGUGACUUAUGACCGUUGCGCGUUCGUAACGCAAUCCGUUGCAAAGGUCCCAACUGACGUGGAGGGACCCAGUUUCGGAUAAGUGGAUUUCUUUCUGUUUUUGUCCGAUACGAGUCAGUGUUGUUUCCGCGUAUUUGUUUUGUCGGUUUUUGCAGAGCUUACAGAUUGUAAUUUGAUGCCACGCAGUGCACAAGAGACUCGUGGGGCCGUUACACGUGGGAGCACAGUAUGGAGGUUGAGAAGGACUGUUGUAUGAGAAGGACCGGACCGAAGGAGUUCGACCCACGUAUGGAUGUGGCAAGUUUUACCUAGUUUAUGUUAAAAAUAGUCAGGUCAUCUCCAACCGAGGAUUGGCCAGAUGACUCAUUUUAACCAUCUGAUAUUCUAAGAUAUUAAUAUUUUAAUAAACAGUACAUAAUCAUAUUUAUCUCCGUCUCCAACCGAGAGCCAAACAUAAUUUAUUAUUUAAAAACUACAAAUUUUGUGAAAUAGAAGUUAUAGGAAAAAAUGGAAUUUAAAAAAAAUAUGAAACAAAUUUUGUAAAAUAAAAGUUAUAGGAAAAAAGUAGAAUUUAAAAAAAUAAAAUAUGCACCAAAUUUUGUAAAAUAGAAGUUAUAGGAAAAAAAUAGAUUUUAAAAAAAAAUAUGAAACAAAUUUUGUAAAAUAGAAGUUAUAGGAAAAAAAAUAUGAAACAAAUUUUGUAAAAUAGAAGUUAUAGGAAGUUAUAGAAAAAAAAGGUUUAAAUUCAUAAAUAAAAAAAAUAAUUGAAUGCAACGGCUAGCUGACUCAGCUAGCCGUUGUAUUCAAAAUUUUCAUAUUAUUCGUGUCGGUUAUAACCAACAUGAUUGCAAUUAAUCAAAAUUAUUCCUGUCUAGCAAUUACUAUUGGUGUUGGUUAUAACCGACACUAUUGCGAUAAACAAAAUUAUUCAUGUCGAUUAUAUCCGACAGUUUUAAGCAAAAUUAUGGCCAGCCCGGGGCUGGAAAGGGCUAACCCUCUGGCCCUUUAGCCCUUUCAGAUUCCAUGGGGCCUACGAGUCAUCUGGCCUAGCCCUCGGUUGGAGACGGUUUUCAGGCUAUUUUCGACCCUCUGAUCCUCUAUACCCUUCGUUAGAGAUAACCUAAAUAUAUUAUAAGGACCAAUUUCCAAUCGUAGUAACAGAUGAAAGUCGUAUGCCACUCACAUGUUUUACAAUACGUUAAUUAUGUGAGUGGAUGACGAUUCAGCUGGAUUGUUACGGUUGGAUCCAUCAAACUCUUCAAUACAUUAGCGGUUAAACUCAUUUAUGCUUGCAUGCAUACGAGCAACUGUACUUAAUACUAUUAGCUGAUUUAUUGUAGGACUUGGAUUCUCUGCCCUCCCAAUUCGGUGCCCUUCCCGUGCCCUCUUGUUUGUGUGGUCACGGUUAAGCCACGUCAAUAUUUUAUAUUACUAUUUUUCUUUUGUCUUAUUAUUUUUAUAAAAAACAAUAUAAAAUGUUAGCAUGGAUUAACUGUGACCACACAAAACAGGAGGGCACGGGGAGAGCACCGAAAUGGGAGGGCAGAGAAUCCAAUUCCUUUAUUGUAUGCUAUGAUUCAAUAUGAAAACAAUGAUUGCUUCCUUGGUUGAUAAGCAAGCAGACUUGAAAGCUUUCCAAUUAUUGAUCCCACACAAAAUCAAUGAAAACUACCUGUGAAACACGAGAAAAUUUUCAUUUUGUUCGAAAUAUGUAUAUAUAGUACAUCACGUGUCAUUAUAUAAAUACAGAGAAAUGUUAUUUUUUUAUGUUAUUAAUUUUUAAUACAAGUAUUGCACCACUUGUAUAAUAAUACGUAACGUAUCAUCUCGUGUUCCAAACACAUUGCAGAAUUUCUCGUAAAAUACAGGAAAAGUAGGGUUCCAUUCUAGUAAGCUCUUUCGAUAAGGAAAGAGAUCUGCUUCGGAUCCCUUCCAUCAAAGUCACUAAAUUCGUCAAUUCGGGUUCUUGAAAUUUGAUCUAACGGCUAAAGUUAUUAUAAUUUUUUAAAGAGACCUCUAUUUUUAGCCGUUAGAUCAAAAUUUAAGAGUUCAGAUUGAUGAAUUUAGUGGAUUUGAUGGAAGGGAUCUGAGGAUCCCUUUCCUUUCAAUAAUGCAUUGCAUUCCUAUUUUUCGUAAAAUACAGGAAAAGUGGGGUUCCAUUCUAGUAAGCUCUUUCGAUAAUGAAAGGGUUCCAUCAAAUUCACUAAAUUCAUCAAUUCGGGUCCUUGAAAUUUGAUGUAACGGCUAAAGUUAUUAUUAUUUUUGAAAGAUAUCUCUGUUUUUAGCCGUUAGCUCAAAUUUUAAGGGUCCAAAUUGAUGAAUUUAGUGGAUUUGAUGGCCCUUUCCUUUCAAUAAUGCAUUGCAUUCCUAUUUUUUGUGGCUCAAAUGAUGACACACCAGUAAGACACAAGAAAAGUGGGAUCCUAUUUUUGUUGUACGUGGUGGUACUGAUACCUGAUUAUACAUGGAAGAAACUACAUUGUACUUCCUUUUUUUUUUUUUUCGUUAAAGUAAUCUUUUUUUUUUUUAAUAUGGUUUGGUGAUUGUCGCUUGGCUGCAGUGACUUCUUAAGUUUUGUAUUAGAGGAAUUUUGGUUCUUUGUUCUUCCUCUUUUCUUAUAUUUAUUUUCUUCAAGUUGCAAAAGAGUCAUUUGUUCCCUCUUCGUUUCUAAUUUACGGGAGGUAAGAUUUUUGUUUUUUCUGAUUAAGUGUAACUUGUAUUUUUUAUAUCAAUAAUUUUUUCUCGUACUACUCAUGAGCAAUCUUGAAUUACAUAAUAAUACUACGACAUAAACAAAAUAUGUAUCACCGAUCACAAAAACUAUUAUUUGAGUAUCAGUUUCAUAAAUUUUUUGUAGUACAAGAGUUUAUUUUAGGACCGAGGAAACCCGAGAUCUAGCACAUUAUAAAGGAAGGAGAUGUGGUGUAUAUAAAUACACACACAGAUGCACACUACUUUUUGAAUGGUUUACCCUUGAUAAACUCAAUCGCAUGAUAUCCAUAUGAAAUUGGAAAAAGCUUUGUUCCAACAAAACCUGCAGAUUUUGCUAGGUUAUUAAAUUCAACUGCUGUUCGCUCCUUGCCCCCAGGAAAAAGGGCCAUCAUCAUCAUGUCGAGGCGAGUGUGUUCCUUGUUUCUGGUGUAUUUUCCAGUACUUCAGGUACUACAAAUUCCACAACUAUUACCUUCCUAGUUUCCGGUAACGCAUUCCAACAGUUUCUCAGCAACUUAAUGCACACGUCAUGCCCAGUUAUGAAGUACCCAGUGCAAAGCACAAGGGUAAAUCAAAUUUUCAUAUUGUGAACAUGCAUGAAGUAGUUUUGAUGAAGAGUAAUGCUAAGGAGACGACGUCCACAUCGUACUACUUUUUUAAUACAAACAGAGGCCAUCUCUAUUAAAGAGAUGGUAAAAUGUAGUUCCGCUAACAUUUUCUUCAAUAACUACUAAAAGUAAGCAAAACCGAACCUUCAUCAUUAUCGACUGAGCAUGUGGUAUUGACUCAAACAUAUUUCCCGCAACAUGCUUCACACCUAUAUAUAAAUGAAAUCAGUAAAGAACGUGAGCCAACUAAUAGUUAAAUAGGAUCUGUAGCUGUUGCAUUUGGACCAUAAUUCAAAUAAGAAAGUGUGUGAAUUAAAGGCUAUUUGUUUAAGUAUUUCAGCUUUAGCCAAUUCUUUAUAUUUUGGUUUUAGUUUUCAGUUUUCUAUUUCAAUUCUUGUUUUUUCCAAAAAUUUGUAUCGUAACUGUUUUCACUUUUUCAAAAAAUGACAAUAGAGAACUUAAAUCAAGCCAAAUUUUGAAAACCAAAAACCGAAAACCACUUUUGUUAAUUUUCAAUUGGUUUUCAGUUUUCAGUUCUCUUUGGAUAUACUAACCUUGAUAUUUAGGAGCACGGGCAAUAGCAUCAGGCAAAUCGAAGUUAAUACCAUGGAUGUAGGGAUAUUUAGAUAUACUAUUUUCGCAAGAGAAUUACCCAUGUGCCACCUCCUACGUCCAUCAGCUCUGUCACCUCUUCAAAACCUUUAUAUUCAGUGAAUACCUUUUGAUCAAAACAUAUAGCAGAGUAAGCGGUCAUAGCCUCACUGAACAAUCGACCAAGCUCAGGUCUCUUUGACAUAUGCUCGAAUGUAGUCUCUCCGUGGGCCUUGUAGAAAGGAUCGCACCCCUCUUCAAGCACUCAGUGCUCGAUGAUAGCUUUAGUAUUGGGGCUAGAGAAACUCCAUUCUCAUUGGAAACAAAACAAAGCGAGUCCUUUGUUAGGGCAUAAGUCCUUUCUUGCUUGGACUUAUCAUCUGGGGCAUGGCCUUGGAGAUGUAGAUAGGAGGCAAUUGCGCUCAGCAACCUUAGCAUUCUCUCCAAACUCAACAUUGCAUUUGGAUGAUUUGCAGUCGGAAUUCGAGAAGCGAUUCCUCCGCAGUAAGAUGAGCUCCAGGCCCUGAGUUGGAAAGGAUAUUGAAGACACUUAGGUCAACUGCAGCUCUUAGAACCAUUUGAUUGCAGGUGGAAUUUGUCAAACCCCAAGCUGAGAUGUAAUUUUCUAAACUUAAUCCCUGGCUUUCCAUCUUUUUUUUUUUUUUGGAUUUUCAAGCUCUCAGUCAAUUUUAGUUUGUUGGAUUGCCUUGUUUAUUUUGGCUCCGAGCAUCAGUUCUCUAUAUAUACAGAUACACUUGCAUGCAUGAUACACGUCGUUUUGAGCGGAAAAAAGUGGGUGAGCAUGUCUAGCCAGCUGGGUUUAGCUAAGGGGCGCCUAACCAUAUAUGGCCUCCAAGAAUAGUAGGUUUUUAGGUAGAUAACUCACCAAACUCUUUACAACAACAACAAUCAAGUCUUAUCUCACUAGGUGAGGUCGGCUAUAUGGAUUAUAGAACAUCACAGCGCUCGGUUUUGCGACGUAUCUUUUGUUAGCUCCAAAUACUCCAUAUUUUUCGUUAAUUACUCUUUCCAAGUCUUCGUCUCAAACUCUUUGACAAAAAAUACCCACCAAACUCAAGACAAAUUGGAAGGAAUGGAUGGAAACUCUCAAACAUUGUCCAUGGAAUGUUGAAGGUAGAAUACCGUUAGAGCAUUAGUAAGGGAGAAGAAAUGAAGGACCCCCACAUGUAAGACCAUUAGUAAGGGUUAUAAUUAUCACCCUUAAUUUCGUGUAACUAGCCACGACUUUUAGCAAAUUCACCAACAUUUCGUGUAAUAUUUGGCAAAUUCACCGACUACACAUCCCUAAUUAAUAUAUAUCAACGAAUUCAAGUGGGCAUUGGACUAGCUAGAGGUAGCCACGAAAUGAAAGGUUGUCACCAGCGUUGAAGAUUUUAAAGAAUUAUAGAUUAGGGCAUGUCUAAUGCAAGGCAUGAGUGGUGGAUUAUCACAGUGAUUAUGAUCGGUCUUUUUAACUCAUUGUGUUUCAGAUUCAAAUUAUCUUUCCACUCUUUAAUGUAGUUUGAGUAGAAAUUUUGCUUAUUGAAAAGGAAAAUACUUAGGUAUUAUCAAUGAAUACUCACUUUUUGAUUUGGCUCAAUAAAAAAAUGUCACGUGUUUCAUUUUUAUUAAUCCCAAAGAAAAAUUAAUAACAUGUCCAUUAUUUUUUAUCAGAGUAAAUCGUAGCCAUAGUCCUUCAACUUUAAUCAAAUUUGAGCAAUGGUCCCUCAACUAAAAAUCUAUUAUCAUUGGUCCCUCAACUCAUCAAAAUGUGUAGCUAUGGUUCUUUUCGUCAAUUUUGUUAGAAUUUUGUCAAAAUAAGUUAUGUUGGAAGGAUCAUUGCUACAAUUAGAGUUCCUCAACUCAUCAAAAAGUGUAGAUAUGGUCAUUUUUGUUUAACUUCGUCAGAAUUUUGUCAAAAUGAGUUAUGUUGGAAUGACCAUUGCUACAAUUGGGUUAAAGUUGAGGGACCAUUUCUCCAGUUAGAUUAAAGUUGGACUAAUGGUAAUGGAUUUUUAGUUGAGGGACCAUAACUGCAUGUUUUGAUGAGUUGAGGGGCUAAUGAUAUUUGAUUUUUAGUUGUUGGACCAUUGUUCCAAUUGAGUUAAAGUUAAAGGACCAUUGCUAUAAUUUACUUUUUUAUAACAAUUAAACAUGUGUUAAAAUAUCAUUGCACAAAAUUAAAAUGUGAGUAGUACUCAAGUAUUAUCUAUUAAAAAGGGUUAAAUCAUGUUUUAAUGGGUUAUAUAUAUAUAUAUAUAUAUAUAUAUAUAUAUAUAUAUUAUAGACUGAAUAAUGUGUAUUUAAUUAGUAUUUGGGUAAAUAACAAAAAACUACCUCAAUUAUUGGGGUCACGACAGUAUCAUACCUCACCUUUUAAAAUUGACAAGGUCAUACCUCAUCUUUAGAAUUUGGUCUAAUAUUAUACCUUUCGUUAGCUUGACAGUGAAUUUCUCAGUUAAAUUGCUUGAUCCGGGACCAUUUUCUAUUAAAAAAUUAAAAAAUUAAUAAUUUACCUUAAAAAAAAAAAAAACCCAAACACCCAUCUUCCCCUGACCCCUUUCCUUUCCCUGCAACCCAGAUCCUUUCCCCUUCCCUGCAACCCCCGACCCUUUCCCCACCCACGUCAACCCACAUCCUCAUUAUCUGCCGCCCACCCCUCUUCCCGAAAUGGACCUACCCAGAUUCGUAAUCGAAGCCUCCGAGGCCGAAUCAAUGGAAGCAGUCCAACCUCACAGUAUUCAAAUUCUCAGCCCAAAUCGCCCCGCAGGCCACCGAUCAAACCCUCAAGACCUUCAUUUUCCGCAUCGACCGCCACUCCAAGCCCUCAAUUUUCCCCACCCACUACCACUGGUACACCUUCGAAUUCGCCGACCUGCCCCAAAUCCUCCACGUCUACGACACCGUUUUCCACGGCUUCUCUGUGUCUCUCACUCCCGACCAGGUCUCCGCCAUCUCCGACCACCAUUCAGUGUGUUGUUGUGAUCCAGGACCGCCGCCGGAGUCUCCACACUACUCGAUCCCCACAAUUUUUGGGGCUCAGGAACCAGAGGGGGUUGUGGUCGGAAUCGAACUAUGGCUCCGACGUCAUCGUCAGAGUAUUUGACACCGGCGUCUGGCCGGAGCGUCGAAGUUUCACGGAUAAGAAUCUUGGGCCGAUUCUGAGGCGGUGGAAAGGGGUUUGCAGAACUUGACGAAUGAGGGGAGGAGCUGGAGGACGGUGAGGUUGCAGGGAAAGGUGGGGAGAGGUGGGUCUUGGGGGAGAUGUUGGCGUGGGUGGGGAAGGGGUCGGGGGUUGCAAGGAAAGGGAAGGGAUCUGGGCUUUGGAUUUGGGUUGCAAGGAAGGGGAAUGGGUCGGGGAAGAUGGGUGUUUGGGGGUUUUUUAUUUUUAUUUUUUUAAGGGUAAAUUAUUAUUAUUUUAAUAUUUUAUUAAUUUUUUAAUAGAAAAUGGGCAUCGAAUCAAGCCACGUCAGCAUUUAACUGGGAAAUUCACGGCCAAGCUAACGGAAGGUAUAACAUUGGACCAAAUUCUAAAGAUGAAGGAUGACAUUGUCAAUUUUAAAAGAUGAGGUAUGAUACCUGACCCUAAUAAUUGAGAUAAUUUUUUGUAAUUUAUCCUUAGUAUUUUGUAUAUAGUAACAGUUUUCAGAUAAAAGAAUUGAAAAACAGGAUAUAAACUUCUUCUGCUCAUUUCAAAACUAGAUCAUGCAUAUGAUUAGAAAAAUAGAUACAGUAACAAUUAACGUACCUGAAGAUAAUAGAUUAAUGCAGAAUAAAAAAAUAUAAGGAAAAUUAAUGAAAAUUGCUUGAAAACUUUGAGUUUUAAUGAAAAUGACAAAAUAAAGGGUAAAAUAAAUAGUACCAAGAUUGACUUUUUAGUGUAAAAAUAUGAUUUUUCGUUAAAGUGAACAAUAUCGGGAACUUUUUGUUAAAGUUCUAAAAAAUAUAAGCCAAGACACAUUGUUUGUUUACUAUUUGUAUCAUGCUUCUUCCCUCUUGAGAAAUUCCAUAACACAAAUCUCCUGUGCGAUUGGAAAAAUCUUUGUUUCCACAAAACCUACAGAUUUUGCUAAGUUAUCAAAUUCAGCCGUUGUUCUUUCUCUACCACCAGGCAAUGCCAUCAUUGAGAUGUCCAACGUUACUAUGUUCAACACUGCUUUAGUAUUCUCCAAUACUUCUGGAAUUGUAAAUUCCACAACUAUCACCUUCCCAUUUUUUGGUAAUGCCCCAAAACAGCUUUUCAAUAAUUUCUUGCACCGGUCGUCUUCCCAGUUGUGGAGCACCCACUGAAAACCAUGUAUAAGAUUAUAUCUGGGUUGAUGAUAAAUUAAUUUUCAACAAUUCAUGGGAAAAAAAGAACAAUUAAAACGAGUACAAGCUAGAAGCAAACCAUGCAUACCUUCAGCAUAAUUGAUUGUGCAUUUGGUAUGGUCUCAAACAUAUUUCCACCGAUAUGAUUCACACCUGUAUGUAUUUAUAAUGAUUUAUAUAACCAAAUUAGGGGUCAAAUUGAUUAAAAUUAAGAAGUGUACAUGAGAUGAUGAUAACAACUAAAUAAUCGUAUGCGGCAAGAGGCUUAUAAUUCUUUUCUUUUUUUUUUCAAAGUAAGAGGCUUUUAACUCAAGUUGUUGAGAUUAUUUAUUAUUGCAAGCGAAACUCAGCGUUUGAAUAUAAAAAAAAUAAACCGACUGCCUUCUAAUCUUUUAGUUUCAUUCUUAAUCUUAAUCUGUAAGGAAUAAAGGAGGAAAUUUUACGUGUGAUACAUGUCAUAUUAAAGUCAAGUUUAGUAUUGAAAAAGAUCUAUUAUGGUUUGAGGACCCUCCUGACACUAUUCAAGACGUUCUCAUCCAUAAUUGAGUGUAAUCUUGCUUCCUUUAAACAAGUAAAAAAAAAAAAAGGCGAGAUUAUAAAAUCUAUUUUCUAAUUAAUUCACGAUACUUAGUUACUAACCUUGGUAAGGAGGAGCUUGAGCAACAACAUUAGGCAAAUCGAAGUUAAUUCCAUGGAUGUGGGGAUACUUGGAAACUACUUUCCAAAUGGUUUUUCCAAUUCCACCUCCAACAUCCAUCAACUCUUUCACCUCUUCAAAACCCUUAUAAACCUUCAACACCUCAUCAAAAUUUAGGUUAGAACUCUCUGCCAUGGACUUAUUAAACAACUGGCUCAGCUCAGCUUUCGUGGACAUGUACUCAAAUAUGGUGAUUCCAUGAGCCUUGUAGAAGGGCACAAUCUCCGGUUCGAGCACGGAAUCCUUGAGCAUGGAAAGGCUCUUCACAAUGUCAAGCUCACAGUUGAAACUAAUCAAUGGAGCUAAUGAGACUCCAUUUUCAUCCGGCACCAAGCAAAGUGUCUCCUUUGUGAGGCCAUAAGCCCUGUCUUGCAAUGCCUCAUCGUCCGCAGACGGUUUUAGAGAUGUCGAGAGGAGGGAAUGGACGGCCAGCAUUCUUAGUAUUCUGUCCAAAUUCCGGGCUGAAUUCGGAUUCGAAGUCGGAAUUUGGGAAGCGAUUUCUUUUGCAGUGAGAUGAGAUCCUGCAGGGCCUGAUUUGGCAAUGAUGCUGAAGACAUUUAGCUCAAUGGCAGCUUCUAGAGUCAUUUGGAGGGGAAUGAAAUUCAUCAAACUCCUAGCUGACACAAUAUUUCCAAUGCUUCUUUGGUUUUCCUCCAUGUUUUUGGGAACGUUGUUCUAGAUUGCUUGUGCUUUGCAUGGCUUCGCUUUUGGGCACCAAUUUAUAUUUUGAUAGUUAAAGGCAAAGACUUUCUCUCCCGGCGGAGAUUAAUUUCCGCACCAAAACUAAAGCUUGACCUAUUUACACAGUGGUUGAUUUUUUUUGUCCCAUUUAUAUACAACAAUAUUCUAUUUGAGAAUUCUAAAAUGCACCCGUGGAUGAGAUACACCGGUAUAUUGUAGAAUUGGUCAUUCAUAAUAAAUUGAUAUCGAACUUACCAUUCAGGAGGUCAAACUUAGAAUCUCCCACUUACAACUAUAAUGUUAAGUAGCAAAAUAUGGCAUGUUUUUCAUACACUGAAUUUGAAGAGAACAAAAAUUUGUAUUACGAAAAAGGAUGGUGGAAAAAGAAAAACACAUUUUCCUUGAGUAUUUGAAAUCCACUUUAUCUCAACAAAAAACCUUCACAUGUUGAUUUGAUAAAAAUAAGUAACACAAUGUUUUACUCAAAAUUCGAAUGCAAAAUCUGUUCACAUCGAAGCGAAAUGCUGGCAUAUGAUGCCAUGGUAGAUGGUGACUAGUAGUUUUAUGAUCAAGAUGGGAGGUGCAAUUGCUCAACCACAAAUGGAUAAGACAUUCUACAUCUUUUGUUAAAUCACAAGAUUACGAGCAUAAUGUACAAUCUAGUGGUAGUGGGGAGAAUUUGUCAAGCAGCCCCAUUUUACAACACAAUCUAUACUACUCUUCGAUGAUUCAUUUUUUGACAAAAAUCAUUUCUCGCGAUUCAUCGUUAGGAGCUUGUGCUUUCAAUUGAAUCUGGUAGAUAAAAACUGGCACAAGCGUGAGGAUACCAGAAAGAAGGGUGAAGAGUGCUGCAAUCUACUAGUGUGAAGCAGGCGGCUCGGUGUCAUCUGAAGUUACAGCAUUGAGCUCGACCUCUAGCCAACUUGUCCCAAAGACAGAUCAUUUGCCUUGGCGAUUGGUAAUGUGCGGUGAAGUAGUUCUCCAUGCACCCGUACUGACAAAACUUCCAGUUAUGGGAGUACUGGACAAUUGCUGUGGUGCUGUUGAAUUGCUCAACCCACAUUCCCAUGCUCACAUCUUCCAUCUUGAAAAGCUGCAACCAAACACAUCUUUCAGCAACCACAUAUAUUAUAGCUUUUCUUUUGGUCAAUGCAUAUUAAUUUUGAACAGGAACUGAAGGAAAACGAAAGAAAUCAUCCUCCGAACAGAGGUAAUAAGCCAGACAAUUAGUAACUUACCCUUAGCCUAUGACUAACGUGCUGAGAAAUGAUGAACUUAGCAAUAUCAAUGGAAAUUACAUAUCCAGGGCCAUUGGCAUAUGGAGGAUAAACUUCUUCGGGCCACUCCUGUCACAACAGACAAUAAUGCUUCAGAGGGAGAGAGAAAGAAGAGUAGAAGAAAAAAUCACAAACAUAAAGGGAUUAACGUCCAUCCUCUUUGAAAACUUUUAAUCCUCUCAGGGGAAAACUAAAAAUGAAUUACAAUUAGAUAACAGCGACAACAGUAGGGAAGGAGCCCUAUGCAUGGAAAUUAUUUCUUGUCCAUUCAAUACGAUUCUAUUGGUACCAUGGAGCUGUAAUUGACUGGGGUCCAACCACUAUAUCCAAUUUUCCGAAUAUACGAUUAAGAAAAGAAGCUCCUACUAAACCGGAUGGACCAUUCUUGACAUUCCAAAAACCCACAAGACAGCUUAUCAAAUGCAACUCUUAAACAAAAGCAGAUAACUGGAUGACUUGAAAACUAAGUAGAGGUGCACGCAAACUUGCAUACCUCAUAGGUUACAGCCCAUUUUCCACUUCUGAGAGGGCGAUGCAAGAGGUUAAGAUUGCCCAUAUAAAGGGAUUUUUUAGAAGAGAUGCCCUCAAUUUCCUUUAAGACAGUGUCCACUCUAACAAAUGUGUCAUCGUCACAUUUCAUGAUGUAUGCAGCUGUCACGUUUUGAGUCUGCAUCAAGAUGUUAAAGCUUUUCAAUACAACGAAUACAAACUCAAAAAGGCCCAGUUGAAUGGUUUACUAAAUUACAGAUACAUAACCUUUUUGAUUUAUAACAAUAUAUAUGUAAUAUGUUUACUGAACAACGAAAUACUGGAGAAUAAACUGAACUCACCCCAAACUCACAAAUAGAAAUGGUUUUCAGAACAACAAGCUCGUAUCGAUCCAUAAAGGGCAAAAUAACAAUAUCACCAAAGUAAGCAGCCUCUUUCUUCAGCAUUUGAUUUACCUCCUUCCUUGGAUUCUGCAAAACUUAAUAAUUAGUAAAACCAAAUAUUGAAGGAACAGAUUCAUAUAAAACAGAAACAGUUUCAAUAUAAGAUUGAAACUCAUCAAUAUACAAGUCACUGAGUGCCGUAAUUCAAAUUCGUUUCUUUUUAUUGCUAGGCAAAUUUCAAAGGUUACAACCCUAAGGCUAAAAUUCAAGUCAAUCCCCACUGAAGGGUGGGUCAUGCUAUCACUGCCCUGCGCCUGUAGGAACAAUUCACUUUUUUUCUAAAAUAAAAUUGUAAAAUGAAGCAGGUAUAAAAUUUGAAUCAACUCAUUCCAUUUAGAACAAGUAGUUUUCUUUCAUCCAAUCAACUUUACUACAUACAUUCCAUAUCAGGUAAUUGAGCCCAUACAAUUCAAACACAUCUACAUCAGCAUCUACGCAAUAAAAUAUAGACAUUAAUCUGGCCUGUCUGACGUUAUGAAAGGGAAACAGAACCAAUCCAGAAUUUCUUUCUCUUUCAGUCAAAGAAUCUUUUAACACAAACAAAUCCAAGCUUGAAAGGAGCAGAUAAAUUAGUUACAAGCAUAAACAGAGGUUUACAAUUGGAGCUAGAACUUCAAAAUAGAUAACAAACAGAAAGCUUGGAAGACUGAAUCGCACACUUUUGACCAAUUAGAGCCACACCUAUAUCUUCUCAUGCAUGAUGAGAUAUAAAUACUCAAGGACGUUAUACUUCUAAAGAAAAAAGGACUUAUGUAGUAUUUGUUCUCCAGCCUUAUAAAUGGAGAAGAUUUCUUUUGUUCUGGCAAUAGAAAGGAUAUAAUCUUGUAAAAAUGUCAGCACACCAGAUCCUGGAACCUGACUGCUCAACUCUUAAUACAAAAUCAAUUAUUGAAUAGCUAAAAGCAAUAAACUUACCAAUGCAACAAAGAAACGGACUACUACAUUGGAGGACUUGAUUGCUGAUGAUUGCAUCCAAGUUUUUCUCACUGCCAUGCGCUCUGCAAAGUGAUUUGUAGCAGAAAGAACCCCAAUAAACAGCUGAAAAGCUCUCUUGGGUAAAGGACGAGCUUUCCACUUCUCUGCCAUCUCCAGUACUCUUUGAGGUGAGAAACUUGGAUGAGAAGCGGGAAGAGAAGUAGCAUAAACAGAGUGAACAUCAACAUCUCCUUUAAUUGCUAAUCCAGUGGCAUCUUGAAGUGUAAAACCCUAAAGUUAAAGCAUAAAAAUAAUUAGAAAAAAGUGCAUCACUAUUGAUGGGAAGGAAUAGGAAAACAAUACAAGAAAUAAAACUGAAAUGACACAACCGGAUGCUUAAGAACAGAUAUGAUCAUUAAUCAUAACUAUGGCCUUAGCACAUCCGUGCAAUGUCAGAGGCAAAGCAUAAGCACUUUAAGUAAGUUACUCAUUUAUCCGACAUACCAUCCGAUAUGGAAAUGAAGUGACAUGCCUCCCCCCAACACUAAUAUGGAAUCCAUCCACACCAGCACGUAUGGUCAGGACAAACAAUCUACCCUCUGUAAACGGAAAUGGCCAGGUUACUUCUGGCUUCUGCUCACGCCCUAUGAAUCGUUUGAACCAUGAGGUAGUCUUGGUCUUGGACUCUUUUGAGUCCAUACCAUUCCGCAUCCACUUUUCACAUCUCCCAUAUCCAUCAACUGCCACAUAUGUGCAUUAAAGUUAUGUCACAACCCAAAAGGUAUAGACAAUGGUUUAUAUAUAUAAUCUUCAGAAUCAACAGCAUUAGUAUUAUUAAUACAGACUCAUGUUUUUUUAUUUAGUUUUGUACUUUCAUGAAACUUCAUGCCUUUUUACAAAUAUCAUGGCUGCAGAAAUACAAGGGUAGGACUUUAUCUUCUAAAUCAAUGGAAAUUUUUUACCUAGCAUGUCUUCAUUGCUCUUGGAUGGUAAGCCGUCACACCUUUGAGCUGUUCCCCAUUGCAUCCUGUAACAGGUGUUGUGCUCAAUGACUGGCUGCUUACUCCAAUCACCUUUUAAUCGUGGAUUCAAGUGCAGUAUCUUUGGCGGGUCUUCCCCAUCUACUGACUUCAGCCCUUGCAACUCAACCAUGAACUGCGAGACCAUAACUGUUCCAUCACCCCUCCUCAACUUUGCAAGCUGGGGCACAUACUCCUCAUGAGCAUAACGGGAUGUUCCCACCACCGUAAUUGAAGAACCUGCAGCAAGCCCACAAGGAAGAAACAUCAACUUAUCUCCCGUUGCCAAUUCUUCCCCACUCAUUGAUAACCAUGAAGGACAUGACUCAGGUUUUCCCUCAAUUAUAGAACUCUCUCCAAUCUCCUUCCCAUCAAGUUUACCCACUUCUUCCCAAGCACUUAAACCCAAUGUCCAAGCCUCAUCUGCCAUCCUCUCAAGCACCGAAAGUUCAUUAGUUCUAUUCCUUCGCCUCAUAAUCUCACCAGUGAUCCGACCAUAUUGAUAUUGUAGUGGCUUUAUAGGCUUAGAUCCACCUUUACUUUCUUCCAAAGGUUCCUUACUAGGCCUCACAGGCGCAUCUUGGUUUUGGUCUUCCAAUUUGCGAUGAAAAGUGUCCUUAUAAACAGAAUUAAAUAACGGUUUACUCAAAUCCACAUCUUCGACCAAUUCCAAUCCAUCAUCACCACUCAGCGUCUUUGCUAUCUCAAGAAACUGGGGAAACUUAAAGGAUAUGAAGACCAAGUACAAUGCCGCUAUACCAAACAACAAAUGCUGCAACUUGAACCUCCUCGCAACUGAAGGUUCAACUUUUAGCCUCUUCAUCUUUACGAAACCAAUACACAGACUACAAUAUAAUCUACAACAACAACCACCACCACCGAACAAUUCCUCCAAUACCCAUUUCUUCAAUCACAAAAAGAAACCCAAUUCAAGCUCCAAACCCAAGAAAAACUCCAAAACCAAAGUUUUCAAAAUCCUCAAGAAGAAACCAAAUCCAAAACAUACAAUCCAAAUCAACAAUGGCAAGAAACACAAAGCAUCAUACAGUGAGAGAACUCGAACCCCCCCCAAUGGGUUCGGAGAGAUCGAGUUCAAGAAUCCAAUCAACGUCACAAUUCAGCAACACUAUGCAGGAAAAGUAGAAAACCCAUCAAAAAAUCUCAACGCAGAAAAGCUAAAAAUGUCAACAGUCUCACCGGCAUUCUCCAAACAGUUCGAUCUCGACCCAGAUGAACAGACCCCGCAAUGGAAAUGCAGAUGGGCGAGAAAAACCCUAGGCAGAUUGGCAGAUUGGCAGAUCGCAGAGCAGAGGAGCAGAAGGGGGUGGGGGAAGGUAGGGAGGGUAUGUUGUAUUAAAGAGGGAAAUUUUAUUGGGAGAAAUUAAGAAGAUAUUUGACUCAAACGGGAAAUGUUGGUCGGUAGAUUUCAUUCCCUUUCUUUUGAGUUUUUAUUUUCCUUUCACCAACCUCCACACCAUGAUGUCACGGUUUCAUGCUCCUCUUUUGUUGCAACAAAUUAAACAAACUUCCAACCUCCUUUUUGUUGUUAAAUAAAAUGUUAACUAAUUAUAAAAAGCGGUCUUUCAUCCGAACAAAAGAAAUAAAUUUAGAAUUUGGAUAUAUAAUUUAUAAGUUAACAUGCACUAUUUUUUUUUAUUUGGAUUCAUAAACAUAGAAAUAAAAUCCUGUCAUUUUAAAAUUCUUAGUAAUCUUAAAUUUCAUCAUUCAAACAUAGUGUUAAUUUUUAUAUCACAAGGAGAGAAGAAAAGAUGAGAGAAAUACCUUGUAUAAUUGAAUUGAAAUAUUAAAACAUCGCUACGAUUGAUUAGGAUCAAGUAGAAUGAUACUUGAAAUUUAUAAAUCUCAAAUUUAAACGUUUUACGAAUGACGUGACGAAUGUCUUGUAUCUAAAAGAAAAUUAUCAAAAUGAUAAAAACUUUGUAUCACAAUUAUUUGACGUGAUAAGCAACGUGAAAUCAUAUUGUUUGAAGAUUUUUCUUAUUAAGUAAAGUCAUGUUGGACUAUUUAAAGUAGAAAAUUAAAUAAAUAAAAGCAAAGCCCCUUAUCCAAUUUUCCAAAACCCUGUCUCUCAGUCGCCCUCUCCGUCCUCACUUCCCACUCUGGAGCGGGUGACCCCAUAACCGAAAGCUCCGAACUUUAAUCCCCAACACCAAUUCAAACCUUCGUCUCUACAGAAACGAAUCGCUAGCCAGCAGUUGAACCAAGCUCUCCAACUCCAGUUUUCAAAAUUCGGAAUAUAAAGGUGCAUUUCAUUCCCUCAAAGUUCAGUUCAGUUCAUUUCGGCUGUACCUUUUUCCCACUUUUUUCUUUGUUACAAAAUGAUUUGUAGUGAAGAUUAGAACUUUUCGGUUUCUUUGCAAUUAAAGCAGUUAGUAGUGUAAAUUUGUCAAAUUGGGUUUUUUUUUUUUUUUCUUCAGAUUUUGGUGAUAUUUAUGCUGCGUUGAAGUGAAAAAUGGCAUCUCUACCAGGAACUUGGCUGUAUCAAGGUGUGCUCAUUUGUUCUUAUUUAAUAACGAAUAUAAUUUUGUAUGAAGUCCUCAAAGCGGCUUGUGGUGUGCCUGGCCGCUGGCCGUGAGAUGGGGUAGCCUUCUCUCCCCCUAAACUUUUUUGUAUCGUUUUUUUCACAAUUGGUGGUGUGCUUUUGUCAGAUAGGGGAAUGAUAGGCGUAGUCUCAGCACAGAGCCAUGCUUCUGGGAAGCCAUGUUUCAAUCACUUCAAGGUUUAUAUUCUUCUCAAUUUAUUCAACUUUACAUAUACACAUAUGUGUUUGUGUCUACGCCUCUCCGGUUAUUAUGGAUUUCUUCUUGUUUUUCUUUUAAUUUUUAUUAUUUGUGUUGCUUGAAUUUUAGGCUUUCGAUACUCAAUCUCUAUUUCAAUGUGAAAUGAUUUCUUUAGUAAUUAAACAUGGGUGAUUUGUAAUAUAAAAGACACUUCAUUGCCGCUAAACUUUUCCUUCUUAGCUUGAUUGGUUUUUUUAGCCAUUUAUCGUCAUGCUAAUUUGGUCAUGUAUAAUUUUAUGUGCAUGGUACAGGCAUCAACUGUAAGUUCAUUUCCAGUUGGAUUAUUCCAAGUUAGAGUUGGCUCGAAUCUAUUGCCAAAGAGGGCACCUUUACUUCCUUGUAUAAAGUGUGAGAAGGAUGAUGAGUCCUCCAAAGAGGUCUCUAUUGAGCGUCCACCCUAUGAUAGUUAUAUGGACUCAACAUCUGGGCAGCUUGAACCUGCAUCUGGUGCUCGUGCCAGCAUUCCAGGGCAGGAUUAUUGGCCUGAAGGCACAGCUAGUCGAGUUAGGGCUGCCAGGGCUCCUGAGCCGACUGGUAAGUCAGUUGGGUCACCGUCUUAUGGUAAAGAUCCUGGAAGUAGGAGGAGGAAGAAUAAAACAUCAGUUGCUGCCGGUGAAUCUACUGAACAAAGUGUAGAGUCAAGUGAUACAGUGGCAGUGGAACUGCUGGAACCAGAAACUUCAGAGGACGCACUAGAGGAUCCUAAAGAUACCCCAUCUGAAUAUGUUGUCUAUCAGACAGAACCUGAAAAAGAAGAAGAAACAGGAUUUGACCUGGACAAGAAACUCGGACGUCCUCAUCCCUUUAUUGACCCAGAAACAAAGAAGCCAUUAGGUGAGCCACUCACAAGUGAUGAACUAUGGUGGAACUGGAGAAAACCAGAGAAAGAAAAUUGGUCCAGAUGGCAAAGGAGACGGCCCGAUUCUGAAACGGUUAGUGCUUUCGUAUAUAUAAUGGAGAAAUAUGAUAAUAUUGUAUUUAAUUUGAAAAUUAUGAUUUAAGGCUCACGGGCCAUAUUCAAGGGAUUUGUAAGCCAAAUUUUUUAUGUAUAGGUGAUUUGAACCAUGCAUAUCAUUUUGGAUUUCAACAUUUGGAUCUUGUUUACAUGAGGUUGUCACAAAAAGCAAUGCUGCUUGUAUUAUAUAUAUGGAUGAUAUCAAUAUACGCUCAUUUUUUGUUAAAGCGCCCAUGUAAUCAAUUCAUAAACGAACUGGGGAACUGGAAUAUCAGAAGGAAAGUGGUCUUUGACUUUCACGUUGAUAUUGUCUUUCAACUUCUUCAGGUUUUCCUCAAAGCAAUGGCAGAGACUGGGCAGGUAAAGCUUUAUGGUGAAAAUCCAACAUUGACUGAAACUUCACUUUACAGAGCAAGACGACAUCUUUUCAAGGAAGAAAGGUAUAAUUGAUGAAUAAUAUAGUAAUCUUCUGUAUAUGCAAAUAUAAUAUUAUAUGAGCAGACAUAUAUAUGUAGUAUAGGAUUAUGUAUGUAACUGAAGCAAAAGAAAACUAGGAUCUGGUGAAUAUUGAUUAUUGGUUUUGUCAUCUUUUGGACAGUAUUGUAUUAACUAUAAAGGAGAGUGAUAACGAUCGAGAAACAUUAAUCAAACUAAAGAGAGGAAAGGAUGGUUCCAGUGCUCAGCUCUUGGUUUUCGAAUCCUUUGCUUAUGGAAGUCUCUCUUGGGACUUUUGCAUUGUCAACUUAGAGUGGUUUGUGUCUUAGUUUAGGAUUUAUUUAGGUUAGGCUUUUCCUUGCACCUGCUUCUCUGUCUUAGUUUGUUUACAUGUAGCGAUUGCCUUGUGACCUUAUAAUAUUCACUUAAAAGUUCUAUGGAGUAUUUUUUUCCUUAAUAUGGAAUUUUCAAGUAACUGCUGAAUUUGUAGGCUUCAAGCGGAACAAGAGAGACUGGAUAGAACAGGUCCACUUGCAUACUAUUCGGAAUGGGUAAAAGCGUGGAAAAGGGACACUUCUCGAGAAGCUGUUCAGAAACAUUAUGAAGAGACUGGUGAAAAUGAAACAACCCAACUAAUUGAAAUGUUUUCUCAUCAAACAGAUCGAGAGUAUCGCAUAAUGAUGGGGACAGAUACCCGUAUACGUAGGGACCCCUUAGCAAUGCGUAUGCGAGAGGAUCAAAUAAAGCAAAGUACUCACUCUAAAGCUGAUAAUUUUGUGCAUUAUUAUCAUGAAAUACGUUCUUUAUAUCACCAUUAAUCAUUUCGACCCCUGAGAUAGUUCAGUUCAUUUAAAAAAGGUUUCUAAUUCAUUUUAUCGUAAAUGGAUAAGUGAUGCAUUCUUGUACAUUUUUAAUUCAGUACUUUAGUUUGUCAUCUGUUAUUCACCAGUUACACUGUAGUUUCAUUAAACAUGUUUAAUGAUGCGGUUUAGUUUGUUGACUAAUUUAUUUGGCCUUGCAGUAUGGGGCGGAGAUCCUGUUUACCCAACUGUGAACUAUAUUCAAGAUCCAGAUGAAGUGAUUGAUUACAGAGGCGCGGAUUUUCAUGAACCGACACCAGAUAUGCUGUCUUUUCUGAAGGAGGUCAGCACUUUUCACAUUCCCCCUUUUUUUUUUUCUUUUUAUUAUUUGGCUUACUGGAUUUCUACAGCAUCUGCUGUAUCAUUAUUUUUUUACUUACGUUCUUACUUUCCUGCUCUGUAAUCAGCACAAAAAAAUCAUAUCAAGGGAGGAGCUUGAGAAAAUUCUGUCAAAAGAGAAGACUCAAGAGCUUGAGGUAAUCAAUUGACUGUGUAAAGUUUAGUUAGUCUGAUGAACUAUCUGUCUAGAAACUCGAAUAACAGAGAAUGUGCACACAGUGAACUAUUUCUUGUUAUCAUAUGAAAAUACUCUCUCGAUUCCACUCCAUUGUUCAACGAAGCUUUAUUAGUCUUUCUCCAAGUUAUCAAUUUUCCAGCUUGCUCUUCUCCUUGUGAGCUUUGGGUCAGCUCCUUGAGUGAUACUAUGGAUUUUAAAUGCGUCAUUUUUUGUCCAUUUGGACUAAAAAUCAACACAACAGAUAGGUUCACUGCAUAAUGCCUGGGUGGUAAACUCCCAGUAAAGGGCUGUCUAAGGUGGCAAAUCAACCCAUUGGGGUGAAAUCAAAUUGAAUGGGUCUUAAUGAUUACCCAUUAAGCAUUAGCAACCCGAUGGGUUGAUUUGCCACCUCUCCGCUGUGCAACGAUUCCACAUGUGGAGUGUACUGACAAACAAAGGCUCAUGCAUGCAUUCAUAAAAAGUUCAGCAUCGAUACGAUAUACCUAUCCUGAGUUCGGGCAAUGCCUUUCCUAAUUAGUGACAACCAUUAUCGUAUUCAACCCCUAUAGUGCAAAGAGCAUCUUAUAUAUGAGAUCCUGCCCUUGUUCGUUAAAGACCUGCUGCAUAUUCUGGUUAUAAUCCUAAAGUAAAUGUACAAAACUUUAGGGAAACUAGCUACAGUAAACAUAUUGUGACAUUUGGUUUGCAGAAAUGAUCGGUUUUUAGUAACAACAACAGUUUGAUGAUAUCCCGAUGACACAUCAUGACUGACAUAACAACAACACAACGAUGAUAUAAUGACGACAUAAUAAACACUGAUCAUGUCUGCAACCAAAUGUCAAAUUAUGUCUAUUGUAGCUUAUUGCCAAAAACUUUAUUGGAUUGGAAGAUUUGAAUCGUAAUAGAAUGUGUGGAAGCAAAACAUCUAAUCCAGCUGUUCUUUGUUUAACUCUUAUAUGGCAGGCGCCUGAUAUAGAAGAAGCAAUGGCACAAGCAGUUGACAUCGGUGAAGAUGUAAGUUUAAUUGCUUCAGAUACAUCAGUUCCAUAUUGCAUGUUCUUACACCGACACUGAUGCUGGUUAAAUGUAGCUAUCCAGCAUACUUGUAAUCCAGUUAUGGUUGUUAUGUAUGAAACUGAAAUCUUAUUUGACACUGUUUAUAAUAGGAUGAAGGAGAAGAUAGUGAAACCGAGGUUGAUGAACAAGGAGAGAAAAUCACACGCAACUGGAGUGUUUUGAAAACUACUCCUGAGCUUACCAAGUCAAAGGUGAUUCUCAUUUCUCAGUUUUGCGGCAUGUUUUCGUAUUAAAACUUUUGGUGGUUUUGACAUAUCCAAAUGUCAUUAUCUAAAUGUCUGGUUGCCAUAUGAUAUUAUUUCAAUAUCGGGUUUUAUGACGUACUUGUAUUGUAGUGGAUGGUCUGGGAUCUCUGUGCACAGCAACCAAAGAUUAUCGAACGCUAGCUGGUUAAACUUGCAUUUGCAUGCUUACCAUUUCUUAUGCGUUUCAAGCAAAUGUAUUUCCCAAGUAAUUUUUUCUCUCAAUCCUGCAGGAUAAACCGAAAAAGAACGACGGCAUGUCUUUGGAAGAAGCUGUAGACGAUUCAGAGAACUUAACUGAUUUUCUGAUGGACUUUGAGGAAGACGUGUAAAAUUACGUUCUUUGGAAGAUUUUGGCUUUUUGAGAUUCACAGAGAAGUAGGCGAUGAAGAUGUAGGUGCGUGCAAUAUGUAGUCCAGCAGUAAAACUAAGUUAAAUAUAAAUUAGACAAAAGUUACACAAUUUUCUAUAUGAAUGAAAGUUACUGAUGAUCAAAGGGAAUUGUGAUUGGAACUCUAAGAAACUCCUCGUGCAUUUCUUGUAGGGAAACUUCUCUCACACAAUUUUAUAAGCGCACACGCCUUUUUUUCUCUCAGCAUAACACUGUUUAUUUUUGGUCUUUAGAUGGAAUAAAUCAAAGAAGAAUCAAUGGAAAAAUAUAGAUAAGAGGUUUGUAAAAAGAGAAAAACACAAAGGACAACAAAGCUUUAUUCUAUUAAGUAUGAUCGGUCGUAUAACUAGAGGUUUGUAAAAAGAGAAAAAUAAUAUACAAAAAUAAUUUUCCAUUUAUGGAGUUGUCACACCCCCGGACCCGAGGUCAAUAGGAAAAAUCUCGAAUCCGAAUCCGGCGCGCAAGCUAAAAGUAAAAUUAAAUAAAAGGAAAGUGAAGCUAGGUGGAAAAAUAUGAAAUUCCUCUUAUAAAAAUAAUUCAGGAUUCUCUACAAGACUAAAAUAAAUAAAUACUAAAUUAUAUCCUCACACUUAAUCCGAUCUCAUCCCGUCUACCCUUUUUUACUGUUUAGUUCUUAAACCUGCAUAGCUCGGUAGGGACAUAACUUUAUCACAGUAAAUUGACAAUAUUAAAUUAAGUGUCAUGAAAUCACAUAGCCAAAUAUCAAAUCAUAAAUGAUAACAAUGCAUGAAUGCAAUGCAACCCCUUCGGUAAUCCCCGUUAAUUUAUAUAAUAAAACACGCAGACCUGCAUGUCUCAUACCAUACAUUUUACCCCUGCAGAGGUGGUUCAAAUGUUCUAUUAUAGAAACUAACCCCCAUAUGAUAUCCCAAGUUCAUAAACCCCUUUUGCUAGUCAUCUUAUAUAAUUCAUUGAUCUCCAGCCCAAAUCACCCACGUUGACAAUUCCCGUCGAUCCUAUUCUAAUGUGCACACCGGGCUCGCCUAGAACUGGUUUCACAAUGAAUAGAUUCAACUACACAAAAGAUCCUUUCCAACUACCCUCAUUUCCAUACUUCCAAUCUAAAUACUGAAAUUCCAGCCACAUCAACAUGAAUUAUGCACAAAUAAUGUCAUUUCAUCUUUCACAUAUAUCACAGUAUAUUCUCAACGAAUAGCAUUCCAGCAAUAAUUUCAUAACCAAUAACAAGUAAACACGCAAGAGCAGUAUUUGUCCAAUUAGUAAACCAGAUACAAGAUCGAUAAUAAUAAUAUAAUACUUCAUGAAAUUUAAUAAAGCCAAUCUCCGUAAAGGUCUGCCAUAUUUCCCCUACCUGGAUUCCAAGAUAAAACAAAGAUCCAUGGAACUACCAUAAUAGCUAAGCUCCACUUACUUAUCCACGUCACUAUAAAAUAGUUAAGUUCCACAUACUUGAGCAAGCUCCUUGAUCACUUUCUAAUGCCAUGUAUUACUUUAUUUUAUUUUCUAAUCUCUCUCUCUAACAUAUAUAAUGUAUACACACACACUUGUGUGUGUGUAUAUGUACACGCACACAUACACGGACAUACAUGCAUGGCUUCAUAGCAGCCAACAUAUGUUUCCUAAAAAAUGGUGAAUAAAAGAAUGAAAUGCAACCUCUAUUUAUAAUAGAAAGGGUCGGCUCCCUACAGUGUAAAAUAUAUUAUAUCUAGGGAUCGAAAUGUAACUGACGAAUGGCCAGUUGACAAGUGGGUUUCAAGGUGUCGUUGUGCAUGGGGUAGAUGACUUGGAAUUAACACACGUGGCUUUGCCAACAAUGGUGGAAGCUGGUGGUGUCAAUGGAAUCUCUCAAAACCUCACACCUCGUUGUAAAUAUAACAGCUGUUAAGAAAAUGAAGUGCUGCGUGUUGGACUAUGAAGGAUGCCAUCUCAGUGUUGGACACCUCCAGGAAAAAUGGGAUAGACUUCAAUUGCAAGACUACACCUUGCUAAUUGUAAGAAACUAUCGACUAGAAGUUGACAGCAAAAUGAAAAAACUAAUAUCAUAGUAGUUUUAAAAUACUAUUUGUUCUAUAUUUUAAAAAUACAGGUUCUCACAGGAGUUUAGGAUGAAUUCUACAUCGUGGAAAGGAGGGACUUACAUGUACUUAUAAGUAGUUAGACUCUUCCAUAUUGCAAAUUAGUUUUAUGGUGGAGCCUCGAUUUCUUCAUGUUAUCAAAGCUGGUCACACGUGCUCCACGCCACCCAAUCUAUGUUGUCCACAUGCUAGACUUAAAAAUUUGUCACACAUGAAAGUACGUGUUGAGAGUGAAUCCCACAUCGAAAAAAGUAGAAACUCUAUAUGUGCUUAUAAGUAGUUGAACUCUUCCUAUAUUACCAAUUGUUUUACAGUGAAGCCUUAACUUCUUCAAUGAGAGGUAUUAGAUUCGAUUAUCGCCAAAUGCGAAUUCAAUCCACGUUAUUGCUAGCCCAUUAUGAGGCUAAGCCCACCCCUCCCUCUUAGUGUAAAUAGUGUAGAUAAUAUCGUUUAUUAAAAACAAAAACAAAAAAAACUAAAACUUCUUUAGUGAGACAUGGUUCGAUUCUCGCCAAAUGUGAAUUCGAUCCACGUUAUUGCUAGUCUAUAAUGAAGUUAACCCCACCCCUCCUCCUUAGUGUAGAUAAUAUCGUUUAUUAAAAAAAAUAAAAACUUCUUCAGUGAGACAUGCAUCAUUUUUUUUCAUUUUUAGAAGGAAAAAAAAAUUGUCACCUCGUUAUUGAGAGGUUAUAUCCCAUUUGCAUGGGUUGAUGUGGUAUGAUGGGAUGAAUUUUUAGGGUUUUCUAUGUACUAAUAUACGUGUUAUAAUAUUAAGGGAUUGAAAACACUUCUAUUGUAUUAAAAGUUUCCAUAAUAAUUUUUCCAAACCAGAAAUACUGUUUGACAAACUAGUUUAUGUCCAUGACUUCAGGGGCAAUGCAAGUGUGAGCCUUAAAAGAUACACCGGCCCACAUAUAAAUGGAUCGUCCAACGUUGUAUAGAAAAAGCCAGGCCAAUCGAAAAGAAUCGGUUCAUAAUUUUCAGUAACAAAAACCAAAAAGUCUUCAACGAUUCCGUGCAAGAAAACAUAUAUUAAAAUAUUCAGCAAAAAAGAACACAGAUAAACAACGAGGAGAAACUUUUGACUAUUAGCUUCUUAACGUCGCAGAUACUAAUUCAUGCAUGAAUAAAUAAUAUAACAAAGUAUAUGUUAUGAUAUAUAAUAUUGCGUAAAAUGUGAUGAUUAAAGUAAAAUAUUUCUGGAUCACGAGAGCAAAAGCUCUUCUAGGUUUUGGCAUCAGGUUAGAUUCUCUUACGUCAGCAAAUUGCCCACUUAGUGACUUCCAGAACAAAUUAAGUAUUUGCUAAUCAAGAUGCUCAGGUGCUUAGCUAAUUGAAAUUCACCUUAAUAAAUUAAUGAAUUUCCCUCUGGCCUACACUAUCUAUCUGAUGCCUCUGCAAGAUCUUAAAAGUGCUUUUAAUUAUAUUAACCUCUUCUUUGCUUCACAUUAACACUCAAUUAAAUAUAAUAAUCAUUUGGAUCCCACUUAUUCUGUUUAGGUUCAGCCAUCAAUAUACAAAAACCAAAACUUAAAGCUUUGGAACAAGUUAAUUAAAAACAUUUCAUGCUUUCAGGGGUCAAAGUUGAUGGGUUUAUGAAGUGGACCCAUUAGGUAUGAGCACAGAUUCUUAGUUGGACCCCAAAUUAUCAAAUAUGUUAAUAAAUCAUUAAAAAUAUAUAUGCACGGAUUCUUAAUGAGAACGUUUAACGUAUAAUAUUUGUGUUUAAUUUGAUUUUUAACUGUAACUAACUCGUAUUGUGGUCUAGUCUAAUUCCUGAUUUUCGUUAAAGUAGAGUAUUAUUUAUAUAAAAGAGAAAUACAUCAUUUAUUAUUUAUUUGUUGAUCAUUGAGUAUAAACCCUAAGCAGGUUUAUGCAGACACUAAUACCUAAACGAAGACACAUUAUUAUUAGGGUUCUGCUUAUGUCCCCAAUUAGAUUUUGACUAAUCGGGACACAAACCUUGAUUACUGUAUAGUCUGUAUAUACAUACAUACAUACAUACAUACAUACAUAUAUAUAAAUAUUUGACUUGAAAGCAAGAGAUGAUGGAGAAAUGAUUAGGGAUGCUGCUGGCAGCAAAACAUCAGAACUAAUCAAAGCAGAUUUUACUAAUGACGACAGUUUCUGUCACCCAAAACAUGGUCAAGAACAAAUCUAAGUAAUGCUUGCUUUCUUGCCUUGCCCCCCUCCCUUCCCACCAUUUUUAUUUCUAUUUGGUCAACUAUGUUUGAUUCUGUGUUUUUGUGUCUUUCCAGCAUUGUAUGCUGUUUGGAUGCGAUCAUAUUUUUGAGAAGGGACACUCCCUCCACAGUCCUCACUAGUGGUUCUAAUCCUUUUUAAUUAUGCUAAUCGUCAUCAUUAACUAAGUGCCCUUUCGGCCUUUCGACCUUUCGUUUUCGUUAAUUAGUGUAUGUUCUUGGUUACAGCCCACACUUAAUCAUGAUUAACACAUGGGCUCCAUGCUAAUCAUCUGUUUGUUAGUCUUUGCCUGCCCAUUUGCAUGUCAUGUUAUAUACUUUUUCCAUAUUCCUCAUUUGCUUAGUGUAAACUCUAAUCGUCCAAUUAGGAUCAUAUGCUUCAAAGUUUAAUUGUGUCGUCUUGUCGUUUUUCUAUCAUGUCUAAUUAAAGGUGUACUCGAACUCAACACAAAUACAUCAGCUCGAAGUUGACUAACACUUGACAUGAAGUUGUAACACAACUUUUUUUAACUAAACAAUAAACAAAAUAGGUCAAUAUCAUAUGGGUGAAUGCUUCUUAUUAGUGAAGAAAUUAGGGGUUUUGGUCAUACCAAAUUGACAUUGUGCUUUUUCACUAUUCCCCUAUGCACUUGUACAAGCAAGACAAAUGUUUGGGCUUGAUCAGUUGAUUUGUAUCAAUUCUAAUAAAGCUUUUUGAGCAUGGGCUAUGGUUCUUUCCAUCAUCACCAUCACCAAUAGGAAAUAAGAGUUGCAUGCACACAAAAGCCUUGGCUAAUUUAGUUUAGAAUUAGAAUUGUGUAAGAAAUUUGAGAUGAAAUUUUACCUUAAUUAUCAAGAAACAAAUUAUAGUAGCCUGCUUAGGUCCGUCUCACUAUGUGGUCCACCGAUUAUCCUUGUUCCAACUACUAACACUUUGUAAAGAUCAUCACGAAAAAAAUGAAUCAAAACUAAAGUUAUUUAGUCAAUCCAUUGUAGCAUAUACAUAGAAAGUUCGUAGUACCUUUAUCAAUUCCAUUUAUCUGUAUUGAUACAAUUUAAUGACUAAACAACCUUAGUUUUAAUUGAUUUUUUGCAAAUGCGAUUUUUACAGAAUGAUUUAUAAUAUAAACGGUUUCAAUUAUAAACACGAAAUUUUAUAAAUCAACAACCAACAAGUUUGAGUAGCCAAGUAUUCUUCUAUUGAAAACUCUUGAAAUAUACACUUUUUUUUGUUUGGAAUAUUAGGUAAAGUUCAUGUCGAGUCAACCUUCAUGAGUUGUGAGAAUAUCCACAUAUUUUGGAGGGAGGCAGAUUGUCUGCCCUCAUUUUACCAUGCUCUUUCCAUUAUCUCCUACAUUGUGCGGUCAUGGUACAUUGUGCGGUCAUGGUUAAGCCACAUUAACAUGUCUUAUUAUCUCUAUAAAAAAAUCAAUAUAAAAUGUUAACGUGGCUUAACCGUGACCGCACAAUGUAAGAGGGAAUGGGAAGGGCAUGGUAAUGGAAGGGCAGACAAUCUGCCUCCAUUUUGGAGAAUUUAUUAAGAAAGGGGAAGGGAAGGGGAGAUCACAUCUUCUGUAUUUAAAAUGAACGUGGCAUCUUUGUGGUCUUAAUUAUGUUUGACAUAUAUUAAAUUUAUGAUAAUACAGUUAAGAAAAUUGAAUUUUAUAAGUACAUGUGAGUCAAUAAUUAUGAUACAAUUUUAGGUGCAGAAGAUUUGAUCUCGGAGAUAGAAUAAUGCAUAACGCAAAAAGGUAUGUAGUAGAGGAGAGAGCAAUGGAUUACCCUGGAUGGUGAUGAAUGAUGAGCGUCUGGGGCCACGCGCGUGUGGAGACGAGCGUGGGGGGAGCCCAUAUUCCAAUCACGUCGCGUCAAAAAGGUAAACGAGGAAAUCUAGAGAGGGGAAUUGAUCGGGACCCACAAAUCUAGGAGGUGAGCUGUCGCUUUUUCUCUUGACGCCUCACCUAUCGCUUGUCCUCCUUCCCCCCAGAGGAAGAAUAUCGAUAUCAAAAGCCCUACAAGCUUAACGCUGGCACGCUCCUCUUUCACUCAAUUAAUUUUUAUUUUAUUUUUUAUUUUUAAAUACUAAAUGUUUUUAUUUUUAAAUAAACGAUAUUAUUUAUAUUAAGAGAUGGUGAGCUUGGUUUCACAAUGGGUUAGCAAUAAAGUGGUUCAAAUUUUCUUUUGGCGAGAAUCGAUCUUAAAAUCUUUCACUUACAGGUAAAGAAGAAUGCCACUAGACCGUAGUAUUAAGUAUUUAUUCACUUAAAAAUUAUGGUUGGUGUUAAUUAUUAAGGAAAACUAACGAAAAAUUCAAAAAAAAACUUUUGUUUUAAUAAAAAAUGACAAAUAAGGUGUAAGUAAAUGGUAUCAGGAAAAGGUAAAAAUGUAAAAUUUUCGUUAAAAAUGAACAGUACCUAGAGUGUUUUAUUAAAACUCUCUAAUUAUUAUUGUGAAUGGAAAAUGAAGUUAAAAAUCAUAACAAACUUUUUAGAUAUUCUGCUAUGAAAAUUGAAUACAUCAAUGUAUAGCGCAUAUAAUUGAAUUUAACAGUUAAAUGUAUUUUGAAGAAUUAAAAAAUUAAACGAGUUUAUCUUAAGCUACUUAAAAAGAUUGUACAACGUACAAGAUGGACUAGUUAUGACACACCCCGUCCCGAAGGAGGGCAUGCUGGCCGUCACGUGAGAGUGACGUAACCAUUUGCACAGUACGGAAGCUUUAAGAUACAAUUUAAAUUGAUACACCCGAAGGUGAGUCCUAAUUUUGUCCAAUCUGUCAGAACACCGUCGAAUUCCUCGUAGUCACCACACCUUUGUGAUUCCUGAACCUGGAGGGGCGCAAAACCAAAAUUGAGUGGGUCAGUAAAACAAUUCUUUUCCAAAUCCAAACAUUUCUCAAAACGUUGUAACCCCUCUCCGUAAAACCUGUAUACUUUCCCAGAAAUGUAAAAUAUAAAUAUACAUAUAUAUUCUCAAAACUUCAUUUUUACUAUCUCAACAUUAUCUCUUUAUCAAUCAUGCCAUGCCACAUCAUCUCAACAGUAAUAAGGUAUGAAUGCAUCAACAUAAUCAUAUCAGGUGCAAGAAAGUAAUCAACCGUAGGCCCUCUAAUAGCCCUAUACGGUUGAACCUAGAGCUCAAAAUCUAUCAUUAUCACUCUACCGGAGUCACCUCUGUGACCCGUCCGGCCUUCUGCACACAAGUUACGCUCUAGUGCUUCUCAUAAAUCAUCUGUGCACAUAAUCUAAGGUCACCCACCAGUCGGAAUCUCACUAACACUCUCGCGACUGGUCUGUCGUACCCACUCCGCGUGGACUGUACGACUAGCAUCUACUUGGAUCCAAGGCGAGCGUGCGAUGCGGUGAAUACUAUAAGCACUAAACCAUGGUGCAGGAUUUGAGCUCAAUAUAUAUCAUCGUCAUCAUAAUAGUAAUUAAAUACUCAUUUGUGCGUCCACCGCACCAUUUCAUACAUAUGCAUCAUAAAUCAAUUCUUACCUGUGCGUCCACCGCACCAAUUCAUACAUAUGCAUCAUAUAUUAAUUCAUGCAUGGCAUUUCAACUCACAUUUCUAUAUACUUUUCAUAUCAAUUCUAUGCAUGGUAUUUCACUUCCCGUUUUUCCACAUAACUCAUAUGCAUUUCAUUUUAAACAUAUUUUCAUGCAUUUUCAAUUUCUGGGAAAACGUUAAGUAUAUAUAUAUAUAUACGGAAAACAAAACUGCCCACUCACCUGGAGUUCGCCCUACAACUCCCUAGCACAAUACGCCAAGGCGUCAUGACGAUCGGCGCCUAAAACAAUAAUCAAUUCCAACCUCAGAAUUCAUAUCGAUAAAAUAUAUAACUUAUAUAAAAUACGUCACUACGUAGAUUGAUCCGGAAGAUCCACCCCUCAGAUUUUAAAUCCAUAACUUCCAGAGGUCCACAUUAUACCUCUAGGACAACAUCCUAAAAUUUCAUUACCAUCCAACGGUCGGAUCUCCGUCAAUUUCCAAAACUAAGUGACGGUUAACAUUUUAUAUUAUGGACUUACAAUUCCAAUUCCGGAAGAUCCGCAAAUCGGAUUCCCAAUCUGUAAGUUCCAAUAAUCCUCAAAUAUUACGUAUUAUAACGUAUCAAAGUUUGGUGAUGAUCCAACGGUCGGAUCGUCAAUUCACAUUUUCACCUAAAUGUGAAAAUUAUAAAACGUUAUUUGAACACCUAACCAACAAUCCUCAAUAACUUUCUCAUACGGUGUUCAAUUUAGGUAUAUGAAUAUACCACAGUGAUCUACUCGACGUCACGGACGUCGAUAUAUUUUUAAAAUAAUUUUAUUUUUAUUUUUUAUUUUUACUGUAGCACCUUCUUCUUCCUUGGGUCGCCGGACUGGUUUUUCCGGCGGCCGUUUUCCGGGCAGUUUUUUCAAAUUGCCAUAACUUUGUCAUUUUCUCAACGAAAUCAAGUGAUUCAAAAACGAAAGUUGUAGCCCUUGAAAAGACAAAGAGAAUGGUACCUUGCAAAACACCUAGUUAGCCGUAUUUUUUCCGGAAAAUGCCUCGAAAGCCUCGGAGGUCGCCGGAAACUGGGUAUUUUUCAAAUAAGUAUAACUUCUUCAAUACUCAACGAAAUUGAGUGAAACAAAAAGGAAAGUUGUAGUACUUGACGAGACGAAGAGAUUG